rnacentral:lncRNA from 1 species
UUAAACAACUGCUCUCCUGGACAGGAACAAACUAAAACUAAAAAGAAAAACAAAUGACUUAACCUACAAAGAAAAAGAAUCAAACUACACAGAAAAGGCUAAAGACAAACUAGGAAACUCUAAAUUCUAAUUCAGCUUAACUCAAACCUGCCAAAUCACAUCAAUUCUAGCUAUUUCAUCAAAUCAGAACUGCACUAAAGAAAUCUCAACUCUAAACUCAAGCUUCAGCAUUUCCAGCAAGUGAGAAACAGUUUAAUCCACUCAAAAUCAGCAAAGACAACAUAUGGAAGAGUAGCAGUCAGCCUCAACCUCACAGGCUGCAGUGUAUGCACUCAAUCACUCAACUGUUUAGGUUAUCCUGUUUCACUCAUUCAUGACAUGCUAACCACCAUUCUCAAUUUUCAAAAGAUUCUAAGUGACCAUGCUCAGCUCUUGGUUUCAUCUAGAUCAAAAGGUCUUAUUGGCUUGUAAUGAAAUGGUAUGAAGGGUCACAAAACACAAGGCUAAAUGGAAAUAGAAACUGGAAGAGAAGUAAAGAACCUAGAACUCAGUGCAUUGUGCAUUUAACUUUGGUCAAUUCAAUUUCUUUGCUCUUUCUCUCUGGUUUUUUCACACUCAGGUCUUAUCUUUUAAUUCUUUUGCAUUUUAGCUAUUUUUCAGACCUGCUCUUUCUUCUUUUUCAUCACAACCAGAUUGCUCAAUCAUUUUUCUUUUUCUUCUCUGGCCUUCUUUUUUUCUUCUCUGGCCUUUCUUUUUUUUUCUUCUCUGACCUUUCUUUUUUUUUCUUCUCUGACCUUUCUUUUUUUUUUCUUCUCUAGCCUUUCUUUUUUUUCUUUUGCACUCACAAAGUUACUAAAUCCUCACUUCCUCUCACAGGUUUCUACAGGUUGGGUAAUGAUGGGGAAUGAAUGGAACAAAGAAUAUGGCUAAAGCUCAAAAGAAAGGUGCAAUGGUAAGAAAAAUUGUAAUGAGUAAAAUAAAUGGUUAUGGAUGAAGAAAAAAAUUGCCUAAAUCAUAUCUAUAUUCUACCAAGAGCAAGCACAUCACAAAGAAUCAAUUUAAAUCUAAAGUCAAGUCUACUUUUGACAAUUCUAAUCUAAGGAAAUGAAGCUAAAAACGAGUGAAAUCAACAAAGAAUGAGGAAAAGCAUAAAUCAGAACCUAAAAGCUCCUAGAAAGACUAACCAUGAUUACCUAAGCUAUUUACAAUCUAAACAACUAAAUGUGUCAUCUCAACCUCAAUCAAAUACCAUAAUCUCAUAAAGCAAAACUUAUCACACAAAACAGAGCAUUGUUAAAUCAAAGCAGUUCAAUUCAUUCAAGCAGAGCACAAUAAAAAUAAAAUAAAAUAGAACAAAAACAAAAAUUAAAAGUAAAAGUUCAGAGAAUUGGGUUGUCUCCCAGCAAGCGCUUCUUUAACGUCACUAGCUUAACCCAAUAAGUUUAUGCCACAUCUUUUAUCUUGGUGUCACCCUUUCCUUCGAUGCACCAACUGGUUUUCAGCAGCUUCCUAUUCACCUUUUUGGUUCUCCUUGAAGUAGGAGAUUCAAUUUCUAUCAACCCAUCAGCUCUGAGUUCUUUCACAACCCAAAACUUUUUGUUGAACUGCACAGGUAAGCUUGGUCUCGGCCCUUCAUGCUCCUUCAGAGGAUUUUGGUGAACACCUGCUCCUUUGUUGUUUCUUUUCUCUUCAUUCACCUGUGACAAAAAACACUUUUUACCUUUCUUCUUUGAUUUAGCAGCCUUGGUACCAGUCCCGGGUGUAUCUUUAAAUGCAACUUUGGGACUAGUUUCCUUCACUUGGAUUUUGUUAUCCAGUAUUGCAGGCAUUGUAGAUUACCUCCUCUUCUUGGUCCUUGAGAGCUAUGGUACCCUCAUCAAUAUUGAUGAUUACUUUGGUCAUUUUCAUGAACGGCCUUCCAAGAAUAAUAGGGAUCUCCGCAUUUUCCUCCAUCUCUAGCACCACAAAGUCCACCAAGAAUCUCAAGUUGUUGAUUUGCACCAUCACAUCUUCUACCACACCAUAAGGUCUUUUGGGGAAUCCAUCUGCCAUGAGAAGAGACAUCCUUGUCGGCUUAACUUCCAAGUCACCAAUCCUUUUGAGAACAGUUAAGGGCAUUAGAUUGAUACUGGAUCUCAAACCAAUUAAGGCAGACUUUCCCUAUUUUGUGGUUCCCAAUGAUGCAGGGAAUAGUGAAACUUCCUGGGUCUUCUACCUUAGGAGGAAGUGUCUUUUGCAAGAUCACACUAUAAUUCCCAUGUAUGUAUUUCAGUUGUCUCUCAGUCACAUAAAUUUUUAUCCCCAAUUCUUUGGAGAUCUCAUCAAAACACCAUGAUUGCAUGGAAUAUUUGUCAGGAUGGUGGAAACUUUUCUCAAAUUUUUUUACUUUUUUCUUCUUCUCUCUCAACCUCUUCUUCCUCUUUUUCUCUCUUCUUUCUCUUUUUUAUCAACUCAUUUUUUCUUUUCUUUGGUCUUUUUCUUCCUUUUUUUUUACAUCUCUUUUUUUUUUCUUUUCUCUCAUUCUUUUCUUUUUCUCUCUUCCUUUCUUUCUCUUUUUUUCCUCUCAUUAUUCAUACUUACAAUAGUUUUAUAUUCUUUGGGAUUAACUUUAGCAUUAGCUCUAAAAUCUUUGAAGGACAUCUCCUUCAACUGCUUGGCUAUUUGUCCUACCUGUAUUUUCAAGUUCUUGAUGGCACCGUCUAUGCUUUUGUGGAUGGACAAGGUUGCGAUUAAAAAGUCUCUUCAAGCCUUGUGAUUAUAAUUAUUAGGACGGAAUUAGUUAUCCAUGUAAUUGACUUCCUGAUUAAGAUUCUCAAACACCGCAGAUUGACUAUUAAUAUAAUCACUACCACAUAGUUGUUGAUGGAUCUAUGCCACAUUCUAAAGUUCCUUCUAUGGCUUUGUCGUCUUCUUAGUCAAGAUCUCCAACUGUUGAUUGAUAAUCUUAUUUUGAACAAGCAAAGGCAUGAAGUUGAAAAACCCCUUUAGGUUAGGAGUUUCACUUUAUUGUAGCCAUAUUUUCAAAUAAUUCAUAGGUUUCCUUUGGGGUCAUGCCCUUGCUGAGGCUUCCUUUUGUUAAUUUGAUUUUGGUUUUAAAAUUUAUAUUUGAAAUCCGGCUUUAAAUUUUUGCUCAUGUAAAAUAAUACGUUGUUAAUUCUAUCAAUUACAUCAUGUUGGUCUUCGUUGAACUUAAUUUGCUCAUUAGUAUGCCUUUGGGUAAGGACUUUCAUAAGUAAAUCUGGAACUUUCGAAAUUUCUACUUUUAAAACUUUCUACAUAAUCAGUAAUAAAAAAAUUGGCACGUAAAUUGGCGUGUCCAGAUUCAAGGAUCUCCAUUAACUACGUUGUUAAAAAAACUCGAAGAAUUGUGGUAAUUUGCACACAUGGGGUUGAAAAAAUAUACACUUAAUAUACUCCACAUACACAGUACAAAAUCAAUUUCUAUAUCAAUAAAAUAAAUAGUACACAUAAUACGCGGUAAAAAUAGAGAAAAUCAAAUUUAUUCUAAGCAAAAACACUAAAAUUGAACUCAGACAUCUAAGGAAGGAUAAAAGCUGCAGUAGUUCUCAAGCCUGGCGAAGGCGAAAACUCUUUGGCGGCCACCGCGAAUAUUCAUCGGGAAAAGCCAUAGCAUUUGUCAUCAUUGCCGAUCAUCAUCACACGUUCAUGGCAUUCACUUAAUGCUGACACAUUUAAGUACGAUUCCACACAAUUUAUUUACAAUUUUAAGAGACUAGUUAUAGAUAAUUUUGUUUAUCUUUGUAGAUAAAUGAACUAAAAACCAGAUAGAGAAAAAAAGAACGAAAGUACAAAUCAAACUCUCAGACAUCCAAGGAAGGAUAAAAGCAGCAUCAGCUCUCUAGCCUGGCGAAGGCGAAAGCUCUUAGGCGGCCACUGCGAAUGUUUAGAGAAACAAGCCUUAGAAUAUGUCAUCAUCGAGUUGUUGAAGCACGAACAAAAUACACAACAAUUAACAGUGAAAAUUACAAUUUCAAUAAAUAAAACAAAAAAAAAAACUAUACAAAAAAGCUGAAUCAAGAAACAAAAAUUCUCAGACAUCCAAGGAAGGAUAGAAGCAGCACAAGCUCUCAAGCCCGGCGAAGGCGAAAGCUCUUAGGCGGCCACUGCGAAUGUUUAGAGAAACAAGCCUUAGGAUUUGUCAUCAUCGAAUGAAUAGAAAUUUACAAAAUAACUAAGUUUAUGGAACUCCACAAAUCAUUCAUGCAAUCAUAACAGAUAAUAGUAAUUACAAAAGAAUAAUCAUCAAAGCAACAGCUGUGAAGUCUCAGACAUCCAAGGAAGGAUAAAUACAGCACUAGCUCUCAAGCCUGGCGAAGGCGAAAGCUCUUAGGCGGCCACUGCGAAUGUUUAGAGAAACAAGCCUUGUUUGGUAUCAUCACAGACAAUUCAUAGCAUAGCUAUAACUGCAACAGGAUAGCAUGCAUUGAUUAAAAAUUGACAAUUACAGUAAAUGGGUUUAACAAUGAUAUAUCAAAUGUUCCACCCUAUAAUGAUCAGCAAGACACAGAAAAAAGAGCUGACAAAGUGAAAAGGAUGGAUGAAUUGAAUGUUAGGGACAUGUUCAUCCCUAAAGCACUCGGAGGCACUGCUAAAGGGGCAGACGUAAAGUCCCAAAAAUUCAAGUAGCAAAUUCGAAAUAAAACAUGACAAAACCAAAUCAGACAAUAGUAAUAAAAAUACAUAGCAUCAGACCAAUCUAAAACCUAAAAAUUAAGAUUUAGUGCGUAAUGAAUGAAAAGGAAUCUAAAUAAAACAUGACAAAACCAAAUCAGAUAAGAGUGAUAAAAAUAUAUAGCAUCAGACCAAUCUAAAACUUAAAAAUUAAGAUUUAAAGUGUAAUGAAUGGAUGGGUCAUCAGAUAGGAGCGAAAGACUAAAACUAAAUAUAAUCACAGAUAAAUCAUCUGAACUAUGCUUAUGAUCAUCAUAUGACCCUUCCAACAUAUUUGUAACACAAACUCAAUACAAAAAAAAAAUUAAGUUUAGACAACAGAUUACAAACAUCAUGCAAAUAAAAAAAAGAAAACUGUAGCAAAAGAGCCUCAGAAGGAAGGCAGUAGUGAUUUCGUAAUCAUGAAUAUCAUCCAUUACUAUUCACUAAAUCAUUCAUCAUUGGCAAUGAAAAACAGAGAACUUAGGAUUCCUAAACUAACAUAACUUAUCACCAUCUAAACUAAGGUGAACAAAAACACAAUCACUCAACAAAGAGAAACAUCUAUAGGAAAAACGUUGAUAGUUGGCCUCAUAGAGAAGAUUAGUUUGAUCCACAUGGAGUAGUUCAGACAUAUGCUUGUCUAUUAUUUAUAAUUUAAUCAUAGGCCAAUCCAAGAGUACAAAUCUUGCUAUUAACCACACUAACAAAUAUGGAAGAAGAACUGAAAAAUAAAAUAAAAACAGAAACAUUAAUCAAGUAAAAUUCAAUGGAAAAAAAAGAAAUGAGCGAAGAAGGGACUCAGAAUAUGGGUGGUGAUAUAGCAGGAUGGUCGGCAAGGCCAAUGAGGCCAAUUACGACGAACGAGACCUUAUCACAGAAUCAUCCCAGUCCAAUCCGAUCUGAUUUCAACACAUACUACAACAAUCAAUUGUAACAAUCAGAAAUGUAAAACCAAACAAUCAGAAAAGAAAAAAAAAUAGAAUCUCAUGAAUUGAGAGUGUAAAAGAAACCCUAGCCUCUUGAAGAAUAUAGAAUGGAGGGGGCGUAGAGAGUGUUUAUAAAGGGGGGAAGGAGAUUUGCUGGCUAGGGUUUUGGGUGAGUAGAUGUCUCUAGAAUGUGCGGAUGAUGCGUUCUCCUUAACCUGCGCCGCCAAAUAAUAACCUAAACAUUUUCUUAAAGAUGUCAAAAUAAAUGAAAAAUAAUUUUUUUUUCUGCAUCUAUUUUUUUAUUAAAUAAUGUCAAUUGAUAUAUAUAUAUAUAUAUAUAUAUAUAUAUAUAUAUAUAUAUAUAUAUAUACUGUGUAUUAUAAUGAAAUUAUUUUUACGACAGGAGUUUUAAUUAUAUAAAAUGAUAUAUUCAAAAAAUUUAUAAUUUGAUUUUAUUUAAAUAAUAUGAACAGUUACUUAUGAUUUAGUUUUUUUAAAAUUAAUAAACUUUGUGGUAAAAUUAUAAAGGAUAAAAUAGAAAAUGUUCAUUAAACGUACCAUUUUUUAUAAAUGGUUAUUAAUUAUUUUAUGUAUGUGUAUAUAUAACAAAUUCACGUUAAGAUAAUUUUAUAAAAUUAAAUAUUAAAAACACUACAAAUCUAAUCCUAUUCCAAAAUUAUUAGAUUUAUACAGUAAAUAAAAAAUAAUAAUUUGUAUAUACAAAAUGGAGAAAAUUAUUUACAUGUUAUAAUAGAAAAAUAUUUUUUACACAUUUAUUAGAGAAUGUUUAUAUAUUAUUGUAGGUGUAAAGAUAUAAUUUAAAAAGAAAAACUUAAUUAAUUACUAAGAGAUAUAAUAAAAAACGCUAUGUCACGUCUUAUUUGUAUAUAGCCACGAGGUAGUAGAGACUCAUAAUGAUUUAAAUUAAAACUUUAAGCAUUUAAUCAAAUAAAAUAUUAAGAAAUGAUUUUUUUAAAAUUAAAAUAAUCAUUUUAUCUUUUAAAUAUUUAUUUUAAAUUAAAAUAACUAUUUUCUCUUUGUCUUUAAACAUUGUUAUUUUUUUUAUGUGAUCUUUUUUAAAUUAAACUACUUUUUAUUAUAAAAAAUAUUUACAAAAUAAAAAUUAUUUACAUAAAAGUUAUUUAUAUUUAAUUUUAUAAUUAUAAUGAUUAUAAAAAUAACAAUAAUAAUAAUUUUGUUAUUUUUAUUAUCAUAAAAAAAAGUGGUGAGACUAGGAAAACGAGAUAGAGAAGUCAAUAGUAAGAAUUUCAAAUUUAAAGAUUGAAGUUAAGAUGUCAAGAUCGAAAAGAUAAGGUUGAAAAGGUUGAGAUCGAAAGUUCGAGAUUAAGAGGAUCAAAUCGAUAUGAGAAGAUCAAUAAGUCAAAACCAAAAGGUUAAGGUCGAGAGGAUGAGGUUCAAAAGGUCGAGAUCAAAAGGAUGAAGUUAAAAAGGUCGAGACCGAGAGGUCAGGGCCAAUAGGUCAAGAUCGAGAUGUCAAGGCCAAUAGGUCAAGAGUGAAAGGUUGAGAUUGAGAGGUUGAGAUUAAAAAAGUUGAGGUCAAUAGGUUAAAGCUUGGAGGAUAAGAUUGAAAAGGUUGAAGUUGAGAAGUUGAGGCUAGCAAGUUGAGGUUGACAAGUUGAGGCUAGCAAGUCGGAGCCAAUAGGUUGAGACUUAGAGGUCGAGAGCAAAAAGAUGAGACUGAGAUCUAAAGAUUGAGAAGUCGAGAUUAAGAAGUUGAGGCUGAUAGGUUAAGCCUAAAAGGACGAGGUUGAAAAGGUUGAGGCAGAAAGGUCGAGACCGAUAUUAGGAUAUUCCUCCUUGGAAUUCCAUCUAAUACAUCAAGUCCCAAGAUAACUUUUCAAUCAUGAAUCCAUCCAAUAUUUUCAUCAAAUUAUUCCAUACAAUUUAGCUUAACAUACAAAAACAUAAUUAUUGAUAUUUCAUAUCACACAUUUAAGAUAAAAUGUACACACACAUAUACAUACAUACAUAUAUACAUACAUACAUAUAUAUAUAUAUAUAUAUAUAUAUAUAUAUAUAUAUAUGAGUGUGUGUGUGUAAAUAUAUUAUAGAAUCUUUAUAUCACUCAAAUGAUUUAUAUGGAUUUAAUGAAUUUCAAAUUAAUUUGCACAUUCUCACUCGAGUAUUUAAAGAUAUAAAUGUCAACUUGACAACAUGAAUACAAAUAGUUUGAGAUUUUAUAAAUAAAACUACAACUUUUUCAAAAGUCCAAAAAUUAUGUUCUAUUUUCAAAUUAAAGAUGAUUGAAUAAAAAAUGCAAUGCAAUGCAAAAAAAAAAUCAACCAAAUUGAGUAAUUGUGGAAAAAAUUAUAUACCCAAUAAGAAUCAAAUAUAAAAGUUGUUAACAAUUCAAACUAUAAGAAUCUUACACGAAAAACUUCUCUAACUACAUAUAUAACUCCAAUUGAAGAUCCAAAAAGUCAAAAUAAAUAACCAUAUGUAUAGGGUCAUUUAUUAAAAAUUCAAAUUGUUUCGAUGAUUAAUGAAGUGAGAAUCUAUGUUUUAUUAAGAUGGCACAAUGUAAGAAACUAGGUGGCACCUAAUGCUGAUAGUGGUGCUUAGCAUUAACGAGACAAUGAACCAACGACAAAUUGGCGCUGACCAUAGUAAAUACCACCCAACGAUGUAACUCCAAAGGUUUGUUGUUUUGGGUUUCAAAACCCAAUGUCAAAUGGUAACAUGACAACAACUUAAAAAUACCAUUUCCAUACCCCCAAAUCUUACAUGUAAUGACUUAAAUUCAUGCAUUUCAAACCUGUAGUGUAAGGGAUAGCCGGUCUGGUGGAGAUGGUAUAAUUUAACUUAUGGUCGAUUAAGCGAAGACAGCAAAAUAAAGGUUGGGGAGUUGAUCGAGAAGGCAGGUAGGCCGAUCGGUUAAAUAGACAAGAAAUGCAGUCAUAGUGUAACAAGGUUAUUGAACCAAGCGAGGUGAAUAUUGCGGGCACGUUGGCAACAAUUAUAAUUGAGGGGCGAAUUUUGCGGGAUUAUGGAUCAACAGUUACGUGUAGUUAAUGCCCACUACUUGAAUCUGAUGUUUAUAAAUAUAGGAAUGCGAGUCAGGUACUUUACUUUGGAUCUAAUUGCUUUUUACACUCAUUCUGCUGUGACUUUGCUGACUUGAGCAUCAGAGUGCUAAUGUGCAGGUCACAACCGAUCGGUACCAGUGGUGAAAAGAUCUUUGGAGAGAUACAACUAGGACAACGGCUAAGACAGUUGGGAUUGUGUUCGGUUUUGGGCCUUACAUCCGAAACAAAACCCAAUGCACCGAAUAUAUAUUUUUAUAGCACCCCAUCAAUCAAAACUCAUAAAAUUCAAACAAUAUAACCAAACAAAGUUAGUUUCCUUACUUGUAAAAAGGGGAAACCCAACUCUAUCUUUUUACACCGUCCCUAUACUUUCCACACUUUUAAAAGCUCUAAAACAAAAGAUUAAACUUGUAUCAAGGACAUGAAAAUACUAUUUGAUUCACAACAAUUACAAGAUUAAAUAAAAAGAGUCUAAUAACACAUGUAGAGCCCAAACUACACAUGCAUGUAGAAUACUUGGUGACAUGAGAGAAUUAAAAUAAAAGGAGGACUUACUCUUUGAAGAGAAAUUGGAAAUGAAGAAGCUUUAUUCCUCUACUGAAGAGUUGUAUGAAAUUGGGUGAAUGAUAUUUGAAAAGGGAGAAACUUUUCUCCUUAGAGUGUUGUUGUUAAGAGUAUGAAAGGAAAAGUUAGAAAAGAAGGAAAGAGAGGAAAAGAAGAGAAUGAAAAACAGGGGAUGACCUUUUACGCCUUUCAUAUAUAUUCUUCAUUAUAUAAUUCUCAUGCAUUUCUUAUUUUGUGUUCAGAAUUAUAAAGCAUUGAAUAAAAUUUUAUAUUUAAAAUCAUAUAUUUUGGAAUACAAUUUGUAUUUGGAUUAUACAAUUUAAAUUACAUUAUAUGAUACAAAUAUGUCUUUCAAAUUGUAUAUUCCAAAAUAUAAAAUUAUUCAUAUUUAAUGUUCCUAAUUGUAUAAUUCAAAACAUUUUUAAUUACACAAGUCAAUAAUAAAACUUAAAAUUCCAUAUUAUAGGAAAAAAUUGGAAUUUUCAAACUUACAUAAAUGCAUAUUAAAAUCACAUGAGUACAAGAAGAAAUAAUCUAAAUUUAUAAACACAAAGUGAAGUCUAAGGUCGUGUUCUCAUGGAGCAAUUUAUUAUUGAAAGAAAUUAGGAGAGUCAUAUUUACAUUGACUGUGCAUGUUUGUUUUGACAGAAAACAUGUGGGAUUGAUAGAGAUUUAAAUCCUCGCAUAAAUAAAAAAAAUCCAUGAUGAUAUUUAGAGUGCUUUGUGUGAGAUGAAUAUUGAUUCUAGGAUGACCUAAUCGAUUCCAUGGGAUGAAAUCUAAUUCCAUAAAUAGAAGAACCAAUUUCAAAAUAUAGAAAUCGAUUCUUUACUUUAGCAAUUCAUGGUGUGGGGUUAAAUAUGACAUGCAUAAUAUGUUUUGCAAGUGAGAACUGAUUUCAUAUAUAUACAUAGAUAAUUAUGGGUUGAGGGGAAUCAAUUCCAUAUAUAUGGUUACGAGUUGAAACCAACAUGGUAUAAUAUUUGUUGUAUUCCAUAUAUAUAUAUAUAUAUAUAUAUAUAUAUAUAUAUAUAUAUAUUAUAAUAAUAAUAGUAGUAGUAAUAAUAAAUAAUAUAUUAAUUUCAAUUACAUGGACAAAAUAAUAAUAUUACAUCUUAUUCUAUUAAAUUCUUUUUUAUUUAAUUAUAUUUAUGAGAAAUUUUCAUGAACUUUAUUUUUAAAUCUCUUCAUUUUUACUUAUUUUCAAAUCCAUUUUCACAAAUCAUCCUUUAUGACCUAUAACCUAAAUUUGAUCACUUGAUAAAAUUAGAUUUGCAUGAAAAUAUAUAUUAUGUAAGUCACACGUCCAAAUCAUAUUUUAAUCACAAUAAAGAAAAAUUACACCAAGCAAAAGACAAUUCUAACAUAUUUUCAUUCUACCACUUUUUGCAUCGAGAAGAUGAAGAUUUUUCCUUCCAUGGAAGCUGGUAAAUAAACUUGGGCAUUUUUUUUUUAAUUGUGAGCUAAGAAGUUCUGUAGUCUUUGUUGGUCAAACAAUUGAAAGAGUAAUACGCGUAUGACUAAUUAUUUGUUUUUGACCCAUGCAUUGUGAAUGUUAAAUGAAUGUUUAAACCAAAACAUAGCAUUGUGCGAAAGCAUGUCUUGACUGGUCCAUUUGACAACCAUCUUUUACCAAAACCGUCAUAGUUCAUUUCCCACGGUGACAAAGAGACCAACUAAUGCAAAUUACUUACAUCAACCACCAUGAUUAAAAUUAGCUUGGAUUUUAGUGGGAAGGUUCGUCCUAAUCUUCGCUAAUUCAUCCUAAUCACAUUAUCUUCUAAUUAUGUUCAAUCGUGACUGCACAAAGUUCGACGCAUAAGUUUAUAAAACAAAAAGGUAUUGGAAAUUAAUUUUAUAUUGGUAUAAUCUUUUUUGCCUAAGAACAUAUUUAAGUAAGAGCGUAUUAAUCAAUCGAGUUAAGCAUCUCCGGAAAUGAGAUUUCAAUAAUUUAAAGAUAAUAUUAAUUUGCAUAAUUUAAUAUUGCUCAUGGUAGGAAUUUUGUUUUUAUUUUAUUUUUAUCUUAGGAACAAGAAGCACACGUUAAGCCAGCCUACCAUUUGAAAUUUCCAACUUUGAAAUAUUCAAUGCAUAUAUUUUUUCCAAACACAAGUUUUUAUGAAUUGAUUUUUAACCAUUAUAAUUUUUUUUUCAUAUGCAUAUAUUUUUUCCAAUGCAUUAUGAAUUGAUUUUCAAUAUUCUUUUAUUAAUUUGUAAAAACAACUCAUAGUACAUUUAGACUUGCAUCAAAUUUCGGAAAAUUUCUAGAAAUUCAUUAACAGAUAGUCACAGCUUUCACUUGCCCCAUUUUUAAGGGGGUUAUGUGUUCUCAAGGUGGAACCAGAUAGACUGCUACAAUUAUAAAAAGUGGAAUGAAAUAAACAAUUGCAGUUUGAAUGACAUAAAAAGAGAACUUUUUUUUUUUCUUUUGCAGACAUUGAUUUAUAUUUUUGUUGGAGAGAGAGAGAGAGGAGGAGAAGGAGAGAAGAGAUAGGUGAAAAUAAAGGUGGUGUAAGGUUACGUGUAUGUUUUGAAGUAGUGUCACCCCAUCAAUAAUAAGAUCACUCAAAUCAGCAAUGCAUCAUUGUUGGAUCCAAAGCUGGAUUAAGUUGGAACUGGGCCUUCUUCAUUCUUCUGUUCUGCUGCCACAAUCUCAGCCUUAGAUAACAGAUUGUUACAAUACAAAAACCUUGUAACGAAGAAGAACAACCGAGAAGAACCAUCGAUUAAGGAUGUUGGAAGGCAAAGCUUUGGUGAAAGAAACAGACAUGUCACCCAAGAUGCAGAUCCAUGCCAUGGCCGCUGCUUCUCAUGCCCUUGAUCUCUACGAUGUUUCUGAUUGCAUUUCUGUUGCUGCCCAUAUCAAGAAGGUGCCUCUCUUUCAUCUUUCUUUCUAUUUUUUUUUUUUUAUUUUCUCUUCUCCAAUCAUUUUUUUUUAUCUCAAGGCUAGAUUUUGUUCUAUGGGGUGCAUGUGUUAUUUUGUAUUGAUUAUUUCUUUGUGGUGUUUGAUUUUUCAGGAAUUUGAUAGUGUGUAUGGGAAUGGGUGGCAAUGUGUGGUGGGAUCGAAUUUUGGGUGCUAUUUCACCCAUUCAUCGGGAACUUUCAUCUAUUUUGCUCUGGAGACUCUUAAUUUUCUUAUCUUUAAGGGGUCAUCUUCUUGAUUUAUGCUAUGUACAAUCUGAGAUAGAAUCCAGGGUUUGGUUAUGAGAGAAAGAAUAGGUUUUUGAUUCUUCAUCUGAUUAUGGUUCCAUGCAGUAGCAGAAUAUUUGAGACGUGAGAGCAUGGAACAAACUAUGUAUGGAUGACUCAUGACAUGUCUCCAUCAUCUUGCCUCUCAAAUCGACCAUUUCGAUCACUCUGGAUUCUCCUAUGUAAAUGCAUGUAUCGCUCCAGCUAUGAUUAAGAUGCUGUCUCUGCUUUAUGUAUAACAAACAGAAAUAAAACUGUCUCAGCUUCAUAUUAUUUGAGGGAGAGUGCUUAUGUUUUAAACGAGUGUCCGUAUAUUUCUGUUUUCAAAACACAAUCGAUCAUUAAAUUUCUGACAAUCAUAUUUCUAAUAAAAAUGUUGUCAUACUAAUACGCAAAACUGAUACUUGAAAAUAUUAAAAAGACAAUAUUUAGCAAAUAAGAAUAUAAAGAGAAAUGAAAAGUUUGUGAAAGGAAAAAGGUAUUAAAAUUAGACAAUAAUUUUUCCUAAUUAUUUGAGUAAAAAUUCAAUUAAGCUAAUAAAUUGAUCACAAGGUCCUCAAUUAAUCCACUUAUAAGGAGGCUCUCUAUUUUAUUGACUACCAGUUGAGCCUCAUCUGCACAAAAGCCUGUUCUCCAACCACUUUCCCACAUUCCAUUUAUCUCUUCCUUGCACUUCAUGUCUUUCUCCAUCAUUGCAAAUGUGUCAUUGUACGCAAAAUCUUCCUCUCUACAAGCAUAAUCUUCUCUGUAAAAUUUCAGAUUCUCAAUGCCAUCACAGAUUUCUUCCACCAACUUGCAUAAGGAGAUGCGUAAUCUUGAGUUUCCCCCACAUGCCAGCAAGAGAGAACGAACGACUUCGGAGUCUUGAAGACUUUUACGUUCUGUCAGUUCAUAAGCGCAAUCCAAGUAAAGCCUCAUGUUUGUCAUGCUGUAAAUGGUUUCAUCCUUUUCUAGGGUGUUGUGAUGAUCCACAUCAAGAUUGAAGAGCUUCUUUGCAUGUCCUAUGAAUGAUGGACUCGUUAGAAGAAAAUGUUUCAGCUCUGUCCCUUCUCUGUCAGCGUCGACGCUAUAAGCAUUGAUAUCAUCAUUUUUAUAUUCAGUUUCUGUGGUGUCAAAACGAGACAAAUAAGUUACACAAAGACACAGAAUGAAAAUGCAUGUUAUGUGAUGAAGUUCUCGAUUUAUUCCUAGGUGUAAGCUUAGGAUAACAUAAUACAAAGCAAUGACUGAAUUACGUUGUAAUAGUAGAACUACUGUUUCCGACAUAACUUUCUCUAGGUUAGAAAUAUUGAUCAUCCAAUAAAAUAUAGAUGAAAGAAUGCUCUUUUUUGGACACAAUUUCUUCGGUAAGAAAGGAACCUUAAAAUAAUUAUUUUGAUAGAGACGGACCAAGACAACUAGAAAGAGGCAAAAAAAGUCCCUGCAGAAAUCUACCAAGAAUUCAAGGUGAGUUUACCCUUGAAAAACCCAACAAAGAUCAAUGGUUAGAUCCAUGGUAGCAGUACAACUUUUGGUUUUUAUCAGAAAUUAGAAAAUAUAGUAACUUGUUUCUGUAUUGUUCAAGAAAUUAAGAAGGCAAGGCAUUCUACUUCCAUAUAUUUGAUAAGCAUAAACACACAUACGAUGCAUCCAUAUAAAAUGCAUUUUUAGUUUCAUUUCAAUUAUGCCAGCAGGAAUAGCUUGAAAAACUUACCUCCAAUCUUAUUUAUGAAGGCAUCUGCUUCACACACCAUCAGGAGCUCAUUUUCUAGUCUAGUGGAGAUUCUAAUCUCGGGGUAAUUUUUCUUCUUUUCUCUCUGCCUGGUUUGUUCAACCUAUGCAUAAGAAUUGUAAAUUCAGACUCAGAUUGAAAAUCUCACUUCAUUAUCUGGUUAAUAUAUAUAUGCACAGAAUAAAAGGCAAACUUACAUUUAGUUUAGCCAGUUCUGGCUCAGCAACAGGGCUUUGUUUUUUCAUUUGAUUCUUUCUACCUGUUAAGGAAUCUACCACGGAAUUAACUUUUUUAUUCUCAACUUUGACGUCCUUGGAAUUCGUAGUUUUUUUAGUGGAGAUGUUGUUUGAACCUCUACUCUUUAGGCAGGAAAUCUCAUUCUUGUCGAUUCUGGAUCCACUUUUCAGCUUCCUCAAUUUUGUGGAGGGGAUUUCUCGUUUGUACUGAUGUUCUGCCACAAUUGUUGGUUGUGAGAUAUCCUUUUCUGUCUGUUUUCUGCUAAUGGGCCGUACCUUCCAUUUUCUAUCAAUUGUCUCAUUUACAUGUGAUGUAUGACCAAUGUGACAAUACAGUUUUACCUUACCCGCAUAUUCUUCAACAGGACUGCUUCCUUUUGCAUCCACUUUAAUAACCUCUUUGAGAAAUUUUGGUUCUCCCUCUUUCUUAAGCCGUUUCCUAAUACCCUUUUCCAUUCCUUUUCCCAUGUUGGUGGAACUGGAACCUUUUCUAUGUUUGAUAGUUUUGGAAGAGAGUAUUUCUCUUCUCAGUUUUGUCAACUCCUUUGGAAGAACUGGAAUAUAGGCACUUUUUUCUGAUUGUUGGUAAAUUGUACAUUGAGGUUCCGUAGGUGAAAUGUGAGAUAAAUCAACAAACUGCUUGGAACUGGUGUCAUUGAAAUGAUGAUGCACAUGAAGCUUAGAAUCUUUCACAAAAUUCUCCUUAAAAAUACCUUUGAAAUGCGUAGUCUCAAGAGUUUCCCUCACGACUUUUAGUUCUGGAUUAACCUUCUCAGCUGUAGAAUCAUUGUUUCUGACCUUUGACUUAUCUAUCUCACCACCCAAUAGUUUUUGCUUAGCAGCUGGAAAUGAUUUUGAGGGGCCUUCUUCUAAACCCAUCAGCUUGAAAACUAGGCUAGGUCCUUUUUCAAUCCUUGAAGCAAUUACUGAUAAAGAAGGAUCAAAAAGGCUGUCAGUCUUGACCCCAGAACAUUGGCUUGUGCUUAUACGAAAAGUUUCUGAAGCUGAAUUAAAUCCGUCAGAGGUCUUUGGAAACAUAUUUUGCCUAACCAAACUCUCCUUAAUCACCUUCUUAAGUUCCUCUUUGCAGUUAAUUGAAGAACCACCAGCAGAAAGCUGUGGUCUUUGAAACCCCUUUGUAUUACUUUGUUCACCUAAUGGAUUAGCCUGCCUUAUACCAAUCUUGUUUUCAUCAAUUCUGUCUCUUUCUGGUUUCUCAGUCUGUUUUCUCACAAAAGGAGCUGUAUGUUGUUGUGCGGCCUCCUCUUGCAACUUGCGAAGCAUGCUUAGAGAAUCUUGCAGACCAAGAGCCCCUUUUAAAAUACCUUUUGCUAUAUCUUCCGACUUUCCUUCACAUAUAAUAUCUCUAGACCAUGAAUCUAGCAUAUUUUUCAAGCUAUGAUCCUCUUCGGAGACCUUUGUGAGCUGCAAAGAUGAUGGACCAACGAGAUUUCCAUCGCAUUCUUUGGCGACCUUCUUCUCCUCUUUGUAUCUCUUGUAGAUCAAGGAUGUUUCCAUUAUUUCACUUGUCUUCUGCAUUUUUGUCUUGUCCUUCACUUUGUGAGAACGAGUUCUGUAUUUCCUGAUUGUCCCACAUCCCACAACUCCUUUUGGAUCAUCACAUUUCAGAAAUGAUCUAUACAUGGCUUAAUCCUUGUUUUCUGUCACAAAUUUCAUCAACAGACUGAAUUUGUUUAUAUGCUAAAACACUCAACAAUUCUAAUAAUUUUUUACAGAAUAUAUACUUACAUGGUCUAGUCCCCUUGAAUUUCACUGUUUUAUAGCGGACAUAUCAUACUUGUUUGUCACUUUGUCCCACUGAAACAUAUGCAAUUAAGCAUUUAAAUAGCCACUUAAAUAAUCAGUCCCCAAUGUCAUCCAAUAUGAACACACAUCAAAGAAACAUCAGCAAAGGAAAAGAAAAGAAAAACAUGUCCGUAUCGUAACAUUUAAGAUUUAACUGUAGACUAAGCUAUUGCAUAUAUAUAUAUAUAUAUAUAAUAUGUAUGUAUGUAUGUAUAUAUAUAUAUAUAUAUGUAUGUAUGUAUCCUACUUUAUUCUCGUAGUAACCAUUUGUAGACAGAGAGAGUUGAUCAUUGAGUUAAUCACCACUGAACUCAUAAGGGAUAUAGUACAUAAAUUUUAUUAAAGAACAAUAAAAAUAGCUAAAUUGAAGGGCGAAAGAAAAUGGUAACGUCCGAUGAAGAUUUCUCAGUGAAAACACAAACUCUCUUUUCCUUGAUUUCUUAAUAUUUUUUUUUCCCCAAAAAUACAACAUAAAGCUCAAAAGCGCAAAAAGGGAGUCAUGGUUUCAUGCAUACGUACCCUUUUCUUGACAUUAAUCCCAAACGAUGUCGUGCAAAGCAGAGAUGUCAGAAUCAGCAGAACAAACAAGAUCGCAUAGCCAAGAGGAGGAAGAAAGUGAUGAAAACAUAAAAAGAUGUGUUGCUAUGCGAAUGAGGAAGCAGUCCUAUAGUAGAGACUGAUAGGGGCAACACACGUGUAUGAUGGAUGGAUACAUAUUUAACAUAACGAAAGUGUUUGGAUUACUUUCCAAAACACGGUUAUGAGCUGAAUAGGUGGAGUACAGUUGCUUACUUGCUUUAUUUAUUGGGAUCAAUUAAAGAUUAUGAAUGCAAUAAAUGAGAGAUGAUGGUUUUGGUCGUAGACAUGUUGCAGAGUACAAGGAAACAUAAAUGUCUCAGUUACACACUGAAUGGAAAGUGGAAACAGGCACUGCAUACUAGUUGGUGAAGCCACAAAAAUCAGUUCAAAACAUUAGUACUGAUUCCCUUUUUCUUUUCUAUGCAAGACUUCUGCAAUGAAUGAUCAUAAAAGGAUGUGUUUACUUUUCAUGUGGGCUGUGGAGAUUCAACACUCCCAUCAUAUUUCCUCACUUAAUUGUGAUUCAUUUGGCUAAUCAAUGAUUUGAUAUACGCAAAGAUUGUUGCUUUCUCGCUAGCAUGACGAAAGGGUUGAGCCAAGUCAACUUUAAUUAGUGUAAAAAACUUCCAUGGUCGCGGCAUUUCAAAGAGAAACAAGUGGGAGAGAGAUCAAAACGAACAUAAAAACGAGUGGAAAUAAGGAUGUUUGAUUUACGGAGAAGAACAAACGGACAGAGGAAAAAAUAAUAAUGAAAAGCUUAACUUAAUUGUAUUUAUUCAAAAUGAAAUAAUUAAUUUAUAUUUAGUGAAGUUUAAUUUUUAUCAUGACAAGUCAUUAAUGAAUUUUAAGACGUUAGUAUAAUCUGAGAUGUUGAAAUUUAUAAUAAUGAUAUAAUCAAUUGUUUACACUCUUUUACGUUUUCCUUUGACAAAACUGAGUUAAUUGAAUAUUAUUUUUUCAUAGUUAGUGGUGUAUUUCAACGUAAUAAUGUUUAACUUUUUAUAGAAAAAGGAAACAGUUACAUCGGGUUGAGGUAGCUUAGUUUACUACUAUAGAGUCUACUAUAUAUAUAUAUAUAUAUAUAUAUAUAUAUAUAUAUAUAUAUAUAUAUAUAUAUAUAUAUAUAUAUAUAUUGCGUUGAGUUGAGUUCGUUUCUUUUUAAAUUUCAGUUAUUUAAUAAAAUAUUACUUUUUAUGUGAAGUGAGAACAUAAUUAUUUUUUAUGACAACGAAAAAGUAAUUAUUCAUAGUAAUAUAUUAAAAUAAAAAAAACUGAAAAAUAUAAUAAAUAAUUCAUUUAAAAUUAUACUGAACAAGAUUAAACGUUUUUCUUGGUUUACAUAAAAAAGUCUUAAACAACUAUCAUGAAAACAAAUAAUUAAUUACUAUUUUAAAUACAGAACAAAAGCAAUACUUCUUCAGCAAUUAAUAAAAAAUGUAUAUAUAUUAAAUUGUAUAAAAACAUAUUAUUAAAAUAUUAUUUAAUUUUUUAUUUUUAUUUUUAUUUUACGAAUUUCAAAUCAAACAUACAAAUUUUUUCUCUAUUUUUUGUAAUUACGUACCCUUUCCAAGUUUUCUUAUCUUGUCAAACAUACAUUAAAAAAAAUAUAAAAAAUGAAAAUAGAUUAAAAAAAUAGAGUAAAACUAAGUAAAAAAUCACAUUUUUAAUGAUUUCCUGGUUUUCCUUGUCCCAGACACAUUAUUAUCUAUUUAUUUUUCUCAUAUUUCUUUCUUCUCCACACUAUUUUCACUCUACCAAUAAAAUUUCUAGAUAUAAUUAAUAAUAAUUAUUCUUUCGAACCAAUCCUUGUGGGGCAUUUCCAUUUUAUUUUUUAUAUCUGGUCAACUCUACCGCUUAAUCAUCAAAUUUUUCGGUAUUCAAUUAGUUUAAAUUUAAAGGACUUAAUCCCACCUAUAUUUAUCACUGAAAAAAAAAUCAAUGAUAUAUAUAUAAUUUUAAAUAAGUUAAUUAUUAUAAUUUUUUCUUUAAACAAAAAGUUAUGUUGCUUUAGAAUUUUAAUAAAAUGAAAAGGAACACAUUACUCUUAAAAGACCGUGUAUUGUGUAGAACAAGAUGAAGUACACUAUAGUUGAUGUUCCAAUUUGACGGCUGAAGUUCUAUGUCUUAAGUAUCACUUUAAUAUGUAUUAAUAAUUGGUACUUGUAUUUUCUAAUUACAGUUUGUAUGGAAGGAAUGAAUUAUUUAAACAAACUCAAUAAAUAUAAAUAAAAUUGUUAUUAGUCAAUUAACAGGUUUUUUUUUUUAAAGACCUUUUUGAGAAUAAGCUAUUAAAGAUCAUUUUUACAGAUUUUAUUUUUUAUUUAGAACAGUGAAAUUAAAAUUAAAACCAUUCCCACAGACACGAGUAAUUAUUAGUGGGAGUGGUUGGGUAGAUACGACUCUGAGGUUGUUUUUUCUCUCUUGGGUUCUGAAUUUGUUGACGUUGUAUAGAGUAAUAAUAUCAUAUCAUAUUUUUACAUUGACACAUAAUAUUUUGGGUAAAAUGGUUUAAAAGUGUAAAAUUUUGUAGUUUUUUAAGAAAGAAGAAAGUAAAAAGUAAAUAAAGAUAAUGUGAAAUAAAUGUAAAAAAUUUAGAUGUGUCAAAUAAUCAUUUUUCCGUUGUAUAAUAUCUUUAUAAUACAGUGUAAGAAUUGAACACAUGUUUUUGAUUGAGUAUAUUAAAUUGAUGGUUUAAACCUUUUUUUGGUCCCUAAGUUAAGUUCUGAUGUUCAGUUUAGUCUCCGCUUUUAAAAAUGUCAACCUUUAGUCCUUAUGAUAUGAAAAAUGUAUCAAAUCAAUCCUAUUCGUUAACAAAUGGCAAGUUUUUCAUUAAGUGAUUUGUUGUUCAUAACACCUUUCGUUCACAAAUCACAAAAUAUUGGAUACCUAGGUAUGAAAACUUAUGAUUUAUUGUUCAUUAAGUGUUGUCAUGAGGACUGAUUUGAUACAUUUUUCAUAUCAUAGGGAGUAAAGGUUGACAUUUGUUAAAGCGGAGACUAAACGGAGAGCAUCAGAAGUUAACUUAGGGACCAAAAAGUGUUUAAACCUAAAUUGAUAUACUAUAUUAGUGAGGCUAGAGAGGAAACACUGAAUACACAAAAAAUAGGUAAAUAACUGUACAUUUUGAGUCAAACACUUGCGGAAUGUUCAUUCUUUCAUUUAAACAAGUAAAAUUAUGAUAUAUUACACUCACUCUCAUCUAAGAUCAUAACUAAAAUCCUCAUCCACUUUAUUUUCAGCUCCUUCCAUUUUGGUCGCACUUGGGACCAGUUUUUAGGUAGUUGCCCUCAGCAUUUUCAUUUCGGAAAUUGAGUUAGAUCAGCAUUUAUACACUGUCAGAUGCUCUACCUCUAAAUCUUGAUUUGAGAAAACCUUUAUCUUACAAAAAAAAAAAAAGAUAAACUUUCACUGUGCUUGAAAUGCAAAUAUUUUCUUGUAUUGGAAAAAAACAUUAUAAACCAUGUGAAAAGUGAAGAUUUGCACAUGAAUAGGUUCUUGGUUUUUCACUGGACUCGUUUUGAACGCCUCAAGAGCCAUAAGAUGUCACUACCAUGCAGUGAUCUUCUGUGGCGUCCAACCUUCUGUGUACUCUGCAGAUACAAAAACAUGAACAGAUAAAAAAAUGCACAACUAUAGAACCCAAUUAAUUCUCACCAGGUAGAGUAUAAUGACACACUUACUUGGAAAUGGAAUUUAGGAUUUGGAACAUUCGAUAAGAAUGACAAACCAUCCUUAAUUGGUGCCACUAUUGUUUAAAGCAAGAAGAUGUUUAAGAACAAAAUGUUAGAGAUGAAACCCCAAAAUUAUAGAUUACGAUAUUUAAUACUAUUCUACAUAGUACCUACCCAUGGCCAAAUUAUUGUGGCUGUUAAGUGUGCCUGUGGUUGGCUUCAAAUUCUGAACUGGAGGCUUAUGGGUGUACAUAAAGAGUGGCAAAUCCUCGUAUGUCUCUGGUAAAUGUUUAUCAUCUAACUUCAAAGGAGCUUCACUUUCGGAAUCUCUUCAUUUGAUUGAUGAAAAAGUCACAUAUUAGCUAACAUAUAUUUCAGUUUCAAGUUAACUACUAAUGGAGAAGUAUUACUACCUUGUUGCUUUCUUACUGCUUGAUCUCUCAACAAGGGAAGGUGCUGCAGAUCAUAAAAAUCAAUACCAUAAGUGAAAAGAAUUUGUGAUGGUACAACAAUGUGAUUGAUUUGGAGUGAAGGAAAUAUUUGUUUUACAUGGUGAUAAAUAACGCGAAUGAAAUCUCAGCGAAUUCUCAUUCCAUUGCAUUUUUGAGAGGGCCAAUUUGCGAGCAUAUUGUUGACACGAGAGAAGUCUCUAUCAAGAAACAAAUACAAACUUGGUUAGAUGAUUUUAAAUAAGGGAUUAAUUUGUGUGAAGCAAUACUAACUUGUUGAAGGCAUUGGAUUCGUAACUCGGCUUCAGAAAAUGCAUUAGUGUGAGAAAUAAGGCCAUCGAGAUUGGAAGAUACGUUUCCAAGAUGAUCAAUAACAGUGACCAUGCUCUUGCAGAUGUACUCUUUUGUGUCGUCCACCACACUGCAACAUUUUCCAAUACCAGUUUGUCACACGUCAACAUAUGCACCAACCAAACAAACUAUAUUUAAUAUGAAUUAGAAAACACAAGCAACAUAGCAGGAACUACUAAACUGCUUUUAAUACGUAACCUCUUAAAACAGCAACUAAAUCAUCCCAACCAACCACAAUUAUUGGAAGUGAGAAUUGUAAUUCAUUUCCAUUUAUAUUUAUACACACAGUAUUUCAGUCUCUUACGAUUUGAGAUUUUGAGUACGUCACUCACUCCACAUUUAGACACAUCCUAAGUUUUUUCAAAGGUCUUGUACAAGUUUUUGAUUCUUCAGUUUCAAGCUUAUAUAUUCUUUCAAACACAUCUGAAUCCAUUUAGACACAAAAACAACUACAAAAGCUAGAUUUUAAUUUAAGACACAAUCAAACUGGCAAAAUAAAAGCUAACUCUAGGCUUAUAGCAUGGUGAGAUUAGAGCACUCACUCAUUAUUCUCUUCACUCUUAGAGAAAGCUGUUUCACAGUAUUCAGCUGCUUUGUGUAGUUGAGACCUUAGUUCCCGCAGCUCCUGCAAUGCAAACACCAUAUGCAUGUACUAAAGAUUGAACUUAAAAGUAUAACUAACAUAUAAAGUAUUGUUGAGUCUAGAUGUGAACCUGAAGAGACUUGUCAAAGCGCAUGGUUUCUUCUACCUCAGCAUCAGCUAUAGACCUGACAUUGAACUCCAUCAUAUUGCUACAAGCUUAAUGCUUGUAAACUUAGGAUCUAAUAUAAUGCUCACUUUUCUGAAUGAAGCUCAUCAAGUAAUUAUCAGAGGAUUUAUGUAAUCUGGCUUUUGGAGGCUUGUGAUAUGAUGAAGCAAACAAGGCUCCUAAAAAACAGAUUCUGCAGCCCAUGACCAGCCAGCACACACAUUAUAGAGCAUGAUGACAAAUAAACAGUUUCAGUCCCGUGAUAUUCUGUUUUUUUACCAUGAUGGGCAUCUAAUUAAUUAAAACAUCAAAGUAAUGACUCACAGUAUAGUGCAAUAACAGGCCCUACUGGGAUGUCAUUUCUUUAAAAAUUGGCAAUCAUGCAACAAACAGUGGCUUAUAAUUACUCAGUGAGAUUGUCAUCUUGAGUUUUCUGAUAAGAACAAGUCACUUACUCACGUAUAUGAUAUAUGUGGUUGCUAAUAAUAUUUAUAUUUAUAUUUUUAAAGGCACGUGACUUGUUGGAGGGCUUAUUUGGCUGGAGGCUUAAACAGCUUAGCACAUGCAGUGUUUCAUGUGACAUGUAUGUAUGUGUAGGAUGUAUAUCAUGUGCACUUUUGAUUAAAAUAAUCGUAAGUGCUUACGCAUAGUUAAAGCCUUUCACCUCACAUUCUUUUAGAACAAAAAGGAACCUGUUAGAUACACAAUCUUAUUUUAUUCGAUCAACCUUGUGAGAUUUAGAAUGAUCCCCUCUAAGGAAGCCUUAAUUGGGUGAGUUAUUAUUACAAAACAACGUAAAAAAUGGAAGAUUUGGGUGAAGAUGAGGAAGAAGGAAACAAAAUAACCAACCAUGAUACAGACACAUACGAAGUACCGGGUAGCAGGAUGGAAAAGGUGGUUUGGUAAAGCACAGAUUUUUGAACAUGUCACACCAGUCACAAAAGUAUUGAAGAUACAAAUUUAGUAACCAACUUGAUGACCUGCGACUUUUACUUGUAUUUUCAGUAUGGUAUGCAACAUGCAGAUGCCUUCUGCUGUUCAAAUUUGAUUUAAUUAUGAUUCGUUAACAUGACAUAGAACUGUUUAAUUGAAAUUUGCUGUUCUGUCCAUUAACUAUUAACUGUGGAUACGUGUGGACUGUCAUGUAGCAUUUUACAUCAAUUUUGUACCCUCCUUUACCAAACAUUGACACACGUUGUGUUUGUUUUUGGGUUGUUUAUAAUAAUAAAUAUUUGCUUAUAAAAAAAAAAGAAAAAAAAAAUUGAACCUAUGUGAUGACGGCCAAAUAAUCACGAAACAGUAUCUUGUCCCAUGUGUGAACAAUGCAGAAGUUAAUUCUAGAUAAUAAUUUAGAACUACAUAUCAUCCUUUGUAUUUCUCCCGGCAAUAUAAAACUAUAUUGGAGCUUCUCAUCAAAACCACUAUGAUAAUUUCUAGUGCAUAGCUCAAGAUAAUCAACACGACAAUGAAACUCUAUAUCUGAAAAUCAAUGGUACAACCACCAAUCGAUUCUGCAGCUUCAAUGUCAGACAAUAUAGAGUUAUUAUUAUCCGAGGAUACGGGUCCUAAAAAAUUAUCUCUAACACUUUUAUACAAUUCCUGAGACGUUUCCCUUUUUUCUUCGUGGUUGAAAAGAUUCUGACGUUGUGAUUCCUUUUCAGACGCAUUUCUAGUAGUUGAUCUUGCCCAUUCUCCUUUUUGCAAGUGUCUAGAGUCUAACGAAAGGGAAGAUAAUGAGGAGGGGAUUAGCAUAACAUUAAGUUGAUUAAAAAGAAAAACUUUAUAAUUGGCAAUAAAUAACGAUGGCAAACAUUGGAGCUGUAACAGACAUGUUUAUCAGGCUAAAUGACGAGGACUCAAAGAGUUAGAUCAUUUUAAUGGUGCUUGAGCUACACUUAGAUUUUUCAAGUUACUAAUAAUUAUGUUCGAAAAACCGAACUCCCUGUGCAAUGUAUAGCCUUUUAAAUUCUUUUCUUUUUCUUUUGAGGUAAUGAAAUGAAUUUUCUAUUUUUUAUUAGUUCAAUUCAAAAGCCUAUGCUAAUACUUAGUUAAUUGAGUGGAGAAGUGGCUCUACAUGUCAAAAGAAAAGUGAAUAACAAAAGGGACCUAGAUAAGUAUAUAUAGAAGAUCAUGAAUGUUACAUGAACCAUUGCAUACAGAAAGAACAAAUAAAUUCAAAUUAGUGUUUUCACCUCAAUGCAAUCUCUAAAAUGGAGAGGAUCAUAUAUUUAGCGAGUAACAAGUUCUUGCAUUUCCAACCCUAACCUUUGACAAUCUGAAAUCCCAAUGUUCAUCGUCACAGAAAACAAGCUAGCUGAGUUUAUAUCAGUCCAGAUGAACUUGGGUAGCAUAUGUUAUGAAGAGUUAAUAAAAGAAGCAUCAACGUAUUGAUUUAAAACACCUGUAGGGAAGUAUGAAUUUCUACUAUAUACCAUGUAUUUUGGUAAUGAAUUUGUUGCUGCUAAGUCUGCUUAAAAUUUUAUUUUUGACAAAUACUUUUUACUAGCAUAAAGAAUAUCCUUAAUUUCAUUGAAACAAGAGUAAUUAAUACAAUAUAAGUUGUAAAAGAAGCCACGUAAGUGCAAACCAGAUAGAGUCCUUAGUAAGUGCGCCAUCAAUUACCUUUAAAUGAUGUGGAAGAAUCUUUAGAAACCAUCUCUAGUUUAGCACGGGUAAUGCACAACCAUCUUCUUUCUGAUUCAUAAUCAAGUUCUGUUUCAAUUGGAAUAUGCCAGUGGCCUUCCUCUGAUUCCUGUUACCACAAUUGCCAUGUUAUGUUUCCUUCUUUCUUUCUUUCUUUUCUUCACAUCUUUAUUUUUUCAAAUUUAGAUGUAGACAAAUAUAACUUAAUCUGUGUUCAUGUUCUGCUGCUUUUCGAACAGGGUAAGAGCUAACCUGAAUUACAACAGAACAAGGAGGGGGCAUGUGAAACACUGGACUACCACCACCAGAGAAACUGAAGCGUACCUUAAAUUUGGUAGACAGGGAUUCCAAUGUUAGGAUGGGCUUAAAUUGCACGUAAUCAAAGAAAGGGAAUGUAAAUUCAAGACAAAACCUUAUUACCAAUGACUUAAACCUUAAAUUGCAGAUGUAUUUGUCUAUAUAUGAUUUAACCAAUUACCAUGACUAAAACACUAUUUCAUCAGAUAUAUAAAAUCAGUAUUAAAAUAAAAACAAAGAUCUAAUAGAAAACUCUUCUUUCCAAAGGGCAUUACCUGAUGCCUUUCUUUCCAUUUGGGGAAAAAGUCAUUUCCCAAAAGUUGAAAUAGAUGAUCUCUCAUCUCAUCAUUGGUAACAAGUAAGCAUUUAAAUUUUAUAGUUGCAUACAACCAGUACCUGAAACACAGGUCAGUAAAUGCAGCAAGAUAUGCCUAACCAGUACAAAAAAAUUAAUAGCAUUUGUUCUUACCAGUCAUCAUUUGAUCCAGAAGGUGUUGCAUAGAGUGCAUCAGCACUAUUCCACUUAUCAAUUAAUGCCCUGUUGACCGAUUCAUCCAUUUUGUCUCCCUUGAUACGCUUAUUAUGCAAAAUAAUAAGUGGAAACUUCUUUGAAGGGAGCCUUUGGCGCAUUUCAUUGGCAACAGCAUUGAUCUAAAGUUUUCAUCUCAAAAGAAAAUAAUCAAUAACCAUAACAAGAACAACAAACAGGGAAGAAAAGAUGAGAGUAUUUUCCACACUCAGUAACUUGCCUUUUGUGGCAUGAACCUACUUUGGCCAAAAAGGCCAACAUUUGCAGCAUCUAUCACCGCUUCAAAAGGUCCAUAGUAGUCAAGCCAUUUCUGCAAUGCACAUUUUCAUAUAUUCCAAUUGCAACAUCAUCAAUCUAUAACAAAUUAUGAUUGUUUCUUACCUGAAAUUUCUGGAAGUUUGAUCCUUUUUCUCUCAUCAUGGCCAUAGAUGCAACUGAAUUGGCAAAAUGUUCAGUUUCAACAGGAUCGAGAUCAAUAGUGGUCAACUGCAGUCCACAGCAUUUACACACUCCAUCCUUUCCAAUGGUUGUAUGAGAAGUUUCCCAUUUCCCCUUACCCAACCAACCCUGCCCAUGCCAGCCUCCACCAUUGUUUUCUAUUGCUUCCUUUAUCAAUCUCCUAUCCCAUUUUCUCUUCCCAACUCUUGAAGCCUGCUUGCUCUUAAACCAAUCAAGAAUCAAAGACGCAGUGGCCUGAGAUACUUUCCUCACACUACUUCUUAAUUUGUGCAACACGUAAUAAACCCUGUCACUAUUUCCAGCUCCUAUGCUCACCCUCAAGAGAGCCUCCAACUCAGGCUCUUCAGGGUAAACACCAUGCUCAAGCAUGUGCUUUUCAACAGCAAAUGCCUUAUCUAUCUCUCCAUUAUUGCAAAAUGUGGAUAAAGCAGGACCGUAAGACCUUAACUUAGGACUUAUCCCCAAGUCAUUCAUCUGUCUCACCAUCUCAAAAGCCAUGUCACCAUCACCCACGGACAUGGCCAUUCGAGCCACAGCCGUCAACGCAGCCUCAUUCAUUUGAACCUUACCCACACACAUAUUCUCAUACACCUCAAACCCUCUCUGCAGUGCAUAUCUCCUGUCUUCCUCGCUCACCAGAAAAACCCCAUCUUUCCGAGUGGAAUUCAAAUCAGAAUUUAACGCGGCAUUGCAAUCCAACUCAAAAGAUGAGUCAUUUGUGUUCAUUGGUCCACUCAACCCCUCAUUCAGAAGUCCAUCGGAGGAAACAAGUGCAUUGAGAGUUCUAGCACCACUUCCACUUUUAGCCGGUCGAACAACACCGACAGCUGCAGAAGAACACAGAUACAACAACACAGUGUAAUGGUGCUGCCCCAGUUUGACACCCUCUGAGAUUGCAGAGUCAUAUAAGGACAACGCCCCCAUAACAUCACCUCUUUUAGAACACAUGUCCAAAGCAUUCUUCAACUUCACUUGCGGGCUAUCCCUAUCCAGUUUCCUCUUCCUCAUCUUCUUUUCCACUUUCUCGGUAACCGUGCAACUGCUGCCACUGAUGGUAGCUUUUGCUUCCAAAGACCCCCGGCAGUCUCUAAAAGCGAAAGGAGCUGUCUUGGCAAACCAUGAAGCGGUUUCAGGUAGAGAAUUGAGAUAAGAGUAUCGAGUUGCAGUUUGUUUUCUUUUGAUGGAAAUGAAAGUGACGAUGUUGUUUGAAGCGCGAGUUUGAUAGAGACGACAAAGGUUAGGCUUAGAGUACGAUAAAGUGAGAGAUUGUCGAAAUUGCAGAGUGUUGAAGUAAAGGGCAAAGGAAGCCAUCACCUACCUCACCACCAUCUGUCACUUCGUCUCUGCUCUCUCUCCGAUAACUCUUCACCCUCACUCCAAAUCUCCUCAAAUAAGAUUUUUACUUCAUUACAUUACGUCUUUCUUUUUUCAUAUUCAAACUUUAUCUUAAUACAUUAAGAAAUUCUAAUAUUUCAUUUGAUAAAGAACCAAUUAUACCAUGAGACGAUAAAACAUAAAUGUCAAGAUUUUGUGAUGUCAUAAAACAAUUUCAUUUGUGAUGCCAUAAAACAAAGUAAUCAAAUAAUAAAAAGAUUGGUAGUUUUGAUAAUUCAUCAAAUGACAAAAGUUCAUUUAUCAAUUAAGUUUAAACAUAAAAAUUAGACUUCAUCAUUAUCCAAAAUUUUAAUGUAUUAUCUAAAAUUUUAAUAUAUUUUAAUUUUUAAAUUUUAAAAAUAAAUAAAUAUAAUAAGUUUAAUUCAUUAUAUUAUUUUUUUGUGUGAAACACGUUUCAUAUUAAUAUAAUUUGUCUAUUUAAUACAUUCUCCUUUUAAUGUGAACUAAAAAACAUGCUUAAGAUGUUAAGUUAUUUUAACAUAAUUGAAUUAAAAAAAUCAAAUUUUAAAAUUUAAAACUAAAAUGUAUCAAAAUUUUGAACAAAAAUAAAUUUUAAUUUUGUUUGAAAGUUUAAAAUGUGCAGCAUAGCUUUCUUUUUUUUACCAUUUCUAAUUUAACAUAUAUUGUAAUAUAUAAAUAGCUGUAGAAUUCAAUUCGAAUAUGAGAGACAGAAUUCCUCGAAAAUUCUUGAUAGUUUUGUUCUCAAGAAAUAAGUAUUCUUCAAAGUUGCCAACUAUACUUUUAUAGUUAGUUAUAUUUACUUCAAAUAUAAGUCAACCAAAAUAACCAUUCAUUAUAUAAAACAUACAUGAGGAAAACUUUAAUAAAUUUGAUCCGCAAUUAAUGAAGUUAAUCAAAAGCUCAAAUUCUUUGAUACUAGUUAAACUCGAGCUCUCCAAGAUUAUCUAGAAAAACAGCCAUUGUGUUUUAAAACUACCUUGAAAUUUGUCAAAUUUAGAGUUGUACUUCCAAGCACAAAUAUAUUCCUGCACAUGAUCGUAGUUGGAAGGAGUUCCUCUUGAUGGAAACAAAUUCUAAACUGCAGAGUUAAAAAAUCAAGUUCCAAAGCCACUCACCAGAAACUUUAGUUCUUGGCCAUACCAGUGCUUAUACAGAAACAUUAAUAUAGAAAUGGAAAACUAGUGUUAAACUCAGAUCUCGACUAAAUAAGCAAUUUUUAUUUUGGGAAAAACCAACCAAACCAUUAUUAAAAAUCAUUCAACUAUAUUAGGCAUAAACAAAGGAAAAUGUAACUGUAACAAGAUUGCAUAAACAAAAUGGAAGGUGUCAACAGCGGGUAACGGUUUAGCAUGUCAUAACUACCAGGUAUUUUGUUCCCAUUUUACCUGUGUUAACUGUCAACCUUAGAUGCAGAACAAUUACACUAUAUCAUAACAACUUCCUCAAAGACUCACAUUCAAUAUGAGAAAUAUUAGCACAUACAACAGCCUCCUUGCAACACACUUUCCUAUCAGAUGUAAUUCCUGAGUCCAACUAAACAAGUACCUCAUUUCCCAUAUGCUAGCAUUCCUCUACACUACGGUAUGAUAUCUGGUUUGACGAUGAUUUAUAAAUACCAUAGAACUGUAGUAAUGAUGGAAACAGCAACAAAUAAAAUGGAUUAAAUCCUCAGGUAUAAUGCACUCAAAUGCAUUACUAGUUAACAAAAUAUUUAUCCAUAGACUGGAAAGACCAAAAAAGAUAUAUUCCAGAAAUAUAUGAAGAUAAAUUGAACUAGGCAACAUCAAUUGCACUGCGUGUCCUCAAAAUAUGUCAGAUGAAGAAUCAUGUGUCAGUAGCCUCAACAUUACAACAACUGAAAACAUCAACAUGAGCCUGACAUCCAACGAAAAUGCUACCUUGCAGCUACUAACUGCUGACAAACGCUGUCAUAAAGGCAUGGAAAUACCUGUAAAAUACACAAAUGGAAGCAUUGCAAUGAGUUCUUGUCAUCCAGUUAUUAAAGUUAGUACCUCAAAUUAAAUAGAAAAAUGAGAUGAGUGCAAUUUUCUAAUCAACAAUGUAUUUUAACAAAAAAAUCCUGAUAUUUCUACAGUGUACAGCAAGCCUAACAUCAAAGAUAUAUAUUUACUCACGCAGACAACUUCUAACAAAGUGUGAAAGGAUCCAAUGACAUUUAAUUUUGUUGAGUUCUAAAAUAUAAUCUUAUGCAAAAAUUAAAAAAAAUCUAGAUAUUUGUCUUCUUGGGCAUCAGGUAUCUCUAGUUAACAGUUAACACGCAUACCCUGGAAUGCACUGCAGCAAAACUUCAUCAAAAUAAUACCAUCAUGAUUUAUUUUGGCUUUUUUUAAUUCAUGAUGCAACUAUCGUGGAACAUUUUCUAUCAGCCGGCUAAACAAAUCUGUCUAUCUACUUAUCUACUAGCAUAAGAUCCAAAGAUUCCAAAAUUUAAAAACAAUAGGUAAAAUCAAAAUGAUAUUGACCAAUUUACUAUAUCAUUUGGAAGAACUCCCUCCUCUUACCCCUUGGUGCCAGACUUCAUAACACAUUUCCCUUGAAUGCCUGCCGUAUGUUUUCUCACAUCUAAGUAAAUUCUGUCACAAAUAUAUAUACUUCCAAUGCCAAGUGCUGAUCAUUUGGUAAUGGUAUUGGAAAAUCAAUUUAUGCACUUUGCUUUUUUAUAGAACCUCCCUCGUCUAACUUAUUUAAACUCCAAAGUGCAUUCAGUAGAUUUUAACUCCCGAGAUAAACACAACUUAUUUUACUUUCUUGUUUUCGUCUCCUAUGAAUAUUUAUUGAGAAGUUUAACCGAUCAGACCUUUCUCUCCCCCACUUGUAGUUCUAAUUCAUAUGCAAUGGACAGAAAACAGUAGCAAUGUACACAACACAAUAUAGCAAACAUUAACUUUACUUCCUAGGAUUGAUUUAAUGGUAGGAGUUUUUAGUACUUUACACGAGCUCUUCGAUUCAAACCUCACCCUCCUGAUUGUAUACGCGUAUUAAAAAACGAAGAUAUAAAAACCCAAGAAAAAAACACGGGCUAUUAGUGUGACGUGCAACGACAUUCCUUGCCACAAAUCUCAUCUCACAUUCCUUAAAGUCAUGCCAGAAAUUCACAAUAACAUUGCUGAAUAGUGAACAAACGCAAAAAGAACACACCUUGAGGAACUAACCCCCAACCCUUAGACUCAACAGACAGGCUCGACACUAAUCGAGCUGAAGCCACCGCGCUAUGUAACGGCAUAAUUGAUUCCAAACUCGCCAACUCCACCGGUAACCUAACCAACCAAAUUACAAAGUUUAAUUAAAACAAAUAAAUAAACAAAAUCAUAUGAAAGUGUCAUAUAGGUUUUCAAGAACGAAAUGCCAAUGAAAAAAUUCAUUUUUUUUUUUCUAUUAGGAGAUGAAAUGAAGCGUAAGGGAGAUGCGGGGCUCACCGGAAAGUACGAGAAAGGCGGCGCGCAGAGAGAGGAAGUGGAUUGGAGUGAAGAGAGAGUGAGGGUUUGGUGAAGUUGCUGUGAGCAAGUGUCUGUAACCGAGACGACAACCUACACAAAACCUUCGAUGAUGCCAUUUGUGUGUUGUUUCAGCUGAAAAUGUCACACUGUGGAGUAUGAAACCUUCCCACUCCUAAUACUAUAUUUCCCAGAAUAUCAACGACGCCGUUUCGCCUUAUUGUAUUUCUCUUUUUCUUUAGGAAUUCUCUAUAUUUUCUUUUGCCACUCCUAAUACUAUAAUUUCUAACCAAUACCUUGUAACAAUUAAUUAUUAGUUAAUUAACAAUGACAGUUUGUUCUGUACAAAUCAUAACAUUAUUUAAAAAAAUUGUGGAAGUUUAAUUUCUACACAACUUUACUGUUUGUCUAAUACAUAACUUGAGAAUGCUUUAUCCUUUUAUCAUCUUUUAAGCUUAAAAAAAGUAUAAUCAAUAUUUAUCUUUAUAAAUCAAAUAUUAAAUAUCUUUUUCUUUAUUUUGUAUUCCUUUGUAUCAAAUUUAUGGAGACUGAAAUUGAGUAAUUUAUAUUAUUUUUAGAUUUGAAAUCUGACACUACAUUUUGAUACAUCCAUUUAGAUUAAACAAUUUCAAAGUUACAAAAAUUAGAGUUCAGAUAUCGAACGGAAUACUUUAGAAAGCUUUUUAUAUCUAGAAAAAUAAUGAUAAUAAUGACCUUUAAUGAAUUAAUGUAUCUCUGAAUCAAAUUUAAUACUAUUAUGAAUUUUAUCAUAUUACUCAACGUAUCAAUAUGGUUUAAUAGUUAUUUAAAAAUGAACCAUUUAUUUUAGCAAUUAAGUUUAUUAUAUUACAAAAAAUCAUUUAAAAUUCAUAUUAUGUAAUUUAAAAGUAUAAAAAAAUAAAAUUAUAAUCCAUAGCACAAAUUAUAUCGUUUAGGAACUGUUAUAAUAUAUUCUUCUUUUUAAUAUUUUUUUCGCAUUUUAUUUUUUCAGUGUUAUUCUUCUUUUUUCUCCCUUAACGACAAAUAUGAGGAAAAUAAUUAGAAUUGGGCAUAGUUCAAUAAACUGUACUAAAACUACCGUUAAUCAUACUAUAUUGUACUUAAAAAAAAUUAAACUUAUUUUAACUAAAAACUAAUUAACUAUUUUAUAGUUCAGUUAAAAAAAUUGAAUUUUACUAUGUUUUAGUGCAGUUAACUAGUUAAUUGUAUUGUAGUUUGAAUGAAAUCAUGCUCGUACGAUACAUCAAAAUUUGAAUGAAAGACUAUAGAAACAUAAAAAGAAAAAACUCAAGAGUUAAAAAAAUUGUAAACCCAGGUAAAUAUUUCUUCAUUUAUUUCUUAUUCUUGAGUAAUUUUGAUACGUAAAACACUAAUAAUCAUACAACUUUUACAAAUAUACGAUACACAAUUCUUUUCUUGGUGUUUUAAACUGAGACACCAUAGUACAAUUUGUACUAAGCGUUCAUAUUUUCAUGAAUAAAACCAUUUGGCAUAGAAUGAAAAUCUAGGUUGUAGAGCAGAACUAGCAUGGCCAUUGAAGAGAGGAAAGUUGGCACAGGUCCAAAGAUCCAAAGCAAGAAGGAAAGUGUAUAGUAGAGAAUCCAGUUUCCCAGUGUGUUCAAGAAGACGACCCUGUCGAAAAGCCGAAUUAAAUACUGUGAAUUGACUAAGGACUUGUGAUAUUGUGGAAAACAAAUCAGAAUAUUGAUUUGAUUGAGAAACCCUAUGCAGCAAGUGUGACAGAGAAAUGAGAAUAAGAAUGCAACAAGGAGUUCAGACCCACCAUUAACUAGUUAAUAGUUAAUUAAUUGUAUUUUUAUUGAAUUAAAAAACAGUUUACUAAAUUGUAUUACAAUUAACUGAACUAAAGAAUAUUUAAACUAUUUUAUAGUUAAUUAUAAUUAGUUUGCAGUACAGUGCAAAUAGUGCAGUUUGUCCACCCCUAACAAUAAUGUAGUACAAUAAGGAUAGGUAUUUUAGUUAUUUUAUAUUAGUGUGGUUGUGUAGUUAGUAAUUGGGAGUGUAGAAAGCAAUAGCUACAAUUUUGUUGGAUAGUGAAACUAGCCCAUUGGGUUGGCACAAGUUGAAGCCCGGUCAUGGUGCUAUCAAAAUCAUUUGGGGGUUACUCCUUCUACCUCCCCAAUUCUAACCCCCACCCCCCAUUCCAUUUUUAAGAUUUGUUUUAUUAGUUUACUUUUUAUAUUAAUUUUUAGAUAUUUUAAUAAUGGAAUUUAUAUGUUUUGAUGUAUUAUUUUUAAAUAUAUUUUUAACUUAUAAAUGGGAGAGUGAGAGUUGCAGAGAGCGUUUGGAGGAGGAGCGUUUCAAAAGCUUUGGUGGGGGUGGGGUUGGGAAUACGAAGGAGAGGAAUUUGAGUCUGUGUGUUUUGACUGAGGCAGACGGUAAAAGAGUAGGUUAACUUUAGUAAUUAGGUGUAAAACGGUAAAAAUAAAAAAUAUAUAAAGAUUAAUUUUGUAUUUAAAAAAAAAUCCAAAAAAAUUGGGGGGGUGAGGGUUGGAAUUGGGGAGGUACAGGGAGUAACUCCCAAAUCAUUUUCUAGAUGAAGAGAUAUGAAAAUGACAUAAAAGUGGUUGGUAGUAUUUUUCUUUUAAAUUUUUUCAGUUUUUAACAACCAAAUAACAUUUUAUGACAAAAAUAAUAUCUUUCAUGUUAAAAAGUUAAUCGGAAACAAAAAUUUGUUAGAGUAAAAAUUUUGUAAUCUUAAUUUUUUUUGUUUAAUUUUCUUUUUCAUUUAUUCAUACAAAUUACAAGCAAUAUAUAUUUUUCUUUCCAUUUUCAGUCAUUUAAAUUACAGUGACUAAGCCUUAAAUGGUGAAGAAUUAUCGGGUGAGUACUAACCAUAGAAUAAAAUUAUCAUCAAUUGGAGAAAUGUAAUUAAAUUAAGCUAGACUGUAAGAAAAUUACAAUUUAUAUGCGCUCUAGUUCAAACUGUAAUUUCGCUUCAUUUGAAUACAACAAUGAAUGAGGCAAAAGAAAGUAAAGGGGAAAAAAACACUAGAAUGGGGGAAUUAAGUUACAUUGCUUCUUUUAUGAAAUUACAAGUCUGCAAUUUACAAGUUACGUCGAAGCAGAGCAAUUAAUUCAGAUUUCUAUACUUGAAUGAACGGAGUAGAAGAAGAAAAUUGAUAACCAAAAAAAUUGAUCCUAUGUGGACUAAUUGGUGGGCCCGUGUGCUUGACAGUUGACACGCCCUUCAAAGAGAAGCAACAUAACGAAGAAUAGUGUUUUUACAGUUCAGAGUUGUAGCAUACCUUCACAAAAUAUUCUUCCAUAGUUAUCUCAGCUCAUCUAAGUUAGAUUUCUUUUCAUAUCUAUUUUUCAGGAAUAAGACUACCACCAGGGAACGAAGAUGUAGAAGUAAUGUUGGUCGCAGCUUUGGCAACAACAUUAUUAGUGGUUCCCUGCUGAUGGGCUGUCUCAGUACUGGUAUUAUUUCCAGUGCAAUUGUUGUUUGGGUCCUUUUCACUCUCUAAUUCACUUCUAGCUAAUGAAGAACACUUCGUUUCUGAAAUUGGGAAUAGAAAUUAGAAAUUAGCAACAUCAAACAAUAAAGUAGGUAAUGCAAAAAAUACGCAAGAUUAGGUUAGAGUAUGUAAACCAUAAAUAAACAUUUAUCAUCUACUGAGACAAAGAAGGAAUCCAGCACAUGAAUUUUGAUACUUUGAGCACAUAACUCGGAAAUUUCAAGGCCAUUUCAACAGACAUAGCUAUAUAUAAGCAGGCCCAACAAAGCAUUAACAAACAAGAAAGAAACAGCUGGAUAAUCUGACUCUCUUGAUGUACACUUUAAAACAAUACAUACAUACACACAACUAUUUUCAAUCCACGAGGUAUUUACUUCAUGUUCCAUAGAACUUAGUCAUCCUUUACCACAAACAAUAACUUGAAAUCAGCAAAACACAGAACAAACCCCGUAACUUUGAUUUGAAGUGAACAUUUUUCAAGAUUAGGCAUUUAAGCACAAGCUGCUACCCAAAAUCAACGGAAUAUGAACAGAUUGCUCUUAGCAGUGGAGAAAAAAUCAUGUACAGGGAUGUGAUAUAACUAAGGUAUAUUUUAGGAGGAAUAAGGUGGUACGAGGAUCAAGCCUCAAGGCCCAGCAGGGAAGCAACAGUGAAAUCAUGAACAAUACCUAGGGAUGUGCAUCUUAAUGAAAUUUGAUGGACAGGGUGUCACAGAAAGCAAAUGGAACAGGGGAGAUUCAGGUGGGGAGUGCAGAAUAAAGGCUAGUAAGUGAGAAAGGGGUAAAGCCAACACAGUGCUAUUUUACUUUCUUUGCCGUAUUUCUUUCUUAUCUUCGUGAAAAUGUACACUCCUCUCGGCUGAUUGGUAUCAAACUCAAAUAAAGUCAGUUUAUACAUAAAGAGUACAGGUUUAGAUUCACAGAAGUAGAACUAACCAGAUGGUAACAAAGACAAAUCAACUCACGGAAAAAUAUGAAAACGGUUAUUGAGAAGGCUGUCAAUGUUAUUGGGAGUGAGGCUAUUAUUUGUCUAAAUUGAAAGUUGAGAAGAUCCAUUUGUAACAGCACUAGCGCUAAGGAUGAGAUUUGAAAUUUUUGCAAACAAAUCAUACCUCAGAUCGGAUGAAGGUAUUAACUUACCAUUUAUUUCUCCCAUAGUGAUAACCCUAUUGAGAAAGUCUCUAAAUUUUGUCAAUACAAUUUUUUCUUGCUCGGCAUAGACCUCUGUCAUUCCUUGUCCAUAUGGCGGUUGCGAAGAUGUGUUGCAAGCAUGAGCCCUUGAUCCAAUAGGGGAGGCAGAAGUCAUGAACAUUGUGUCUUGCUCAUCGCACAUCAAUGCUAAGGUUCCAGGAGACAUUGGCCUCCCUUUUGGGACAUCAGCACCAUCUGAACAAGAAUUAUCUGGGCUGAUUUUAUCUGUCUGGUUUGCACUCAAACAAUCAUCAUCAGCCAUAGCUUUCUCAACAUUAGCUUCCUUUUGGUUUGGUAAUUGCUCUUGAGUUGAAGAAGCAAGAGAAGUUUCUGUGUGAUCUUCCGCAUGCUUGUCCAUUAAAUUUUUCUGGUCUGUUCACAGUAAUAAAAAUAAUCGGUCAAAGAACACAAGUCAAUUGAUAAUGCUGAUCACUGGUAGAUAGAUAGCAACUGAAAUCACCAAUCACACAGAAAACUAGAAAUUUCUUGUCCACACACAAUCUUUUCUUCUAGUACGUGUAUACUAAUGGACCACAAGUAUUACAGCCCGUUUGGUUGUAGGAAAUAUUUUUUGUUUUCAAAUCCUUAAUUUUUUACUUAUGAUUAUGAAAACGCUACAUGGCUUUCACCAUUUCCAAAACAAAACUCUAGAAGCAAAAAUAAAAUGAAAGUUUUUAUAAUUAUUAUGAUAGAAACAUAAUACAUAAAAAGAAAACAUAUUUUAUGGAGUAACAUGAAAAUUUUAGAUGAACUAAAAGGUCAGUUGUCAAUAUAGAGGAUUCUUAGGUGCUCAAAUUUUUCAAUACUUCAGCAUCUUGAACAUUGCAUUCCCUCCAAUAUUCCAAAACUCACCAAACAACUAUUCAGUUGCAAAUAAAUCGGCGCAUGGGCAGGGUAACAAACAUUUAGAGAUCACGUAAAAUCAAUUCCUCUUCAAAAUAGAUAACUUUUAAUUAAUUGCACUUCCUUUUCUGCUUUCCUUAUUUCCCAUGAAGGAAACUAUUGUUUGCAGGUACAUUAUGAAUUAAAUCAGGUUGAAUUCUGUAAUUUAUUAUUUAGCCAAUUAAAUCCUCAAAUUAGUUUGAUGGCACAUAAAAACAACAUGUUGAUAAAAUUCUGAACCUUACUAUGGUUGAAAACUUGUUUAGUUUUCAUUUUGUAAUGCACUUGUAAAGCAACAAAUUAGAAAGUCUUAUCUGAUGUAACAAAUUCAAUUCGAGCACGCAGAAUUAAAACAUGUAUAAUGCUCACUCAGUAUACGAAAGAGAAAAAGCAGAGAAAAAGUGGGAGACAGAAAAUCUAUUGUCGGUUAAUACAACACUACUCAUAAAGAAGAAACAAAAAUCAACAGUGAUGAUAUUUUCAAAACAUAUGACGCAAUUUGCAAUUGACAAUUUAACAUGUCAAUAUACCAGUAAAUGUCUUGGCAGCUUGUCCAGAUACUAGCACCAGAACUGAGCAAAGUUCCUUCAGGUGCUGUGGUUGUAUGAUGUCUGCUAAAAGAGACCUUCAACAAUAAUCAAGUUAAUGACUACACUAAAUAAAUAUAUCUUCAUUUCAUAAAAUUUAAACAGUCUUACCUGUACAUUAAUUUUGAAGGACCUAAUGUUGCCGGUCCAACACGAGCACCUGGAAUGGGUGACAUGGAUGAGGAUGGUGCAGGAACUCUGACAUUGUUUGCCUGGUGAACAUUAAAGAAUAUAUAUAUUUACAACAUUAUUGUACAUGAAUUAGAUAUUAAAAGAAACAUUACAAUUUUCACUCUUAAAUUGCAGUAAACUAAUAUGAACUUGCAACUCAAGGAAGAACUUUUUCUAGACCCGAUGUCAAGUCCUCAUGGUAUUGAAGUGAAACUUUCAGGGCCAAAGCAGCAGAAUUGAUUUGUAUUUAUUCAUUCACAAUUUAAAUAACAAGUUGACAUUUUUAUGUGCCUGAUUAAGCAAAUGUGACGCUUAAGACAAGAAAUCAUCCCAACCAAAAGGCUAGUCUUUCCUGACAGGCUUGAGUCACAACAAAUGGUAUUUUCACUGAGGCCAGUUUACAUGGACGGGGCAACCUAGACACGGCAAAAACGAACCAGAGAAAGACUUGCUCAAAGUGAAAACCUAAGCAUGCAAAGAAGUCAGACUCUGACUGGAUAUCCAGAUUGGCCAUAGUGGACACAGGCUCUUGAAUUAACGUACAAUACUAUAAUAUCUCGCACAGAGAAAAAAUGAAAGCAUAUUGUCAUACUUAGGCCUUGAGGCCCACCUGCUCAAUGUUUUUGAGAUGGGCCUUCCUCCUGGGUUUGACUCGUACUAGAAACAUUAGAACAAAUCAAAGGGACCGUGUCUCGAUUAAAUAAAGACUAAAUCGAAUUUAAAUGCAUCUUUCACAUUUAAUUAAAAAUAUAAAUUGCCAUUGCAUAACCGUAAAUAUUACAGUCAUGAAAUAUUAAGUGACUGUAAAUUGUAAAACUGCACUAGCUGUUUGUCUACACUUCCCCAAUUUAACUGAUUUCCCAAGUUAAAAUAAACCUUAAACAUUAUUAACAAAUUUCACCUGUUGUCCCAGCCUUCCAAGUGACGGAUCUUUAAUGGUUGACCCAAAUAAGAGUUCUUGGCCUUUUCUUUUCUUUGAUAUUGGUGGUGACGAAUAGCCAGAGGAACCAAUAGCUCCAGUUAUGGCAGCAUUGGCCGCCUGCUGAAUAUACACCAUGUUGUUAUUUUGAUCUCCAUGGAACAAAGCCUGUCUCUCUUCACUACCCUCAAAGUUUUUGCAAUCCAUGCAUUUACAAUUUUCAGAACAAAGAAUGUUGGCUUGGAAGCACUCACAGUACUUCUUGAGGCACCCAGAUUUUUUACAAUGGCAUCCCUUGUUGUGCUUUCCCAAUAUCAAAAUUUCCCCAGCAUCCUCCUACAUUCAUUUUGAUGCCCAAAGGUAGUCAACAAAUUGAAAAGUUAAAAGAAAAAAAUGUAACACUUUUACCACUGAUAAUGUUCUGAAGAAAAUUCAUUUGUAUACAGUUUUACACUUUGGGUCAUAUAUGAGUGAAUUUGUCAGCUGUUUAACAAUAGGUUGCUGCCAUACAAAAUGUUUAUACCUUAAAAAAGCCAAGUUUGUACAGACAAAUGAGACACAUGCUUAAAAAAGUCACUUAACUCAGCCCUGGGUAUGCUUGUAAAGAUUUCAUUGACACAACAUUUUAGGAGAUAAAAAAGAUGAAUUAUCUAAAUUAUUGGUUGUUGAAAACAAUAUCAACAUAGUGAUAGGUACGGAACAGAGACAAUUAAUGUAACAAGUAAGGAUACUUAAUAUAAAAGAAAAUUGCUUAUAAUGAAGAAGUUUUGCAUAUAACUACACAAUGAAUUUAAAUAAUAUUAACAAAAGAUAACAGGAGAAGUGUCUUGUGCCACUGUACCAGAAUGGAACCUGAUGAGGUUUUAAAUUCCCAAUCAAUAAAAGCAAUACCUUAAAUCAAUGCUAAUGACCCACACUAUAAAACAUGACACGCAACACUAACAGUUAGACAAGCUAAACGGACAACAUACCCUGCUAUCACGUGUUCCAUGAGGGCUGCUUGCAAUUUUCGGCCUGAACGCAUUUGGAUUGCGUUCCAAAGUAGCUUCCACCGCUUCUCGUCUAGCAGCUUCAUUUUCCACAUUGUUAUAGCAAUUUACACAAUUGCAACCAUCACAAUAUAUUCCCGAAGCAAAACAUUCACAAUAUCUGCCCAAGACAUUCAAACAUUAGCUUCCCAUGACUUUACCAUUCCAUGCAACAAGAAUCAAAAGCACAAUAAAAAGAAGACAGAGAAAGCCAGAGUAUUUCACUUACAGCUUCAAGCAUUUUGAAUGUUUACAAUUGCACUGUUUUUGCUUUUUGGGAGUAGCUUCUUUAAUUUCAAAGCCAGGCCUCGGUCUCGACUUUGGGGAUUCUGGUUUCCUGAAAAAAAAAAAAAAAACAAGCGCUAAUUGAAGACCAAAGAGCAAAAAACCAAAACCAAUUCAAGCAGUCAACAACACCUUAGCUGGAAAAGAAAUAAAAUAAAAUUCAUAUCAUAUUAAAUUAACCAAAGCUAAUAAUAAUUAUCAGUCACUUCUUUCUCAUUUCUCAACCACCGAAACCGGGAACCAGAAAGGAAAUUUCUUAUCCAAAUCUUCACAAGCUCUGAUUGCAACUCAACUUCGCAACUAAUAAACAAAUACCGGCCAUGUAUUAUACGCCCAAACAGAGACAUCAAAAUCGAAACUUUACUAACAAACUCAAAAUCCCAGAAUUUCCAAAAUUUCAGACAUUUUUCAAAAAAAAACACAAUUAAACCUUCCUUUUCUCAUAACUCUGAAAUUCCAUGAGAAAUGAAAUAGACAGAAACAUAUACAGAAUUCAAGAACUCACCCAACCCUGACAGAAGCAGAAGGCGGCAGCGGCAAAACCACCGGCGACUGCGGUGGCAUCCCACCGAAGCCAGUGAAAUCGAGCUGUCUGGCGAGCUUCUUGGCGGGAACAUCAGACGGCAAAAGCGCAUUCGCGACGACGUCGUUGGGCACAACAUUCUUGGGAGCACAAUCACUCCCCUCACCUUCCCCUUCUCCCAUUAAAACAAUAAUUUUAAAAAAAAAAGUAACAACCUCACUCACUCCUCCACUCACCGAUUAUCAACGAUAACAUCAACAACAAUCAGCAACAAAUUCAUCAAAAGUUAAGCUCAAAUUCAGUGGUUUCAGAUCCAAACACCACGCGACUGCGUAUGCAACUCUUGAAUCAAGACAAUUCGAUCCAAAAACCAACAGAACACAACAAUAGAAAGAAAGAAGGAAAAAGAAGAAAGAGAAAAAGAAGAAGCAGAAGAAUAGUCUGUGAUUACGAGAAGAGAAUAGAAGAGAGGGGCUUCGUGUUUCUUUCGUUGGUGGUGUUCGCGUUCGCCCCUCUCUUCCUCCCUCUCUCUCCCAAGCUUUUCAAAUUCAAUUUUCGUAAAUAUUCAACGGCCAGAUCUCCUUCCUCUCGUCAUCCCACGCUCCUCCGCUAAAGUGCCAAUCUCGCGGCGCAAAUUCAUAGAAGCCUCACUCCUCUUUCCUCCUCUGCCCUCCGAUUCAACUCCUCUAAAAACCCAUUUUUAAUAUCACCCGUUCAAGGUCGACACGUGUGCGUCUUUUAUCCUACGCCUCUCUUUGCAUCACUGGGGGUUACAACAGUGGAUUUCGUUUUGGGGUUAAACCUAAAAUGUAAAUAAACAGAGAAUUUGGCGCUAAAAUAAAGUAGUCCCAUCCGAGUUGUUGACUUCCCAGUGCAAUUCUUUGAUAUCAUAAACAUUCAACACAAAAAAAAUUGCAAAGCUCUAGUCUUUAAUAUCUUUGAAUUUAAUUGAAAUUGAGAUAGAAUAUUUUAAUUUUAUAUCUGAAAAACACUAAAUUAAUUUUUUUUUUAAAUUGAUUAGGUUCUGUAAAGAUUAUAAUUGGCAUCAAUAAAUAUUUCAUAUUUAUAAAAUGAUAAUUCUUAAAAUUGUAUGACAGUAAUUUUUUUCCUUCUUCUGGGAGCAAUUGCAAAAAUUGGUAAAGAAAAUGAAAUGUGAUAUUUUUGGUGGGUGAUAAAUUGAAAAGGAAAUGACAUAUUUAUAUGUUUUGUAAUGAGUAGAUGAAAAUAUGAUGGCUGAAUGGCUUGGGUGUGAAAAGGCUUGGAUGGUUUAAAAACCUGAAUCGAACUACCCACUACAAUUGGACCAUGAAAGACACACCAACACUUCGAUUGGCCUAGUAUAAGCCAACAUGAGACUUCAUCGUAAAAGUCAAUUCAUUAUUCGAUUCCUUUUCGGGUGAGAGUUACAAAAGGUCUCAUCAUCAUCAUCAUUCUCCAUUUUCAGUUACUUUGAUUACCAUCACCAAAAAAACAUCAAAUUUUAUCCCAAUACAAACACUUUAAUUGUGUUAAUGUGGGUGUUUCUAUUUAGUAAUAACAUUGUUACAGUCAAAAAAUAUUAUCUUAUAGUGUUUUUUUUUUAAAUAUUCAAACUAUUAAAUAUAUCCCAACGCUUGAAAAAUCACAGUAAAUUGUUAGAAAUGACAGAAGAUAAAUGAACUAUUCUAAUUUGUUCAGACAAAUAACCAAUAUUCAAACAUGCAUACGUGUGUGGGCCCUUUUAACGUAAGUUCUUCGUCAUCAAAUCACGAAACCUUGUUGGUAGUUUGUUUGAGAAUCUAUUUUACGAAGACAGUCUAUAAUUGAUGUAGCAAAUUUUGUCUUUGCAGUAUGAAAUUAACUUCUUGUACUUACAUUUCAGAACAUCAUUGCCUACUCUCUCGUUUCAGAACAUCAUUUUAGAAGGUACUUAUUAUUUUUAUUUUGCUGGAAAAUUGAAAAAAUAUAUUCAGAGAAGCAGGGCUGGGCUUAUUAUGGAAUCACAAAAUAUGCUAGCAGAAUGAGAGGGAUCUUGAAGAGGCACAGAACAACAAGAAUGCAACCGAUGAAAUAUUGAGAACUAGAGAAGACGAUUCAAUAAUAGAUGUUGAUAAUAUAUAAUCUGUUGUUUAUGCUCCGUUUUUACUGAACAAGGAUUGAGUUACUUUGUUCCUUUUCUGAUCAUUUAAUUAUGUGUAAAUGGUUCAUUUUGCAGGUGUGAUAUUACUUAAAGAUCUAUUUUAAUUUUUCAUGUUUCAGUGUAUUUCCUUUGGUGUUCAAGAUUAAUUGUAUUUUAAAUAAAAUUAGAUACAAAAAUUAUUUGUUGCUGCCACUAUUGCCCUUGGUAAAUCAAUAGUUUCAUUCAUCUCUUGGUCUAGAAAUUAUAAACAAUAUUUCUUAAAGACUAGUUAACUGGGACUUAGAAUUUGGCAGAGGGAACUGAUGCUGAUAUCAGUGUUCCCACGCCGAGCAACUCUCAUACUUCAGAAGACAUUACGAAAUUGUUAUAUGAUCGCAGAGCGCAGCAAAUUGUGUAUUAGGGCAUAACGUUUCAAAGGAAGAAAUUUGGUGUAUUGCCAGUCCAACCUAAGCUUGAUCUUCAAAAAUAGUUUUAAUUUCAAGGAAGGAAUAUCAUGAUUUUUCCCCUGUUUUCAGACGUGGUAUUAUGGAUUUAAAGGGGAUUAUAAAUAUCAUGAAGUAUACCCUUCCAAUUUCCAUCAUUUUCAUUAUUCUAUUUCUGUGUACUGUAAAAAGAUGAUAAGGUACGGCGUGCUUUUCUCCUUUGAAUGAUUUUGACAAAAUACAAUCAUGUAAAGAGACAAAAACAAGGUCAUGGAGUUCACGUAAAAAAGGUACGGAGUUAGUUAAUAAGAGGAAACUCGUUUAUAUUCCUCUAUUCAAUUGUUAAAUAUUGUAAGUCUAAGUUCACAAAGAGGCAUGCUCAUAUAGAUGGAAUGCAGAACCUGCCAGUUCCACUCGUAUAUAGUCUAUGUUUAUGGUGUUGUUCUAUAGAUAUAAAUCCUCUUGCUGUAAGUUGUUUACCAGGUCAUGACAUGACCGGAAUAAACACAAGAAAUAACUAGUUACUCAUACGUUAUAUCUGUAAAUAUGACGAGAUACAAGUUCAUGUAUUACAACAACUAUGACUGUCAUGGUCAACUAUAAAUUCAUGUUAACACAGUCCAUCAAGUUUUUUUCAAUAGUUUAUCUCUCUGUUCACACGUGAACAUCAAAUCCGAAAAAUAUUUCUGAUAAAUAUUCUCACCAAAUAAUUACCAUUUGAGACAGCACUACACAAAAGGUAAAGGCAGGUUCCAAGGAUACGAUGUACCUUGAAUUCUUCAAGGAAACUGUAUGGAGAAACCGGUACCAGUUCUAGUAAUAUUGAGCGGGCCAAACUCAUCAAAAUCAGAAUCAGAUUCCAUUCCAUCCAGAUCACCCCACCCACCAGGGGAAUCCUCAUCUUGUCCGUUUCUGUUAAGAGGAACUGGCAGCUCAGAAAUCGGCACAGGAAGAGGCUCUUCGUUAAAGUACUUGUCAUUAAGCAACUCCAUUGCCGUAGCCCUCUUAGCAGGAUCAUAACAAACCAGUUUUUUCACCAGAGCCACUUCAUCAGGGGACCUAUUUGGUAAACAGGCUUCAAUACCAGCAGGGUUCUCCACCUUGCUAAAGGAGAUUAUCCCGUAAUCAGGAAGUUUAGAACAACCAACCCAAACACUCUCAUCAAGGUUACCCAAAACACUAAUGAUUCUACUGAGCUGGUCAAUAUCAGCAGUUCCAGGAAACAAAGGCUGCAAAGUUAAAAGCUCCGCAAAUAUACAUCCCAAGGACCACAAAUCAACCUCCAAACCAUAGCCUCUGGAUCCAUAAAGCAACUCAGGAGCCCUAAACCAACGAGUCCCAACACAUGAAGUGAAACAACCAAGUUCGUUCUCUUCAUCUUCCCUGUUUAUGUCACUUGUGGUGCAUGUUGCAUUUCCAUCGUGAGUAUUAGUACUAGUAUCUUCAUUAUCAAUGUCUCUAGAAUACUCUUCAUGAUUAUUAGAAUCAUCAAAUCCAGGCUCCGUAAGAAUUCUUGCCUGAAAAAAUAGCCAUCAAUUCAAUACGUAAAUGGUUUCCCAUUGAGACAUCCAGAAUUUCGUUGCUACGCUAGUUAACCAAAUUUUGUAAGUAAUCAUGUGUUUUGUUUCAAUUUUGAGGAAUUGAGUGUGUGUGUAUGUGUUUGAGUGAGUGUUACGAAAUUGAUGAUUUUAUGUGAAGUUGGUUUUGACGAAAAUUGAAGUAAAAGUGAUUUAUUCUAAAGCAAAUUAGUAGCUAACUCACCAUAAAUUUUCAUUAUUUAAUACAGAAGCCAUUUAAGUUACGUUAACUCAGAAAUCAACUGCUCAAGCUAAAACUAGAUAUGCAAAAGUGUACAAAAGAACACAUUAAAACUAGAUAUGCAAAAGUGUACAAAAGAACACAUUAAUGAUUAUUUAUGGGUAAUCGAACAUGUGACUAAACAUAAAGAGUUUUUGGUGUUGAUUUUGAGUUGAAAUAUCUUCAGAUUUGUGUUUUUAUUAUCCUACUGACUUGAUUUUAAAACAAAAGCAUUGAAAAGUAAUCACAUCACUUCAAAAACAGUUUGAAAUAAAGUCCGUUUUGCAAACACCCGCUAAAUCAAGCGCUCAGACAUUUCAAAAGUCGGGGUUAGGGUUUUGUGGUUGUCGACAAUGAGAAGAGAUUACCUGUCCGAAAUCGGCGAUCUUGAGGAGGCCAUUUUCGGAAAUUAAGAGAUUCGAGGGCUUCAAAUCACGGUGAAGGACCAUGUUGCGAUGACAGGCGUCGACGCCAGAGAGAAUCUGGAUCAUCCACCGCUUGAGCUGGCCGGGGGGGAUGGGCCGGUUGUCCUUGGCGGCGUCAGCGAUGACGGUUGCCAAGUCGGUCCUGAGGAACUCGAGGACGAGGACGGCGUCCUCGUCGUCGCGCCAGAAGUACUCGUGCAUAACGAUGACGUUUGGGAAUCCCUGGAGAAGCUGCAACGCAUCGAUUUCUCGGAAAGCAGAUUGGUAGUCGUGGAUUUCCUUGAGGGCGACGAUGAGGCCGUCGGAGAGGCGACGGCCACGGUAGACGUCGGCGUAAGCCCCCGACCCGACCCGCUCCAUGACCUCAUACUUGGCGAUGAUCUCGGAUCGGGUAUGGAUGCUCCAGCUCUUUGGUGGAGGAUCCAUCUCCAUCGCACUCACUCUCACUAACACUACUCGAUGCCUGUCUCUCCUACCUUUUCUGCUAUAAUAAGGUUUUAAGCCUUCAAUUAAAUCUAUGAAUUUGUUUUUUAGAUAUAAAACGUAUUGAUUAGUUAUUAUUAUUAGUAAAAUGCGAGACAGAGUAUAAUUGUUUAAAUGAUACGCGAAUGAUUAUAUUAGUAGAUGGUUCCUCAGAAUUCGACAGCCAAUCGCCACGUUUUAUCGUUUGACCAAUUAUUAUAUGACACGUGUGCUAUAUACACAUGACAGUUAUGGAAGAAAAGCACCGAGAACUUGGAAUAUAUAAAAAAGUUAACCAUAUUUUUAAAUUUCUCUAUUUAUAUUUUUAUUUAUAAAUAUCUCAUUUACAAAUCAUAUAUUUCUAAGAUAAUGUUGAAAUAUAGAUAAUAUUGAAAUAUAGAUUUUUUAUCUUUCAUUAAAAUAAAUACUAAUUAUAAGAUCUAAUAUACUUAUAUUCCAUUUAUUUCAAAUUUAUAAGUCUAAAAAGAUUUUAAUGUAUCUUUAUAUUCUCCAAUUGAUAUUUUAUAUGAAUAACGAUAUUUUAAUAAUAUUUUGAUAUUAUUACGUAUUGUUUUAUAAUUGGUUAAAAAUUAUUGCACAAUUAAUAAUAAUAAUUAUAACAUAAAUAUAAACUAAUCAUAAAAUAAUACGUAGAUAAUGUUAAAAUAUUGUUAAAAAAUAUUGUCAAAAUAUCAUUAUUCAUUUUAUAUUUUAGAUAAAUAAUAUAUAUUCGAGGAUAUGAACAACUAUAUACCAUGAAAACUUGGGACCUAUCUCCUAGAAGAUUGGUUACCAAAUGUUUGAAUGUUCUAAAAUAUUAUUCCUCUAUUCAAACAAUUCAUACACACUGUAAAAGUCAAAGAGUCCGAGUUAAGUCAACGUUCCGAUAAUAUUUGCAUUAGCUAAAACUUUGAGAAAAAGAAAAACAAAGAGAGUUUUUAACUGAUAUUAAUGAUGUGUCAGGAAAGCAGAAUUGUGUAUCAGUUAUAUUGAGUAAAAGAAUGUCACUUAUAAAUAAUUUAUAGUUUAGAAAAAGAAUUUUCAUUUAUAUUUCUAUAUUGUGAUAACUAAUAUAAGUUAAACUACUUAUAACCUUAAGGUACAUUUUAAUAUUUGAUUAUUGAAUUUACACUUUGAUAACAAUAAAAGUUUUAUAUGUAAUUUUUUCUGCAGACAUAGUAUAUAAUAAUCUUAUUAAAUACUCUUUUUCCCGUAUUCAAGUUACUACUAAAUAUGGGAAAAAAACAAACUUGGUUUUUUGUAUUUUCCUUCAUUUGUCGUCGAUCUCUUUGUCUGAAGUAAAAUCUUGAUCCCAGUUUUUAAUAUCCUGAGUGCUCCCAUAAGCUACACUAAAUGCUAAGAAGCAUAAUAAAUUAACCAAACUCAGAAGGAGAAGAAGGGCAUAGUAGUAGUCAUAGUGGCCCAUGUUGAUGUUUGAUGCUAGCCAGCCAGCUUUUCCUCCUUUCCCUGUUCCCUCUCCCACAGCCAUCACAAUAAGGCUUCCGACAAGGUUUCCUACCCCAAAGCCAAAGGUGCAUAGGGAAACAGCAAUGCUUGACAUUGUCCUAGGAAACUGGGUGUAAUAGAACUCUAUUUGUCCAAUGAUGUUCAAACCCUCUGCUAAACCAUAUAAGCAGUAUUGAGGCACUAACCACAAAGCAGACAUGUUCACAACUCCUUUUGGGUUGUCUAUAAACCCUUCCCUUAUUGCUUCAUCCCUUCUUUUCUUCUCUACCCAUGCUGCCACUGCAGUGGCCAAGCAUGAGAUAGCUAUUCCAAAUCCCAUUCGUUGCUUAACACUGAGUCCUCGCCACUUUGGGAACAUGGGAACCAGAAUUCGGUCAUAAAUAGCCACCCAUAUGGUUAAAGUAAUGAUUAUGCAUGCACUGAAGUUGGUUGAUGGAAUGUCCGUAUGGAACACCACCCUGUUCAUGGUCCUUGCUUGUACCACAGAAAUUGAUUGUUGGCUUAUGGUUGUUGCAAAUAUGAUACAAGUGGACCAAAUAGGAAGAACUUUGAUUAUAGCUUUCAAUUCCUCUACUUGUCUCACUGUACACAUACUCCACGGGUCAGUGGGCAUCCCGUCACUGUCUAGAUCUUUCUCUUUGUUCUUCAGUAUGCAAGCCUUGUUCAAGAACCUAGGAAGGGAGAAUCAAAUAUUAAAUUGAUUAAUAUACUAAAAUUGAAGUCCUCCAACAAAUAGUGUAAGAUUACAAAACCAGGUUUACGUCGUGGUGUGUUACUUCCAGGUUGGUCUCUUACAACACCAAAAUUUUCAAGAGUAUUGUAUUCUCAUGUUACAUACCUUACUUUAUCAGUUGGCUGAACAAGAAUGGAGUCAUUGUGAAAAUACCAUGCGUCGGAGUUCGUGGGAGGAAGAGACAAGUGUCUGUUUUUCCAGGCUGCCGCAAUCACUUGGGCAAAGCUAGUGAGCAAGCUCUUGUUUGGUUUCACUUUGACAUACAAAGAAGAACCCAAGAAAUACAUUAAAGUAGAAAAUGUCAUAAGCCCCACAGGAAUCCCAAAACCUACCGCCCAUCCUGCUUUAACUUGGAUGUACACUAUAAAUAUCACUGAAAUUGAUACUGAAACGCCAACCGAAACAUAGUACCAAUUGAAGAAGCUCUUCAGGGUCCUCUCAUUUUGUGGGUUUUCAGGGUUGCUGAUUUGAUCAGCCGUAAAGGCUAAGGUGCACGGCCUAAUUCCACCAGCCCCAAGAGCCAUCAGAGCAAGUGCAGAGAAAAGAAAUAGGAGUUGAAAUGAUGUAGGUUUCGCACAAGCUUCUUCAUUAUGGCAUUCAGGCCUAGCACGCCUAAUAAUCGCUGUGAGCCACAAUACAACCAGGCCCUGUGAUGUAAGAAAUCAAUGCAAUUUUCAGAACAACUUCUUUAUAUUUUGGGAAUUCUUUGAAAAAUCUUCAUUAUUAAGUAUUGUGGUGCUUACAGCAAGGUCGAUGAUGGUUCCGAGGGCAAUAACACGAAAUCGUCCAAGCCCAGAAUCAGAAAGGAAAGCUCCAAACAUUGGUAUACAAUUGGAUACGGCGUUCCACAGGAAUACUACAAUGGCUCCUGUUGCAGGGUCAAAAUUAUACUCUUGUAGCAGGUACAAUAUCAUGUUCACAUGCAGCCCCACAUUCGCAACCCUUUCAAAUGUCUCGUUUGCUAAAACAAGUUCAAAAUCACAACCUGGUUAGACCUUCCAGUACAUGAUCGACUUUGUCAAUCAAACAACAGUUCUAAAAAGAAAAAAACCAUGAUAAAGAAAAGGGUCAUCAUCACCUAUGAUAAAGGGCAAGGUUCUGAAGCCACCCUUUUUCCUUUCAACCUUUGGGGUGGCUUUCUUUUGCUCAAUUGACAUCUCCAUUUUUCUUCUGCGAUACACAUGAAAAGGUUAGACAGAAAUAUACUUGAAUCUUGUUACUCGUUGCUACACAUACAAGAGCUUUGUUUUAUACACAGAAAUAGAUCUCUCUCCUAUGUUGAACUUCGGUGGAGGCAGGUAAACCUCGUUAUUAUUUAUGCUCUCAUCUUAGUAAUUGAAACAAAUGAAUAUUUAUUCAUGUUCUUGUCCAUUUCUCGUUUUAGUUUGGUCAAGGGAGGAAAAAGCUGGCCUGUAUGAACAUGCCUGUGUAAAAAUUCCAAGGUUUUAGCUCCCAUGCUGUGAGAACUUACUAAAUAAAUAAGAUUUUUGGUGAUGUAAUUGGUCUUAAUCGGAAUCUGCCGUCCACGUUGUGCCACAGUUAGAAGUGAAAGAAUGUGUCUUUAUGAAACAGAAAGGUUAGUUUUAGUAUCCAACGACGGAUCAAAGUUUCAAAGGGUGAAGAAAAAGUGAAAAAUGUUUUUUUUUUUUAAAUUUUUUUAUAAUUAUUCAUGUCACUUGUGAUUAAUUUAUUUCAAAUAUACAUACAAGUGAAAAAUUGUUAACAUAUUAUACUCUGUACAAAAUUUACUUAAUUUAUAUCAUUUCACUUGUCAGUCAACUGAAUUUCGUUUCUUACUGUCGUUUGAUCUAAAACUUUUUUCAUGAAAUUCAUUGUAAAUUCUGAAAAGUAAUUAAAAUUUAAUUGAAAUUUCUUUUUAACAACUGUGUUUUAAUAAUUAUUUUAUAAAAUGAUUUGUAAUUGAUGCAUUUCAAAUAUAUUUUUGAAAAUAAAUUUAACAAGUUAAUAAAAUAUAGUGACAUAUAACAUGUAACUUAUUAUCAAGAAAAAGUUUGUAACAUUUAAUCGGAAAGUAGUUUUCUUAAAAAAAAAAAGUGCCAUUUUUUUAUUAAUUAGGAUAUAAAUAGGAGUUAAAUUUGAUCCUUCGGAUGUAACGAAAGCUGUGUUGUCUUUUGUAACUCCUAGUUAGAUUCGGAGUUCAAAACAUGUCACAUCAACUGAUUUCUUGGUUUGUUCGAAUAAUCAUUGCUUAUAUGUGUGGAAACUAAUAUUACAUGUAUACAAAAGGUUAAUAUUUGCUAAAUAUUUAAGUAUAAAUAUUUUUUUAACAGUAAAUUUUAUUAUUCGGAGUCAAAUGACUCGGUUAUGAACUUAUAAUUAACAGUGAAAAUAUUUUUUUUUUCAUUUUUUAAAAAAAGUUAAAAUUUUAAACUUUACUCCAAAAAAAAAAAAACAUUGGUUGUUAGUUAUAGUUCUUACCUAGUUAUAAAAAAAAUGCCACGAGCUUUUCACACACUUUUAAUUUGUUGAUUUUGACUAGUACAAUGUUUUUUAUUUUAUACGUUCACUCUAAGAUAUAUUUUCUUCAAACAAAAAAUUUAUUAAGGGUUAAAUAUGUUUUUAGUCCCUAUACUUUGGAGCGAUUUUGGUUUUAGUCACACUUUCAAACUAUAGUACAAUUUAGUCCUUCAACUUUAGAAAACUCUAGUUUUAGUCUUUUUUACCAAAUUUUUUUAACUUUAUUUGCUGUUUCAAACACGUUACAUUAUAGCUCCAAAAUUGUACUAUAAUUUGAAAGAGAGACUAAAACCAAAAUCGCUCCAAAAUAUAGGGACUAAAAACAUAUUUAACACAUUUAUUAACUAUUUAAUUAUCUAUAUUUUAAGGCUAAAGACCAUUUUCCCAGUAAUAUCACUUAACAAAAGUUGAACUCUAAUUUCUCAUAUUGAUCAAAAUCAGUUUGGAAAAACAGUUUAAUUAAUUUUUAAAUUAAUAAUUUCUUACUAAAUAGGAACUUAUGUAGUGUUUUAAAAAAAAUAGUUUUUUUAAUGGUAUAUUUUAUAAGUGUACGUGUAAUAUGCAUUUAUAAGUGUUUAGAUAAGUAUUUGGGUCAUAUGCAUUUAAAUAGUUCAUGUAAUAUGUAUUUAUAAGUGUUUAGAUACACUAUUGAUAAAAUUGAUAAAUGAUUAAUCAAUUUUGAACUAUUUAAAUACAUAUUACACGAACACUUAUAAAAUAUACCAUUAAAAUAAUUUUUUUAAAAAAAAAACUAAUUAUUAGAAACUAGUAAAUUUUAGGUUUAAAUUUCUUUUUGGUCCCUAAGUUAUGUUCAGUUUAGUUCCCGCUUUUAAAAAUGUAAACUAAGUUAUAAAAAAUGUAUCAAAUGAGUCAUUUUUUAAUGUUCAUGGUCAAAGUACAAAGAGUAAUAUAAAUUGCUGUUAUUAUUAAGAAACAAAUCAAAACAAUCUAAAGAUGUAGCAGUUGUUAAGAAACAACAACCAAAAACAGUAUUUCAAGUCAAAAAAGACUCAUUUGAUACAUUUUUUAUAAAUUAGGGACCAAAGAUUUACAUUUUAAAAAACGGGACUAAACUGAACAUCCGCUUAUAACUUAGGGACCAAAAAGAGGUUUAAACCUAAAUUUUAUAAAAUUAUUAGGGAUAAAUAAACUUAUCAUAAAUAUUUUGUCAAUUACACUUGUGAUAAGAAAUACAUAUCUUCCUAAACAAUGAUAAUUAGUAUGUUGUCAAUACUUGGAAAACAACUGUUACCCUUUUUAUUAAAUGCGUGAUUAAUAUAAAUUUAGAUUAAUUACUUCAAGAAUAUGUUUAAUAAAUAAAGAAUCCCUUUAUAAAUAAAUUAAUAUGUUAAAUUUAAAAUUCACAUCCUUUAAAACUUCAAACCUAAAUUUCAAUUUUAGCUCGUUUACACUAAAGUGUAAUUCUUUUAUACAGGAGAUAAAAUUGUAUUAAGCUUAAAUAUAAUUUAUUUAACCAACACUUAACUGUUAAAUGUUUGAUUCCGUUUAACUUACAGUAGUUAACAGUGUGGCCGAAUUACAUGAAAAUAACACUUUACUUUUUCCUUAAAAAAAAAAAAAAAUCUAACUGCGGUGAAGUUUGAAGCUUACUGUAAUAUUCUAUUUUGCUCCAACUGGUUGAUGAUCUCACAUAUUCUACUUUAACAUUUUUUAUUGUCCAAAUGCCUUUUAAGCAUUUCGAUGUUAAAAAUAGGUGUUUUUAAAAUGAUAUUUUUUAUUUAUUUUUAUAAUGAGGUAUAGCUGUUGAUUUAGUUAUUAUUUUUCUAGUUUUAUACAUACUAAGAUCUUUAUAUAUAGUUGUUUUGUUUAACAUUUUUUAUGAAAGUAAUUUUUAAAGUGAAUGCAAUUUCAAAAUAAACUAAUAAACUAUUUUAAUCAUUAGUUUAAAAUGAAUUUAACAUGAAAUUAAUAAUUGAUAUAUUUCUAGCUUUCAGUGUAAUCCUUUUUCAAAGUAAAAAUAUUAAUACUUAGCUUAAUUUAAUGUAGCAUUCACACAAUAUUGUAUCAGUACUCCCAUUCUAACAUGGUUCAAUUAAUUUUAUCAGUCAUAAGUACUACUAGUUUAUUUCUCCAAAUUAAAUAUCUAUUAAAUUAUAAAAUUUUAAUUUAAGUUCGUCAAAAGAAUAUUUUAUCUAUAUUUUAUCCUUAUUAUUAUGUUGUCUAUUUUAAUUAAUUUUUAAAACAAUUUCAUUUUUUUCACUUGUUUUUUACCAUAAUAAUUUACUUGUUUUUCAUGUUAAUUUGUACUGCCUGUAUACGAUAUUAUUACCAAAAUUAAUAGAAGGUAAAUGACCCGUUUUGUUCGCAUGUUAUGUAUGUCAAUAAGGCCCAUGCAUGCAAUAUUAGUGGGGUAAUUUUUGUUAGAGUAGUGCUAGUAAGAAAAAAAAAUCCCCAAGAAUAUGAGUCUUAUUAAGGAAUUGAAAUAAUUUUUUUUUUAUUACAAAUAUAUGAAAAUAUAUUUUAAAAUGAUAAAAAUGUGUUUUUAUGUAUUUUAGUAAAAUCAGUGACUCUGAUGAGUUAACGUAAAUUUCCUUUUAAGUAACCUCAUGUUUGUAUAUAAUUAUUCAAACUGCAACAUUUUUUUAUUUGUUUUAUUCUUUUUAAAGUAUCCAAUAAAAUUAUUCAAUCCCAUUUCCAAAACCCUUUAAAAUAAACUUAAAAAAUAAAAACAGUCAUCGUGUGUUGUGUAAUCUUUAUCGAAUAUUUAAAGAGUCUAAAUAAACCUGUUUAUAUUUUUCCAUUCCAUUGCAAAAUAAUAUUUUAACACCAUUUUUUGACACUAUUUUGACACUGCACACUUGUCAAAAUGUGAUUAGACGAUUUCAAAUUAAAAAAGUUGAGAUAGGGGUAUAUUUGGAAGAGAAAAAUUAAAAUUUAUUUUUUCAAUUUGAGAUCGUCCAAUCACAUUUUGACACGUGUGCAAUGUCAAAAUGAUGUUAAAAAAUGGUGUUAAAAUAUAUUUUCCUUAUUCCAUUAUUACAAUUACAAAAGAAAAUAUAGCCCAGAAUCCCUUUAUAUGUUUUGUCGAUUUCUGUAUUUUGCAUUGGUGUUUUUGUUUGAUAUGAAUUUUGUGUGAAUGUCUUCCUCCCAAUAUUUGAUAUCCUGAGUACUCCCAUAAGCUCUGCUCCAUAUGCAAAAGCAUAGCAAAUUAGCCAAAUUUAGAAUGAAAAGUAGGCCAUAGUAGUAAUCAUAGUGUCCUCUGUUAAUAUUUGAUGCCAGCCAACUAUCUUUUCCUCCUUUCUUUGUUCCAUCUUUCACAGCCUUCACAAUCAGGCUUCCGACCAAGUUCCCUACUCCAAGGCCAAGGGUACACAGCGAAACAGCAACACUAGACAUAGUUUUCGGAAACUGAGAGUAAUAAAACUCAAGUUGUCCGAUGAAAUUAAGACCUUGCGCUAAACCACAUAGACAGAAUUGCGGCACCAACCACAUGGCUGUCAUGUUCACCACUCCUUUCGGGUUGUCCAUAAACCCUUCCUCUAUUGCUUCAUUUCUUCUCUUCUUCUCUACCAAUGUCGCCACUAUACUGGCCAAGCAUGAAAUCACUAGCCCAAUUCCCAUUCGUUGUUUUUCAGUGAGUACUCGCUCCUUAGGGAGCAAGGGAACUAAAAUUCUAUCAUACAAAAUCACCCAUAGGGUCAGAGUCACGAAUAUAAAUGCAGUGAAGUUUGUCGGUGGGAUAUCCCUAUUCAACACCACUCUGUUCAUGGUUUCUGCUUGAAUCACUGAAAAUGAUUGCUGGCUUAUGGUAGUAGCAAUUAUUAUGCCAGUAGACCAAAUGGGUAAGACUUUGAUUAUGGCUUUCAAUUCCUCUACUUGUCUCACUGUGCAAACACUCCAUGGCUCUAUGGCCAUCCCAUCACAGUCCAAAUCUUUCUCUUUGUUCUUUAUCAUGCAAGCCUUGUUCAAGAACCUCGGUAGAGACAACAAACCAACCAAAUUUAUUAUUUAUUAUUUAUUAUUAAACACACAAUACAAAGCAAAAAGCAAGAUUCUCACAUGAAAUUUCUUGUAUGACUAACUACUAUACAUACCUUACUUUGUCUGUUGGUUGAACAAAAUUAGAGCCAUUGUGGAAAUACCAGAUGUCAGAGUUCUUUGGAGGUAAAGGUAAGUGUCUGUUUUUCCAAGCUGCUGCAAUCACUUGGGCAAAGCCUGUGAACAGGGUCUUGUUUGGUUUCACUUUGAUGUAUAUGGAAGAACCCAAAAAAAACAAGAUAGCUGAAAAUGACAUAAGCCCCGUCGAAAUUCCAAAACCCACAAUCCACCCUGUUGCAACUUGAACAUACACUAUUAAAGUCAUUGAAAUCGUUACGGAAAGGCCAACCGAAACAUAAUACCAAUUGAAGAAACUCUUCAUGGUAGUCUCGUUUUGUGAGUUUUCAGGGUCGUUGAUUUGAUCAGCAGUAAAGGCUAAGGUACACGACCUAAUUCCAGCGGCUCCAAGAGCCAUGAGAAUCAAUGAAGAAAAAAGAAUCAGGAGUUGAGAUCCUGUAGGAUUUGCACAAGGUUCUAUAUCACACUGAGGUCUUGCAUGCCUAAUAAUAGCAGUGAGCCACAGUACAACUAAGCCCUGCCCACAAGACAAAAACCAAGACGAAGGAAAUUCAAGUAAGUUUUGAUGCACUACGCACCAAAUAUAACUGAUAAGGAGCUAAAUUUAAAUGGUUUAAGAGUGUGGUUGUAAUGGCUUACAACAAGGUGUAUGAUUGUUCCGAGUGCAACAACAGAAAAUCGUCCAAGCCAACAGUCAGAAAGUAAAGCACAAAAGAUAGGCAACAAAUUUGUGAAGGCACUCCACAGGAAUAUUACAAUGGCUGCAGUUGCAGGUUCAAAAUGAUACUCCUGUAGCAAGUACAAUAUCAUGUUUACACGAAGCGCCACUACUGCAAUCUUUUCAAAGGUCUCAUUUGCUAAAAUAAGAAGAUUGAAAAUCACAACUUGGUUAGAACUCUUUUACUUCACUGCCAGUAACACAAGAUUUCGCCAAAAGAAAAAACAUGAUAUAUAUUAUUUGAUAAAAAUGGUCAUCACCUAUGAUUAAGGGGAGAGUUCUGUAACCACCCUUUUUCCUUUCAACGAGUUCAGUGCCAUUAUUCUGCUCCAUUGGUAUCUCCCUUUUUCUUCUGCUACAUGAAAGGUUACACACAAAAUAUAAUUGAAGCCCGUUACUACAACAGAAAAACUUUAGUUCAUAUAAACUCAGACUUAUGUACAACGCUCUUUCUUUACUUGAUUGAGAACAAUAUUAUAGUAAUUUGUUGUCGUAGCUCAGUUAUAGAAGGAGAUGAGUAUUUGUUGCAAACAACCAAUAAUUGUCUUAUAAAGGAAAACAAAAUUAUAAUUAGCACACAAAAAUACUAAACAAUUUAGUUAGUAAGAGGAAGUACAUGAAAUGGGAUUCAAUUGGUUUUGAUUCUCCGUGGACUCCAUCUUGAACUUGCGUGAAGUGAAAAAUGCGUUGUAUCGUAUAUGUGACUCCACCGAAUGAAAGGGUAAUUAACUGUCACACGGCGGAUCAAGGUUUCAGAGGGUGAAAAAAAAAAUGUCAUUUCAAGUGUGAUGGAUUAGCUUUAUUUUUUAAUUGCCAAUUUGAUAAAAAUAAUCUUGACAAAAUUGAUUUUGUAAGAGCUUAAAAGAUAAGGUCUUAGAACUUAUUAUCUAUUUAGAUUUAAUUCUUUUAAUAUUAAAAAUUUAAAAUAUAAAUAAAAAAUUAUUAUUCAGUUUUAUUAUAUAAAAUAUUAUUAUUCUAAAAUUUUUUUAUCAUCUUUUUAAGUUUUUUAAUUCUUGUUAAUUUGUUUGAAGAUCACAAACUCUGAGUAAUUAUUGAGAGACUUUUUUCUUUAGUAUAUAUGUUUUUUUCUGUGCAUGUGAACAAUUCUUAUGUACAUGUGGAGUUUGAGUUUUCUAUAAGACCCUUUGCUGGUCAAUGGUUCUAACGGUAUGUCGUGAUCAUAUUUAUGUGAUUCGUAGGAACAUAUAGAGUUCUUUGAGUUGUUAGAGUAUUUUUAGGAUCCUUAGAACUACUUGAUCCUCUAAAACGUAAAGAAAGCUAAAUACCAAGUUCUGAUGCUAUGCAACUUUGUGCUUGCAUGUUUGGUUUAAUUGAGAUUGAUAUAACUACUAAAAGUGUUGUUGAAUUGUUGAGAAAUUUGUUUGUGUAGUAUGGUUGUGAUGUUUGUUUUUGUCUGAAUUGGUGUUAAGCGGAGAGACUGAAGAUCUGACCAUUUGAGCAAAUUGGUAUGCACUUUGACACUCAAACCUAUUUUUGAACCAAAUACUAAGUAAAAAAUAUCAAUUUGAUCAUCCAAAUAGGUCCUUCAUUCCCCAAAUUACAGCUUUGAAUUGUGUAAGUUUUUUGUAUGAGACCGAGCGAUGCUGUUGUGGCAUUAAGCAUAGCUUAGUUGUACAAGUCUGGAAACAAUUGUGGACUAGACCACUGAAGGCCAACUUUACGACUGAGUGACCAUUUUAGAUCUAGCAUUGAGUGAUGACAGGAUACCAUUGAGCAUCACUUUUCAUCACAGGUCUAGAAUCUUUUUCCUCAAAAUUUGUUAAGCAACAUGUUAGUCUCGCUAAAUGAGACAAUUUGCAAAAAUUCUGGCAUUGAACGCUUCCUUUUGCGAUAAGUUUUUGCAUGAGCGUCAAUCUGAUCGCCAAGGUGAUUUUCUAAUCCAUUGUUUGCUAAAAUAGUUUAUUACGGAUUCUAUGUCUAUUUAUUAUGGAUUUAUGAUGGCUCAUAGAUUAUAUCAUGACUGGAAGUAUGUUUGAUGUAUGUUGUAAAAGGAAUUUCAAGAAGUUUCUUGUAAUGAUUUCAAUAGUAUUGAUGUAUGAAUUUCACGUUAAGACAUUAUUCUAACGUUCUAAUAAUAAUCCAAUCUCAAAUAAAAAAAAUUAAAAUAUGUGACAAAAGAUAGAAAAUUAUAAUUUAAAAGUUUUAUCGUGACCUAAAAUGUUAACGGAUUAACUUUCAUCAUAAUAUGAAUUGAAAUAAUGUGUACAACAAGGGAUGAAAGGUUCAAAGAAGAAAAAAAUUACGUAAUUUAUGUUGUUUUACUUAUUAGUGUACUGAAUUUCGUUUUUAAGUGUUCGUUUGAUCUAAAACUUUUUUGAUGAAAUUCAUUGUAAACACUGAAACGUGUUUAAAAUUUAAUUGGAAAGUAGUUUUCGUAAAAAAAUGUGACUUCUUUUAUUAAUUAGGAUAUAAAUAGAAGUUAAAUUUGAUCCUUUGGAUGUAACGAAAGCUUUGUGUGCUCUUUUGUAACUCCUAGUUAGAUUCGGAGACCCAAAGAUGUCGCAUCAACCGAUUUCUUGGUUUGUUCGAAGAAUCAUUGCUUAUAUAUGUGUGAAAACUGAGAUUAAAAGGCUAAUAUUUGGUAAGAGUCUGAGAAUGAAUAAUUUUUUUCACACCUAUCAAAUUUUACUUUUCUGAAUCAAAUGACUCGGUUAUGAGGUAUAGCUGUUGAUUUAGUCAUUAGGUUUAUAUAUACUAAGAUCUUUAUAGUUGUUCUUGUUUAAAAUUUUAUAUGAAAAUAUUUUUUUAAAGUGAAUGAGAUUUCAAAAUAUAUUACAAACAUCCUUCCAUAAGAAAAGGAAAACAAAUAAAAAGAUAACUUCACAUGUAGGAAUCUAAUCACGUAUCUACGAGUUAAUGCUAUGAAAAAUAUAUUUUGAUACUUAAACAACUUUUUACAUUCAUUUAAUUUAUUUUUUUAUUUUUUCUUAAAAAUACAAAAAAUUACUUUUUCUUAACGUAUAAAAUAAAUGUAAAUAUGUCAUUUAUCAUUAUUCUUAAUCUUAUGUACAAGGCAUUUGGAUAUACAGUUCACGAAGAACCUAAAAUGAAAGUAUUAACGAAUCAAAUAUUGUGAAGUUCAUCUAUGUCUUCCCGCAACAGCUGUACUCUCAAAAUCUUCGGUUAAUUCAUUUCCCAAGCCUGCAGUACCAGAGAUGUAGUAACUGUCAAUGGAAAGCUCUAUCAUUACAGUUUCCUUUGUAUCUGAUUUGGAACUUGGAACAAUGUACAAAUGCUACAUAGACAGUGCAUUGAUGACAAAAUAAACACGCAGGACUUUGAACUCUAAAAGGUGAGCCAGAGUAAAAUUUCAAUCGUUUAAUAAUUGAAUAAGGUAAGAAGUCACCUGAAUUUGUCCAUCUGAAGUUCCAAUUACCAAAACUUCUUCAUUCCUGUCUAGAGCCAUGCAAUUGACCCUACAAUUGGUACCCAUUUGCAACGUGUCAACUUUACUGCUUUUCUUCUUAUCCCAAAUUUCCACAGUACCUCCUUUGCACCCCAAAUAAAUCAAUCCUGAGCUCACUGCCAUAGUCCGCACUUCUGAUCCAGUUUGCAGUGAUCCAACCAUACUGUAACUGGAACUGUUCCAUAUCUUGACAUUUAUAUAUAUGUGCAUCAGUUAGCUAACUAUGAUAAUGGCAUGUCAUCUUUACAAUUAACACCAAGUAGCUUAUACAUUUUCUGCCCUUCGGAAUUCAAAAUAUCAUGAAACCCGGGGUUUCUAGCUAGAAUUUUAACUAUUUUUUACCUUUCUAUAUACUGCUAAAUCAAAACGAGUCUAAGAUACCUUUACAGAAGAUCCAUCCAUGGAAGAACCAGCUGCAUAUAUAAGUUCACCAUGAAUUUGUAUUGCAUGAAUAGGAUUUGCUUUCGCAAGUAAUCUUUUAUAACCACUUUGAAUAGUGUUGACUGUUCCAGUGGCCAAAUGUAUCUCCUGAAAUAUUACGUGAAUAUUAUUGCAAGAAUGUUGAUAUAGCAUCCAUUAGACUGUCUCACACUUAAAAAAACUCUAUACCUGAACACUGCUGUCAUGACAUCCACAAUAUAACUUCCCAUUGACAUGAGCCAAACACUUCACAUAUUUGCUAGAAUUUAACACUUUUGACUCUCCAUUCAGUGACUGAACCUGAUGAGAAAGCCAAGUAAUUUCAGUAGAAAACAAUGCUGGGGAGUUUGUUUUCAAUCACAUAAUAAGUCACACGGGAAUAAAAUAAAGUAAACGGUACAACUUGCAGAUCAAAGCAAAGUAAAGAGCACAAUGUUUGAUACUACGGUUGAGUGUGACAGAGGCAUUGAUAAUAAAGAGACUAGUGUUAUUUUACACUGUAGAUUGUAUAAAAGAAGUGAUCAGACUCUCUCAGCACCAUUCAAAUAAGAACAUGCAUUCAUAGUUUAAGAGUACCUUGACACCGGCCCCCUGCGGAAUGAAACAAGCUAAGCUAUUGGUUACAACUAAAUUAUGAAUCUGGUCCUUCAUGUCAUACACCUGUACACAAUGUAUUGCUGCCUUUCCAAUAGACCAGACCUGUUAUUUAAUGAAACAAAACCUUUUUUAGCAGACGGCUUGACAUCGAAGCUAGAGUAACUACCUAAAAUUUUACCUUUGAAGUUCGGUCAAGUGAACCACUGUAUAGCCUGUCACCAGACUCUGAAAUCACCAAGUUUGUCACUGCUUUAGUAUGUUCUUGGAUUUCUUGCAACAGAUGGAAUAAAUUAUUCUUUAAUGUCCAGACCUUCAGAAGUUACAGAAUAUUUUCCAGUCAGUUCAUAUUACAGCAAGGAUGCAGUUUGCAACCAAUUGAAACAAAUAUUGUUUUUUACAAAAAAGGACAUUUAAAUAAACUACAACAGCCUUAGGAAAUAUGUCUCUGUUCACACUUAAAUCCUUAUUCAUUAGAAUUUACAAAACAUGUAACAUUUUAAUCUGAUCACCUUAAUCGUCCCAUCUGUAUGACCAGAAAAUAUUUUAUCCUUAAAGCAUGUGACAGACACCACCUCUCCAUUUUCGCUGCAGUCUUCUUUUAUGAGCUCUUUAUGUAUCCAAAUGUCCUGUUCCGAUGGAGAAAUUUAAAUAAUCCACAAUGCCUGAUUGCCUCUACUAGAAAAUGAGUUAAGAAUACAAGAACUUACCGCUUUAGAUUCAUUUUCUUCAACCAGAGAUUUUAGCAUUUUAGAUGCUAAGGGACAGGAUCUCUUCAACUCUCUCAAUGCUCUUAAGAUAUCCUUAGUGUAGGGAGUUAGAUCACCUAAGCCUUCUGAAAUUCACAAUAUAACAUAUCAUCACCCUUUUUCUAUUUUGCAUAACAAUGACUUGCAGGAAUUCGAAAACAUAAAUAUAUAGAAAGUCUCGUAUCAUGUAGAAGGAAAAUAUUUUGAACUUUUUCAUUCCCAAUAAUAGACCAAGAAAGCAUCCAAUAUUAAUAUAGAUGAUAUCUGAUCUAAAUCAACGCUGAAUUCUGUAACUUUAGUGGCUUAUCAUGCUUCGAGGAACUGCUCAUCAGCGCUUAUUCCUUCGUUUUUAGACAAGACUAUUGCUACCACAUUUUGAAAUGAUGAUUGUAAGCUGAGUUCUAAUUAAUGGCUUUUUGAACCUUACCAGGGAAAUGAAGAAAGCUAUUGAGAGCAACCAUAGAGAGGAUUCUGUCUUCUACAUCCCUAGCCGAAUUUAAUUUAGAUAUGAAGUGCUUCAGCAAGCAAGCACGAGCUGCUACUUGUAUGCCUGUAUCCGGUAGAAUGGUCAACAUGUACGUGAGCCAGGUAGCUGACAUAAAGCAUGCUGAUCGUAGUUCUGGAUUUCGGCUCUUCAUGCCAUCAGCUAAAGCCUCAAAAAUAGUGCCAAAUUCAUGGCUAACUAGAGCAUAUGCAAUUCUUCUUUCCGAAUCAUCAGCUGCCUUCUCGUCUUCCUGUUGAUGCCAAACAAAAAAUGAGGCAUAAAAAAAAAUAUUUGGCAAGGAGAAAGCACAAAGUCAACAUAGAAGAAAUGUUUCAAAAGACUUUACUGGAGUUAUAUCAAUUUCUGGACUGGAGUUGCUAAUCGGAUGGCCCACCAGUACAAGAUUUCUGGAACUUUUCUCAAUACCUGCACGUUUAAGGAGGACUUCUCUGCAUAGAGGGUUUCCGAAGAAGUCGAAGCUCCCUUGCAGUGACAUGAUCGUAUCUGCAGCUGCUAAUUGGGUAACGGGGAAAUCUGUGUUUCUCAGGCAUGCAAUAAGAGUAUCCAUAGCCUCUUCACGGUAUACGCUCAUUUUUCUUGGCUCAUCCUAAAAGUAGCACGAGGAAAAUUAAGCCCCUAUUACUUGUAAAACAGCAUUUUAUCGUGGGCAGAAAAGAAAAUGAUAAUGUAAGAAGAAAUACAACUAGUUCUUAUAUUUAAGAUAUAGGGAGCGUCAAAGAUUCACACCAGAAGAUCAAGUUGGAGUAAGAGGCCAGCCAUAACUGGACAAUGAUCUUGAGGAGCUGCCUGCAAAUAAAUAAGAAGAGUAUGCAUUGUGCUAAAUGGUCCUUCUUCCUUUAUAAUAUGGAGAAUUUGUUCAGUGAAUGUCCUCCUGAAGGGAAUCCCAGAAGAAGCUAUCAAACAAACUAAAAGGUAGAUUAAUUAAUUAGAUUAGUGUAAUUAUAAAUAUGAAAUAUUUAUACCUGUUUAAUUUGACCAACUCAGCAAAAAACUGAAUAAUCUUAAAACGCUCUCCAUCAUCUGCACCGAUUAAGGUUUCCAUAAGUGGAGACAACUCUGCUUUAUCAGCAAUGUUCUUUCUGCAAGUCCCAUCUUCUUCCAUGCAUCUCAAUAAGAUCUCUACUGCAGCAAUCCUCUCCUUUGCCGAGUCAGCUCCAAAACUGCUGACAAUAGUUCCAAUUGCAUUUUCAGAGAAAAGGGUAUUGACAACCGAUGAUGCAAUUAUCUCUUCACUGCUUCCAGUUAUCCUGGCAAGUAAAAGCACUGCAGCUGUUUUUGGCUUCAAACACAUCGUAACCAAUUCUUCCUCCUUCGUAUUCAAAACCGUUAUGAGAGACUCCACUAUGGCCAUCUCCGCAAGACUCGUGAUGGGAGGGUUUAGCAGAUGCAACAACACAACAGCCUCUGUCAACCCGUUCUUGAAAAGAGCCAUGAUACAUUCUACAUCAGUCUUCACACGGGUUAGAGUCUCGAUAACAGCGUUGUCCCUUGACCCCAUCUCGGCUAGAAGGAAAACUGCUGCUUGUAGCACCUGGGGCUCCACAGAAUUGAAAAGAAUCUCCAUAAAUCCAUUGAUUAUCGCAGGUUUUACUAACAUUCUAUGGAUAUCCACUCCAAGAUUCACUCCUCUCCAGAACUUCUCAACUUGAAGCACGGCCAUUUCCGAUUCCUUGAGAACCUCUGACAUGUACAGAUUAUUGAUGGCACAGCGUAACUCACUCAUCAUCCCGUCAACUGUGGCUUGGGUUAUAACGCUAUUAGGAGAAGUUGAAGCCGUUGUUGACUGCACAACUGCCUCGGUAUCUUCGUAUGGACUCUCAUACGGCGGUUGGACCAAAUGGGGGUUGCGAUCUUUCCAGCUUGCAAUUAGUCGUUUGAGCACAUAAUUUGUUUUGGGAAGCUGAGUGUUUUGCAGCUUCUGGCGAGUGAUGGGACAGGUUAAGUUCCCUCUGUUGAACCAUUCCUCGAUAGCUUUACGUUCAUACGUUUGACCAGUCUCAAGAGUCACUGGAUCAUCAAAUAUGUGACUUGUUAUUGGACAGACAAAGUCCUUGGGGGGUGCAUGUUUCCCAAUUUCAUGCAGCGGGUUAUCGAAGUCGGCCAUAGGAGGAUAAUCUGGUGAACUACAAAUAUGAAUAAUCCAAGUUAAAGAAUACGCAGCACACCACGAGAUAAUGAAGAAUAAUGGUGGUUGUUAAAUAUUAACGUACCCACUAUAUUGUUUGAAGAUGGUUUGCAUUUGUUCUUGAAUUUGGCUUUGUUGAGGCUCCAACAAUGCAAUUUUGUUUUUUUCCUACAGGACAGAGCUUUAUCAUCACUUAGCGUUUCAAUAACUAAAACAACUGUCAUAGAAAAUUCAGUCCCCCUUGGAAUAUUUUCUCGGCACACUCUCUCGGUAGCAUCAAUUACGUACCUCAUUUUCUACCUCAGAAUCUGAAGAAGAACUAACCAAACUCUCGUCUGAAGAAAAAUCGGCGUCAGCGGUUGAGUUUAAAUAGACUGUCGUUGUCCAAGAUUUUGAAGGAUUUUUGGGUUUGAGAAUUCUGGAAAAGACUCUUUGAGGAUAAAAUGGUUCCUGGGAAGAUCUUCUGCUGGAACUGGGGCUCAAUAAUUCAACAGAUGCUUCCCUUUCGGACCACAUUGGCUGCAGCAAAUCGUAGGGAAAAAAAGUGUGACAGGAUGAUUAUGAAAUGAAAGUGCAGUAUGUUAAAUUCUAACAUAAUUAUGAUAAAAAAAACACCAAUAUUUAAUAAACUCUAUUCUUCUUUUCUUCUUUUAUCAUACUACAAACCUACAUUUAUUUCUUUUAUUUCUUUCUUUAGAUGAGCAUUACCUCCUACAAUCCUACUUAUUUCUGUUUUUCAUUCUCUAAAGGUAGAUGUUAUGUGCAUGAAUGUCUAUCAAACGUUUUCGAAUAUAAUAUUCUCCUAAUAAUUCAGAAAGCAACUCCCAUCUCUUAACUAUUUAAUAUUACCUUUUUUUCCUGUACACUAUUUUUUAACCAGUCAAAAAAUUCUUCUAAGAUCAUCUCGUAUUAUUUUCUCUUUACUUUAUUAUAUAUAUUUUUUAUUUUAAAUUAAAAUUUCACAAUUUAUCAAAAUACGUUUUUAACAAUUAAAAAUAAAAGUAAAUCAUAAUUUUAGAUAUAACUUAUCUAUUUAAAAUAUUCACUUAUAAUAAAUUUUAGUUCUAGAAAAGAAUACGUAUCCUAUAUAUUACUAACUAAAAUACCAGUUAAAAGAAAAAAAAGAAUUAUUUUCGUAAAAGCACCUUCGAAGUAGAGUUAUUAAAACGUUUCUUUUUUAAGACAAAAACAUGACAAAAUAGAAAAUAAAUAAUGCAAGCGUACUCAUGUUACAUGUUAUUAGACAUUUAGAGAGAGAAAGAAAAAAAAUGUGAUAAAUAAUAUAUAAAUUGGUGUAUGUAUUAUUGAGCAAGCAUCUUUCUAAGCUAGCUGAUGAAAAUAAUCAUAUGUAAGCUCGAGAGAAAAAAUCGUAAUCCAGUUAAUUAAAUAAAAGUUUAAUAAUGAUUAUAAAAAAGUUUGAUACGUGAUUUAUAUAAUUAAUUUGAUUAUUGUUUUGAACUGUCUGUAUAAUUCAUUUAUUUAUAAAUAAAUAGCUAAAAUUAAAAUCCUUAGAUAAGAAAAGCAUAAGAACAGAAAUGCAACUGAUGAAAAGAGUAACGAAUUGGUGAAAAGUAGAUAUACAACAUUACAUUAUACCGUCCGUUCUCCAACAGAUUCGUUCGCGUUAUCUCCUCCCUUAUGUUCUCCCUGCCGCCACCUUCAGCACCGCUCUUCAUUAUCAACGACGGUGGACUAAUCCUCGCGUCACUGUUCUCGUUCACCAAAACCUCUUUGAAAUACUCUGCGAGAACCCUACAGUUGUCGUCGAGAACCUCUUCGUACUCUUUCUCCACCUCCCGGAGCUUUGCGGCCUGCUCCUCGCUCAUCUUCGACAGCACCUUAGCGCAAGGCAGUACCACCGAGUACUCCUCAGAAACUGAAUAAUCAUUUUCAUGUAUGGAGGUUGAGGGAGUGGAGGAGAGAAUCUUCGUCCUCUGCUCGUCGAACCAGCGGAAGACAGGGAAGAGGUGUAGAGAAAAGAGGCGCUCGUAGAGUGCAGGAGCGAUUUCCGAUCUAGCGAGUGAAGCGUUUUUGUUGCUGCUGUUGUUGGAGUGAAAGAUUCGGAGGAGGCUGGUGGCGGAUUCGGUUGGACGGUUACAGAGGGCGUGGGCGAGCGAGAGGAGUAGCGAGGAGAGGGCGAAGUCGGGGAGAGGGAGGAGGAGCUUCUCCACGAGAGACAGUGAGGAGGCGCGCAGGGCGGGGCUGGAGAAGGAUAUCGCGCUUUCUAGAGUGUCUGCGGCGAGUUUGAGGUGCUUUUGGUCGGAGAUCGGAGUGUCCCGGAGAAGAGUGGUGAUGAGGCGGCGCCGUAGUUCAGAUUGCGAGAGAACGGAGGAGGUGAAUGCGGCGGUGUGGCGGAGGAUCUGAGAUCGAGUGGUGACCGUUACGGUGGUCAUGGCGGUGGGAAUGUUAGUGAAAGUUGGGUGCGUUUAAGGGUACACGAAUAUGACGUUAACGGAAAUAGCAGUUAACGGUUUUGAUUGAAUUUGCCGGAAUGGGAAGUCUCGGGCGGCACCUUUUGAAAUGACCCAUGUGUCCCUUGGUUUGGUCUCAGGCACUUACUUUUAUAAUAAGUAAACAAAAGAACGACUCAUACUUCAUUAGGGUAAAGUAAAAAUAUUUUAUAUGCCAAUGUUAUAUUCAUGUCAUAAUCUAUGUUUUGUCUGUAAUUUCUUUGAACUUCGUUGUUUAAGUGGUGAUGAUAGUAAAGAAAUCGGUCCAAAGAUAUUGUGGUGAGAUAUAUAAUCUUUUUUUACUAUUGGCGUCAAAACUAUAUUCAGAUAUUGUGAAAGGACAGAGAUACCUUAAUUGGUCUACAGUAAUUGCUCCCACAUUACAUGUAGCCAACACCUUAAUUUGUCGUUUCUAUAAUUUCGGUUGUAAUCACAAAUUAAUAAUUUACGUUUUCUUUCUUGUUUUGUUAUAUAUAUGAGACAGAUUACAGUUUAAGAUUAAAGAAAGGAUGCAAUUAGAGACAGAGGGUGAAGUUAAAGAAGGCAACAUCGCCCACAGCUGUGUGCAAUGAGAAGUGGAGGAAGUCCAAAAGAGUAGGGUCAUUUUGGUAACUCUAUCCACUUCGAAAUGUGGCGGCAAAACACGAACAAGGUGUGGGACCAGUUUGCCGCCCAGCCGGCUGCAUUUGACAGGUAAUCAUUCUAUAGAGCAGAGUAGAUUCAUCACUUAUAUAUUAUUUUUUCUUAACUCAAUCAAGCUUCUUUUCUAAUUUCUUAACCAUACUUCCAAAUUAUUUAAAUCAUUUCUUCGCGUAAAUUCCACGUGCUUACUGAUUCACUCCAAAAAAUAUAUAUUUUCAUAUCAACUGUUCACAAUGACUUUAGCUAAUUUGAUUCUUUCAAAAUUUUGGUCCUUUUUUAAAGUAUCGAUUACUUUAAUCACUAUGUACAGUUUAGGAUUAAAACACUCUUUAAGAAUAUAUAAUAAUGAUAUAUUUUUGAAUGAUCAAUCCAGAAUCCAUUACUAAAUUCAAAAAUAUAUUUGGAAAUAUUCAAUCUCAAAUACAUGGGUGUUAUCCAAAAUUACUAAUCCAGAAUACAUUACCGGAUCUAGGAAUGCAUUACGGAUUGGUUAUUCUAAAGAGAUUUUCUUUUCUUAAUUUUUUUUUAAUAUAAUCUCUUAAAAGACAAAAAGGAGAAGUUCAAAAUUUACUCCGGUGAAGGAAGAAAAUUCGGGACUGCAGGAAGAAAUGGCCCAAGACCAUGACGUGGCCCGUAAGACCAAGAUCACAAUCCAUUUUUGAAUCAUGGGGCCGAAUUUUGUACAUCUAACCUGUUGACUGUCACUAAUGUUUUGUUUGACAGAUUGCAAAGGGCGAGUUAAAGAAAGGGCAGGAAAAGAAGUGGAAAAAGGUUAUUUGAUUACAAAUAAAUGCUGGAAAAUAAGACUGUUUUAUCAUUAUCAUAACAAAAAAAAGUAAAAAAUAAUAAAAUUCACAAUGCAUAACAACAAUCAUAGAAGAUUAAAAAUAGUUUGUCAAUAAAACUUGAAUAAAAAUAUAUGUUUUCUAAUCGUUUUUUCAGAAAAAGUAGAUCCAAUCCAUAUAAAUUAAGAAUAAAAGAUUAGUGAAAAAAAGAAUAAUCAAUGAUGACUUAUUAUAAUUGGUCUAGUCUACUUAUCAUAAUAAGUUGAAUGAUGACUUAAUAGUCAUAAAAAUAAUGUAUCUUAUGUAAUUCUUGUAAUAAUAAUACCGAAAUACCUAUAAUAACCUUUUUUUUAACGGUCAUAAAAUGUCUCAUGUACAGUGAUGAAAAGAGUUUGAACAUGACAUGAAAAUAAGGAUAAAGAGAAACAACGAUUUGGAAAACGAAAAACAUUCAUCACAUCCAAAAAAGAAUAAUUAGAGAAUGAAAUUUACAGUCUCACAUUAUUCUAACGUUUGUUAUCUGCUAUACAUAUAUGACUUGUCAUCUCAUACUUAUUAUUUCAUUCCAAACUUUAAAUAUUAUCUUUAUUGUUUAAUAGUUUUAUUAAAAAAUUGCCAUAUGGUUGUAUAAAAUUCAAGUGAUUGCAAAACAUUAUUUUCUUAUUUAUAGAAUUUGGUCUCAGUGAACUUACUUAACCUGUGCAAGUUAUAUUUAUAUAUAAAUUUCAUCUCCCCUCUCUCGAUGGAAGUGUUAAUGUGAUUUCAGUUUUAAUUAUUUGGUUCUAGAAUCCAAUUUCUUCAAUUAUAUGUAUUUAGUUUAUUUUUAAAUUAAAUAUUUUAUAUAUGUGUUAUUUUUACCUUUUCAAUGACUGAAAUUAACAUCAUCUUAGACAUUCAAGAAUUGCAUUAGUAUCUUAUUCCAAUUAAGAAAAUAAUAAGGAAACUGUAUGUGGGCCAAACUUUUUGCUUGGAAUUUUAUCAGAUUGGGCCUUGUAAUUUUUUUAUCACCGAGGAGACAAAAAGUGCACUGCAAAAACCCGGAAUUUGACAUUGAUUUCAAUUUAUUCUUUUUCUCUUUUUUUUUUUUAGUUUUAUAAACUGCGAAUUAGGUAAAUAUGUUAUUAUGAAAUUGAAUUUUUAAGUGAUUUUGUUUUCUUGAUGAAUAUUUUCAUUACCUUCUCUACAGUUAUUGACAGUUUUAUAAAAUAUAAUAAAAAAUUGGAAGAAUAAUAUUUAUAAACAAAUUUUAUAAUUCAUACUCGCCACUUCUUAUUGAAAAUUUGUAUACAGAAAUGUGUUCAUUUUCAAUUCACAUAUUAUGUUAUACUAGUCACACUAAGAAACAUAGAUUUUAUUUUAAUGAUUUUUUAAAGCUCCAAGAUAGAUGAUAUACUGAUGGAAACAAAGGGCAACAAGUUAUCAUUAUAUAUUAUCACAGUCUGGAAAAAUUCUGCCAAUAAUUUUCAAACAAAAAUAUCACAGGAAUUGAGUAAGUUUUCGAUUUCCUUAACAAAGGUAAUUCUCCAAUCACCGGAAUUGAGUUAGUUUUCAGUUUCCUUUGAAAUUUAUUAUUUCUUUUUGGAUUGAGAAUGAGAAGGUAAAAUACAAAGAAAAUAAAUAUUUGUUUAAUAGAUAGAAAUAAAUAAAGUAGUUUCGUUUUUUUGGAUAAACGAAAAAAAAGUAUAAAUGCUUUUCUUUUCUCUAUUUUCUUAUUUCUACUCAUGUAAAAUUAUCAUACUCUCCUCAUUUUCCUUUUUUAUUUCCUUCUUUCCUAAUAAUACACUUAUCCAAACAAGCAAGAUUGUUUGAAGUUCUCUUUUAUUGCAUUUACUUGAUGAUUCAUUAAUAGAAAUGAAAAUAAGUUAGGUCACUUGUAUUUAAAAAAAAACAUUUAAUAUAGUUAAAAAAAAGUCAUAUUAAUUGUAUUUAAAAAGUCUAUUAGAAAGUAAUAAAGAGUAUUACUGACGACUAGAAUCCCUCGGAAAACGCCAAAAAUCAUUGGUAAACAACACUUACUGACGGUCUGCCGACGAUCAAAAAACCAUCGAAAAAACCUUUGUCCCUAAUCAUUACCGAGGGAUUUUGCCCUUCGGUAAUUACCGAGGGUCAGAAGCCUUCGGUAAUUACCAAAGGGUAAAAGCCUUCAAUAAUUACUGAAGGCUUCUGGCCCUCGGUAAAGCCUUCAGCUUCAUCCACUCAAAUAUGAGUGAUAUUUGUCUUUCUUAAUCCAACCACACGUACCUGCAUAAAAAGUUCACAACAGAGACAAACUUGCAUAAAAGUUUCAAACCACAAACAGACCUGCAUAUUAUGCAUCCCAAAAUCAUCCAUUCAUUGAUGAAAAAUCAUAAUGUACAUUAUGUUCUAAGAAUAUCAUAAUGUAGCAAAAUCAUUCAUUUCUAAGCAAAGAUAAUGUAUCAAAUCAUAAUGUACUAAUAACAUCAAAAUGUACUAGUGAUCCUAAUGUAGCAAAAUCACUAUGUUUUAACAAUUAUGAUGAAUAACAAAAUCAAACUAAAAUUGUACAUAGUCUUCAGAUUGAUCUUCAUCAUCCUGCUCGUCCAUAGAUGGCUGGACUGGUGUGGGCAGGACUGCUGUAGACUGGACUGAUGAGGGCUGGACUGAUGAGGGCUAGACUGAUGAAGGCUGGACCAAUGAACGCUGGAGCUGAUCGUGUGCAGUUUAAGGCAACACACUCAUGACUAAGGCCUUAAAGUUUGUAAAAUUUGCUCUCAAAUCAGUAAUAUCUUGAUCACGUCGCUCCAGUGCCUACGUGAGGCGGAUAACGACCUCGUCAGUAAUAGUGGUGGAAGAAAAAAGGUUAGUGCUUCAAAAUACCUCCUCUCGAUGCUGUCUAAGAAAAUAUAAGUUAUAAGUUCUAUUAGCACUAUUCUCAUAUAUUAAGUUCAUUUAUGAUACUAAAAUUGUAUGUUUGUUUAUUAAAAUAUUAAAUAUAUUUCCCUACCCGAGUAAAACAUAUAUUAUUAUAUUGAAGGAUAAAUUUACACGAUCUUAUAACAAAAGUCGUUCUUAAACUAGAUUAUUGACUUUCAAAUAUAGAAUAUCAAGUACUAAAAUAAAAGCUAAGGUAGGCUAAGUUUUUUUUUUCCUUAUCAUAAAAGUUUUACAUUUUCAAAAGUUUUUCUAGCACAACUUCUUCAUGACUGAAAAUUAAUUAAAAAUUAUAAAGAAAUGCUUUAGAAAAUUGUGUUUAUAUAUGUUAUGUAAUGAGGCGUGAUGCCCUAGCCAAUCUAGGGUUAUUUAUUCUGCGAUUGAUAUAACCGAAGAAAGGGCGUAUAACUAUACAUAUAUAACCCCCGCAUGCGAUACAAUUCUGCAUGCGUGUUCGACUCUGUCGGUGAAUGUCUGUCUGAAGUUGGCACACUUUUUUACGUCUAUUCAUCCACGUACAACGAUACACAACCCAACCUAAAGUUUUAUGCUCACUGCAAUCACUUUCAAAAGAUCCGUUUCUUAUACUACGAGAUUUUAGAACUUAUUUUUAAAAGUUUACGUACCUGCAUCAGUAAUAGCUUUCAUGGUCUGUUUAAUUACUGCUAUAGAAGUAGCAAUGAAAGUAAUCAUACAGUGACUGCAUAUAUACAAUCAUCUAACGUUAUACAGCUUAAGCUGGUUAAAAUAAACAAAAGGUCGAUUUUUAUGAAUUUAGGAAUCUUAAUAACAAGGAGUUGUUGCAAAUAUAUACUACUGGAUUGACAGCACACAUUUUAUUCAGGAAUGAUGUAUAGCAUCAUGAGCAAUCAGCCUUAGGUUUUGCAGCAGAUUGACUGCUAAUGAUGUUAUACAAUCUCCAUGAAUUCGUUUCUCUGUGUGCUGUACAACAUAUAUAUUAAUUUAUGCUAAUAAGUAAAUUAGCUUCAUCUACCGAAACCCCCCUCCAAAAGCUGGUGCCCAAUAAUCAGCUCCAUUGUCACUUCCAACUUGCAGCGUGCAUGACACUGGAACCAGACACAACCCUCUACUCCUUAGAUCCUUCUUCUUCGCCUCUUCUUCAGAAUCCUAAUUAAUUAUAACAACACAAGUUAACAUUAAAAUAUACAAUUGAACUAUAAAUUCAUCAUUAUCAAGUUCAAAUUCAGAAUUAAUUCACUGACAAUUAUAACCUGCUCACUAGUUGCUUUCCUCUUCAAACAGUUUUCGUUCAGCAACUGUAACCAGAAAUUAAAUAAAACAAGAUAAGAAUUUGACCAGUAAAUUAGAGAAACUGAUUCAUCUCAGAAAGUAAUAUAUUAUAUAUUAUAUCAGAUAAAGCUGGUGACAUUUCUCUUUAAUUGUCUAGCUACUUUCUUCAUUUAUAAUAUAGAAUUCAAGUUGAACUUGUUAUAGCUUCUUUUGAAAUGCAAAAUCCCCAAACCCCUUUAAUGGGUUAGUGGAUCCAAGGAAAAAGCAAACCUGACCGGGGUCUUCAGGGAAUAUACAAUUCUUCUCUCCUUGAACCUAACAUUAAACAAUUACAAUCAUCACUCAAUUAGUACCACAUAAUUACCCAUUAAUUAGUAUACAUUCUGGCGCACAUGCAAGAAGAAAGAUGCUGAAGAGAGAAAGAGUGAGUUUUUCUUUUUUUUUUUUCAUUUUGCUUUGGGAAAUGAGAAACGACUUUACUAUGUGUGAUAACCAGAAAUGGGUUGGUAUUAUUUCUUACAGAUUGUUGCUGUCUCAUGUUUCCUGAUCCAUUACCCAAGUAUGGUAAGCUAAGGGCCUGCAUCAAUGGUGAAAAGAGAAUAAUUUUAGAACUUCAAAAACUAUAUAUACAUCAAUUUGUGGACGAUUAGAACAGGGUGAAAUAGUGGAGUUUUAACAGCUAGCGUGCCAUCACUAUUCACUGACUAUCGUAGUUGUUUGCAAAAAUCGACAGAGGGAAUAAACAUUAAUUACCUCAAUUUGACUCUGAAGGAAUCUGAUAUACCCAAUAGCUUCUAAUAAGACAGAAGCCGUGUCAGUCUGUAAAAGUGAAAAAAAAUAGCACACACCACAGUCAUCUCCUAUGCAAUGUUAAACAAAGAGCAUGUUGCUUCCUCUAAAAUACUGUGUAAAAAAUGUAUAAUAAAGAAAGAAGGGAUGGGGAAGAUGAAACAUAUAUACGAGAAAAAGUAUCGUUUUCUUCAAGAUUAUUUUCCAUUAUUAUUUUGGAGGUAGGUAAUACAAUUAACUUUUCUUGGUACUUUCUUUUUUUUUAGUUUUAUUUAAAUCUUCAAUUGAAUAAAUUAAAGUUUAUAUACCUUUCCAAACGGGGAAACAAGUUGAUGAAGGGCUGUAAUUCUGUCACCUAAUUUUUCCUUCCUAACCUGAAAUGUACACAUGUGUUUAAUUAAUUGGCUUAAAAGGUUAUUCUUUAUUUCAAGAUAAAAAGAAAAAAGAAAAAAAAAAAAACAUGUGCAGGAACAAGACAAUCAAGAAAAACAACAGUGCCCAGCCACACACAUGUGAUGUUUGUGUGCGGUUAUGUGUGUUGGCUUGCCUGAAAAAGUGUUCGAGGUUGGAAGUUUCUGUAUAAUAGUUUUCAAUGGAUGAAAAUACCUUGAAGGUCGACUGCGUUGUGGGCGGUUGAACCCUAGCUUUCUUGAAUGCCCCACCAGCUGCAGUGCUAUUACACUUGAGAAUAAAAUAAACAAAAAACAAAAACUUUUGGUUAAAAUUAUAAUGCAAAGAAAAAGAAACCGAGAAGAAAAGAGAAGCUGUACAAGACCAUGAAUUUACUAGAAUUGGUUUUAUUAUAUAGAAAGAAUAGAACAUAAAGAGAAGCAAAGAGCAAAGAAAUCCGUUAUGCUUGAUCUAUAUAAUAAAGAAAGAAUAGAAGAACCGUUUGACAUAAAUAUUCAUUCAAAAAAUAAAAGUUGGAGAGGACCCAUAUGCCUUUAUCAAUCAGAAAUCAUAUUUGCAAAUAUUCUUCAAUACCGAUAUAUAGUUUUAGUAAAGUUUCACGAAAUGUAUAACAUAACUCAAAGCAAAACCCUGAACAGAAAUAAAAAUAAGGAAUUAACUAACAUGUAUCAGUAAUAAAUAUAUAUAUGUACCUCUAAUGAUGGGUCUGGAGGAGGAGGCCUAGCAUCUGUGUUACUGUUAGAGAAAUCUAACAUGCUGCUGCUGAAACUUGUUACACAUGAUUUGGGGGAAGAAGAAGGCACUGUUUGAGGCCAAGUUGGCUUUGCUGGGUGAAACUCUUCGUUUCCAUGACCGUACACGUAGCUGUUCACCGACCCUUCUUGCUUAACUUGACUCAGCAUUUGUUGCUGAACCUGGCACAUAGCCCCUUUCUCUUCUUCAGACACCAUCCCACUCCUAUAGCCCAAAAUCACAUGCAAUCAAAAACAAAACUCAGCUACUCAGAUUUGAUCCUUCAAAUAAUCAAACACACAUACACUGACUAAGGGCUGCUUUAACUUAAAAGGUUUUCAAUUGAUACUAACAAGUAAAAAACACAGUGAAUCAACCAUAAAGUGAUGUGUUUGUGUGUCUGUGAGAGAGAGAGAGAGAAGGGGUGAUUGUUACAUGAGAAGCUGGCUCCAUGACUCAGGUAGUUCUUGAUUGUUAUCAUGCCAAGAAGGAAGAGGAAGAGAAGAAGAGGUGUUAUACGGAGUUAGAAAGUUAGAAGGAGUGGAGAAGAAAGGAGAAGAAGGGUGAGAGGGAGGAGGAGGAGGAGAAGGCGGAGGAGGGCGCAUGGUGUUGAUGUUCCACCAAUUGUUAGGGUUUGCAGCCAUCAUUUGUUGCACCGGUGAGCUUUGCAAGACACCUCUAUUCAUGGCUUUGUUAAUUUUGCUAUGAUCUCUAAAGAAGAACAGAAGAACAGAAGAACAGAAGAACAGAAGAAAAGAGGAAGACGUUGUUCCGAUCCAAGGUUGUCUGAGAGGUUGUGAUUAAGUAGGGGGAACACUAGCAGUGCUUGGUACUGUUUUUGAGAGAAUUUGAAUAAUCAUGGAGUUUUGAGAACCUUUUGUCUUUUUUUUUUCUUCCCUUUCUUUAUUGCUUUUGUUUUCUUUUCUUUCUUCCUUUGAUGUUUUUCUUUUUCUUCUUUUGCUUUUGUAUUUCCCCUAAGCUGCUUGCUUUUACUUUAUCUUAAAGUGGGACAGAAAAGGUGGUAGCAAUUCCAUAAUUAAGAAAACCAAUAUAUGCGUCUAAGCAUAGCCACUCUCAAGUGCACGAUUUUUGUAUCACAUCUUCCACGUGGCGUGCUGCUGAGGCUUCUAGAUAUUGCAAACCCUUUUAAUAGAUGAGACGUCUGAAACUUGGGAAAUUUAAUUUGACUUAUCCAACACAAACACUUCCACCUUCUUAUCCUUCACUCUAUCUGCAUUCAUUCAUUAUUCCAUUUCCUUCAUCACUUCUCAAACACUUAAUUACUAUCUGUCUUCCUUAUAUUUAUGUAUCAAAAGUUAAACCUUACAGCUAAUUUUUCCUCUCCAAAAUACCCUUACUAUCUAUCCAUUUCUGCAUGCUCUUUUCUUUUCAUUAUAUCAUGUUAUUGCUGGGAACAGAAUUUAGAGUAGCUCACUAAUUUAUUAAAUAAUCUUAUUAUUUUUAUUUCAAUUUCUGAUUUUUAAUCCAUACUUUUUUAACACCCAAAAAUAAUUUAAUAAGAGAUUUCGAGUUUAAUUGAAAUAUAGGUUUAAAUACAGUUUGUAUUUCCUAUUUUCCUCAAUCCGCGAUUUUCAUUAUCAUUCAUAUUAAAAAUAGGAAAAGAAUUCUUUGACACUCCCUUUUCAAUCUACCUACACUUUCUUUGACAAUUGGUUUUAUGAUAAAAAUUUAAUAAAAAUAAAUAUAAAUAAAGAAUUACAAUAAAAUAAUAUUAUAUGAGUUUAUAAGUUGCAUGUUAUAACUGUCAAAGUAAUAUCACCCUUAAAAACAAAUAUAUUUUUACUUUGCAACAUAGUUCCUUUCUUUCAUGAUAAAAAAAUAUAUAAAUUUAUUGUUUUAAAUUAACUUGUAAACAAACUUCAUCGUUUUUUAACAAAACACAAUAAUCAUAUAUAAGCUAUGCACAACCAAAUCUGCCUGUGUGAUUUUUAUUUUUUUAUCAGCAAAGGAAAUUUUUAUAUAACUAUACUAUUUAGAGUACUCUAACACAUAAACAGAUUAUAUAGGAAGUGAUUUCCUUAAAAAUAGUUUUGAACACUCUUGUUGUCAAUAGUUGCAAGGAUUUACAACAACUAAAUUUAACUAAUACAAAUUCCACAAUAAUUUUUAAUCUUCUGACGUCUAAGAAAGUUUGUUUUGUAAAAAAAAAACGUUAAAAAUAACUUAUAAAUUAACUAAUAUGUCUUAUGAGAAUAAAUAUUUUAUAUAGUCAUGAGAGCCCAAACAAUAAUAAAUUUUGAGACAUCAUUAUUGUUGCCUAUACAACAAACCAAUAAACAAUUUUUCCUACGCCCAAAUCUUCUUUUAAUAUAUCUUUUAAUCUCUGGGCAACCAUAUGUUUACCACUCGUUUAUAUUAAUACUAAAUUAAAAUACUUGAUAAAUAUUAUUAAAAUAGUAUAAUUUCCAAUAAAUGAUACAGUUCUAAAAUAAUACUAAAUCUUAUGGAGUGAUCAUAAACACCCAUAAUAGGCUGUGCAUUUAGGUAUACGAAUGCAAGAUUAUGACCUCGUUUAAAAAAUUAUCUUGAUUAAAGGACACAAAUUAAACAGGUGUCUCAAGAACCUUUUCAUCUACCAAUCAUGUCAUUCUAGUAACCUGGUAUGAAUGAAGAGAUAAAGGUUGUUUUUCUUGUAAAAGUGAUGGAUUUGUAUUCUCUUUUAAUAGAAUUUAGCAUAUUAAUAAUUAACAUUUGUUUGUUGAUAUUAGAAGAAUGAACCGAGAAUGUCUUCUUUUUCUUCUUUUUCUACGUUAAUAUCUUAGUUUGUUAAGUGUUAAAAUCUUAGUUAUAUUUUACUUGAAAGUAUGAGGUGUCAAAAUCAAAGUUUUAAGAUAAAAGAUAAUUCAAAUUUUAAUAAAUAAAAAACUUAGAUUUUGAUGCAUAUAUUUCAAAUGAUAGUAAUAUUAAUUUUACGAAAAUAACCAAAAUAUUUUUUUUACAAAAUUAACUAUUCAAGUAAAUAAAAAAUAAAAUUAAAAACCAAAAUAAAACAAAUAUCUAAAUAGAAAAAAUAAAUUUCAAAUGAAACCUAAUAAAUUUGUUAUAGAAAUAAUAAUAAACUAAAAAAAAAGGUUAAAUAUGUUUUUAGUCCCUAUACUUUGGGAUGAUUUUGGUUUUAGUCCAUUUUCAAACUAUGGUACAAUUUAGUCCUUCAACUUUAGAAAACUCUGGUUUUAGUCUUUUUUAUCAAUUUUUUUAAACUUUAUUUGUUGUUUCAAGCACGUUUCUUAGUUAACAUUGAAGCAAAAAUGUGUCAAACAGUGUAAAGAAUCCAAAUGCUAUAAUGAAACAUGUUUGAAACAACAAAUAAAGUUAACAAAAAUUGGUAAAAAAGACUAAAACCAAGAGUUUUCUAAAGUUGAAAGACUAAGUUAUACCAUAGUUUAAAAAUAGACUAAAACCAAAAUCGCCCGAAAAUAUAGAAACUAAAAACAUAUUUAACCCAAAAGAAAAUGAAAGUAUACAAUUCUGCGCUCAAAAGAUUGCCUCCUCCUUCGUUAAAUAAAUAAAUAAUAUAUUCGUACACAGACAUGCUGCCAUGAGAAUCUUUAUUACACAUUUUAAUGUGAUCGAUGCAAAUCAAUAGUCAACAUAAACCACUCAUGAGAUUAUUCAUGUAAUAACAAGUAAGUAAUUUUAUAUACGAUUAUUAAAUUUUAUACAUUUCAGACAAACAUUCCUUAAACCGCAUUUUAAUGUUCCCAACAAACAAAAUAAGCUCUUAAUUCUCGAGCUUAGGCUAACCUGUCGACAAGAUGCUUGGAAAUAAUUAAUCACAUCUGGUGUUCAUGCACGUGAAUUAUUGGAAAAAAUAAAAAAUAUGAAUAAAACAAAUUAAAAGAAGAUGUAUCUCUGAUCUACCUAUUCAAUAUCCGUGAAACUUCUAAGAAUCAAAUAUGAGGGAAAAUGAAACGAGAAAAUAUAAAAAAAAAAAAAUCUGAAAAAACUGUAGUAAAAAGAAUAUAACUUUUUAAAAAGUGAAAAAGAAUAUAACUUUUAAGCAUAUAAAGAUAUUUAUUGGUAACAGACACAUCGUUUAGCUAGCGUGUGGUUUGUCUUCCUUAGCACAUACCCUAUUCCCAAAUCUUGGUUAUAGGUGCGGUGUCGUUUCUUGCUAAAACACAUGGCACAACCUCCUUUUUCAUUUAUUUUCCCGAGAAACAAACAUGGUCGAGCACCUUCUUGUCCUUACCCUCUUUCUCAUAUGAAAAAUGAAAAAAACAAUAAAAUUAAAGAAAUACAGAGUUAUAAUUAAUUUAAGAAUAAAGCAAAAUAAAAUUUAAGUUUUCUUUUACAAAUUUGUUUAUUUACAACAGUAAUAAAUAGGGAUAAAAAAAAUUGUAAACACAAAUAUCUACAAAUAAAAUCUUAAAUAAAUAAUUAUUAUAUAGAUAAUGAAUACGGAUAUUUUAAUAUUUAUUUCUAAAUAAAUAUAUAUAUAUAUAUAUAUAUAUAUAUAUAUAUAUAUAUAUAUAUUAUCUGAUCUGAUAUGUGAUUUACAAAAAAUAAUAAAAACUUUAAUUUAUAUAUAUAUUUUUAUUAAAUUUAUCAAAAAAGUAAAAACAAUUUUUAUUUUAGUAGAUUAAAUUUAAUUAUAAUGAAAUUUUAGUUUAUAUUUAAUUUAAUUUAUACUGUUUUAUAUAUAUAUAUAUAUAUAUAUUUUUAUUUAAAUUUUAUUUUUAAAUAUAUAAUUUUUUUUAUAUUUCUUUUAGAUACUUAUGAGUAUCCAUAAGUUUUAAAAUAUUUAUAGAUAUUUUUUAAACAAGUAUCCAUACGAAUAGUAAACGUGUUAUUAGUCGAAUUUUUGUUUUAUAAAUCAAGUUUAUGUAGAUAUUAUCCAAACUCGAUUCAAUCCGUUGUCUUCUUAAUAAUAAAUAAAUUUGUUUUUUCUUUAAUUACAUGUAAACAGAUCUAUUUUAGCAUAUCUAAAUUAUCUCCGUGGAAUAGUCGUUCAUAUAUUCUUUUAAUUAUUUAAAUAAAAAUUUCAGACCAUAUGUGUUUUACAUAAAUUUAUAUACUGGAUUCCCCUUGCACUUAAUAAUUGUGUUUUUAGUAGUACACGUUUAGUAGUACCGUGUACAUGUGUAUAAUUAAAAAAGGAAGACAUUGAUUGACCUCGCUUUUUGGUCAUCUAUAUGUAUUUUGAUUAUUUCAGCAAUGACAUUUGUCAUCAACAUAACCAAAACUUAUUUCAUACCAAAGAGUGUACGCAAGUCAGUGAGCAAUAAACUUUUUAAGUCAAAUAUAUGUUCUGUAAUUAGCAACAAGAAAUAAAUGGGCAAAAUUAUUGCUAUAAAAUAAUUGCUAUUUUUCCCCCUAUAAGAAAUGACAAAAUCAUGAGCUUGAUAGCUUAAAAAAAAUAGCUCACUCCACUUAAGUAUUAUUCUACUCAUAUACUCAAACGAUUUAAGUUACUAGUCAUUUCUGUGAUAACUUAUAGGUUUAAACCAUUUAGUUGUUCGUAUUUUUGGGAAAAUUUUUCAUUUUGAUCCUCAUUUAUUAGAAUCUCCAAUUGAGUCUCUAUAAGUGUUAAUUUCAAUCAAUUAAGCUUCUGCCAUUAAAUUUAGUUAACGAGAUUAACUUUUUUGCACAGCUGGAAGGAUAACCUGUUAAUUCCUGUAAACGUAGUCUAUUUAGAGUUGAAACGUGACAUGAAUUAGAGUUGAAAUUGAUAAGACGGAGAUCAAAACAGAAAAACCUACCAAAAAUAUGAACAACUAAAUGGUUUAAACCUAACUUAUAAAUAAAAGUUGAAAUUCAAACACGUGACUAAAAGUAAAUGCUAAUAAUCUACUACUGUAACUUUCCAUAAUCCUUGAUGAUUAAUUAGAGUGUUAAUGUUGGGGUGCUUUGUCUUUUCUCGUAACGUAACAAAAGAAUCCGCGUGACGAGCAUGAUGUUCUUAGACAAUAUCAUAAUUAGCAUAUGUCUAAAUUAUUUGUGUAACACAUUAAAACGACAAUAUUGAAACUUGGAAUGUGGUUUUUGAAACCCAACAACAUUUAUCCUUGAGAAACAUGAAAAUAGUUUGCUUUCUAAAAUUAAAAAAAAUGGUCAUCGGAUUCCUCGUCACAUGCUUUAAAAUUAGUAUCAUUAUUAUGCCUCUUGAAGAUGAUCCCAAGACGGUUUAGCUAACACUUAAGAACAAUAUGAAAAUAUAAAUAUAAAUAAAAAUAUAGGUUAAUAGGAUGCCCCAAAAGCUUACCCUUCCCUAUAGUCCUACUUUCCUUUGUAAAUGUAAAGAACAACCCUACAAUAGAGAGAAAGGUAAGGUGCAAUUUCAGUAUCUAACAACUUUGUUAUUUUCUUAGGCUAGAUAUAAAAUAAGGCACAUGAGAUGAUAUUGUGAUAUGCAUCAUUUCAAUUGUGAUAUCCUUUGAGUUCCACUACACAUCAAUCAUACGACCUCUUUUUUCUCUUUUAUUUUUGUAUUUAGGUGUAAUACUUAGGUUUAGCGCAAUUGAUGAAACAAUUAUGUAGUCGUGUUUUAAUUUUUUUUUAAUUUUGUUAUUUAUUUCUUUAAUUUAAAUAUAUAACUUUUGAAAUGAUGAUUAAUUAUAUACAUUUUUUCAAAGUUUGAAUUGAUUAUUUUUAAUUGAAAAUUUUGAAAAAAAAUAUUAUUUUUAAAUGUUAAUUUACUUUAUUACAAUUAACUAUUAAAAUUUAAUUCAUAUUCCUAUAUUAAAUUACAAUAUGAUUGAAUAUUUGUGUUCUUUAUAAAAUACAUAUCACAGAAUUUAAUUUUUAAAUUACCUUUUACUUGAAUAGUUACAAAAAGAAACAAUCUAAACAUAUUACACGGCAUUCAUUUAAAAUUAGUGAUUUUGAUUCGAUUGGGUUUUAAAUUAAAAAUCUAAACUACACUAAUUCGUUGAGAAAAAAAAAAUCGUAAAAAAAAAUAACAAUUAUUUGAUUGGUUUUUUUAUUUUUUUAAGUUUAAUUUUGUUAACCCUUAAUUAGCUCAAUAUAAGAUUAAAUGCAACUAUGAAAUGUAGUUUAUUUGAGUUUUUUUAUAGACUUAUGUUUUAUAUUUUGUUAAAUUGAUUCGUCUAAGUUUUUUAUUUGAAUACUAUUCAACUUUUUGUUGGUGUUAAAUUAGAUUGAUUUUUUUGUUUGAUUGAUUUGAGUUAAUAUUUAAUUUGAAAUAAUUUUGUUUUAUUGUUUAUUACAAUUUAGUUAUAUUUUUAGUCUCAGGAUGUAUGUUUAGAUUUUGGUUUCAAACCAAUUUAGUUUUAUUAUUCAUCUGUCUGGAACAAUUAAUCCUAAUUUUUGGUCUAGACAAAUAUGACUUAACUUUUGAUUAUGAUUCGUUUAGUUCAACUUUUUGUCUGAACUAACUUAGCUUUUUCAACUUAAAUUUAGUUAGACUUGACUAGAUAUAAUUUAACUUGACUCAACCUAGUCUUAACUUGACAUAAAUCUGACUUGACUUGGCUCGUUCUUUAACUUUGACUAUCGUAGAUCAACUUUUAUUGUCUAGAUCAAUUUAGAUUCAAACAUUCACUUGAUUUAAAAACAUAAUGUUUUAAAUUUUUAAAAUCUAAAAUACUAUUCAAUUUAUAUGAAAUUUAUGUCUGACCAAAUUGAUCAUCCUUAAAAUCUAAAAAUAUAAAUUUGGAUUUGUUAAUAAUCCAUUUAAAUAAAUUUAAAAUAAUGUAAGUUUAUAUAAUUAUGGAUUAAAUUUGAUAAUUUAGAUAUUUUGAUGACCCUUAUAGAUUUUGAUAGAUUGAAAAAGACGAUAUUGAAUAUCUUGUUAUCACCUUUUCAUAUACAUUUAGAGCGUUAUAUAAUGUUUAUAACUUCAAUCAUGAUAGGAAAGUUACAUCAAAGUAAAUCAACCUUAGUAAAAGUUAUAGUUGUUUUCACAUUUGAGAGAAUUAUAAAUUAUUAUUUUCUAUUUCUAUAACUCUUAUUUUAAGUUUUUCCUUUAGUCUUGAAUAUUUUUUUUCUUUGGCAUGCUAAAUUCUUCCCAAGCCUGUGAUAUUCAUUUAUUUUUCUUCUCCUUUUCCUUUUGAGUAUUUGUUAUUAGUUUGUUCUUAUUUUUAACACUUAUUUGGUGAAUAUUUUGUUCUGUAAGUUAUGUAAUUGAUAAAAAUGAAUUAAUUAAUAUUUAGUUUUUCACUAAGUAAUGCACGUGAUUACGUCUUAAUAUUUUGGAGGAAAUUGGUGAAAUGUGGGAAAGGAACAAGUUGGCAGAGAGGCAAAAGGCAUGCAGAAUCUCAGUUGAUUAUAAAUAAAAGCUUCAAUCAUUCCGAGUAAGAAAUUGAUACUAUCAUAUUUAUAUAUUUUAUGCAUACUUUAAAUACAAAUUCCAAUGCCCUAAGCAUUAAUUACAACCCUACUAUCGUUACUUAUUUUGUCUUUUCCUAUAUCUUGUGGAAAAUAAUUCACACUUUCUAUUUUUUAAUUGCACCCCCCCAUCACUGCAUCUAUUUUUAAAUCAUCUACAUACAUGAACAAUGCUCAUUUUCCUCGUUGCUUUUUCUCUACCCUCUCAUGUGUAAAAAGUGAAACUCAUUAAAGAGAAACAAAGUCAAACAAUCCAAAAUUAAUUUAUUAAUUAACAAUAUUAUACUUUAACUAAUCUUUUCUCACACUUAUAAUUCACUCACUCAUUCAUAUCUACCUUUACUUCUCCAACCAUAAAAUAUAACAAGAUAUAUCUUUCAAACACUGAAAUAAAACAAAAUGUAUGAUUUUAAUAUCAUGUUAAAUAAUAAAUUUUAAAAAAAAAAGUAUUUUAAUUAAUCAUGUAUUUGAGGAUUAAAACCAUUUUUUAAGAGUGAGGGGUUUGGUGACGAUAACAUUAUUUUUUAAUUAAUUAUGACAAUCGUUUUCAAGAUAAAGGAAAUAAAAUCCGCAAUUUGAUCUUAAGAAUUAAGAUAUCUUAGAAGUUGAAUCAAGGGGUCAACUCAGUGUCUGAAGGCAUUAUCAAAAUUCUAAAGAAAUUAUAUAAAAAUGAAAUCUGAUGUACUGUUCAAACCUACUACUGUCUAACAAAAAGUUCUGAAAAUGAUACUUUCGACACUGAUUGAUUCACAAUAAUGAAGAAUUUCUAAGCCAAAAUCAGUUUUUUUCUUUCUUUCUUUCUUCAAUUAGAUAGCAGAUUCAAAAUUUUAAAUUGUAAAAGAAUAAUUAAUAUCUUCAUAAAUGGUGUAAAAUGUAACUACACAUUUAAAUUGAUUUAAAAUUUAUGAAGUGAUACUCCAUGCAUGUAUAACCAUUAUAAGUAUACAUAACAAUUUAACAUUUCCUUAUUAUUUUUAUAUUUAUCUAUUUAAUAAAACAUAAUACUAAUAAAUAUAUAAUAUUAACGGAUGAUAAUGUUACAACACAAGACUUAAUCCUAAAGUAAAGUUAAGGAUCAAAGACUUCUAAUUAAAGGGAUGUCUUUUGAAAGAUUUUGAGUUUAUACUGGUCUGACAAUGCCCAUGGAGAAAAAGAAAGGGAAAACGUGUUAGAAUUAUUAUCUCUAUGAAUCAAUGAAAUAAUGAAUAUUUAUUUUUUAUAAAAUUAUCAUCUAGGCGUUUACUGUCCCAAAUUCUUAAUUAAAUUUUUAAUAUAUAGUUAAAAGUUACACUACCUUAACUUUAUAAUUUUUUCUAAAACUAUUUUUUGUUAUAUAGAAGUGUAUUGAGUAAAUAAAAUAAAAAACAAAAAGUUAGUAUAAAUGAAACGUGAUAAAAUUUUAAUUUUUCUUUUCAAAAACUUGUUUAAGUUUUACAGGGAGAAAAAUGUGAAAUAAAUAAAAUAAUGUUUCCAAACAAGUGAGCAAGUUGUAAAAGCAUCGAAGUAACAAAUAGAUUAAACUGGCAAAAUUUUAAAAAUAUGGAGACUAAAAUUUAUAAAAUUUAUUAACAUGUUACAACAGGCAACACACAUAAAACAUUUAUGCUAAUUCCGUCUCAUUUAAUGAAAUUGGAAUAUACUAGCUAAAACAAAAUAAAAUAAUUUACCGCAAUAAAAUUUUCCAAGCAAAUAUAAUUACAAAAUUAUUAUAAUUACUCUAAGGUGAAAUUUGAUCUAUUAAGUGAGUUUAUCAAAUUCGUUAAAUGCAUCAAGAUCUCUCCUACAUAUAAAAUUUGGAUGAAUCAUGACACUCUAAAUAACAUCUAUUAGGAAGAUUUUACAGAAAUGAGAAAUUCUUUAAAAUAUUUCCAAUACAAAUUUCAAAUUCAAACUGCCUAAUUCAAUUAUUCCAAAAAGUUAAAAAAAAAUGCAUAAAAUAACACAAUAAAGUAUGGUUUGCAUAAUAACACAAAGGUCAUUUAAUAUGAUAAUGUUAAAUUUAAAUUCAGACGUAAAACGAAUAAAAACACCAAUAAAUUGUACAUUAAAAACUUAAAAAACAAUUACACGUCGUAAUUUAAAAUUAAAUACGAAAUUGCUUUCUUUACCUCAUUAGGAUACUUAAAGCAAUAUGUAAAAGAGAGACGAAAACUCUAUAGGUAGGUACCUAUCACUAAAACAACCAAAAAUACAAACAAAAAAUUGCAUUAGUUGAGAGCAUUAUUUUAGGAAAAAAUUACUGUAAAUUCAAUUCUGAUGGGAUAAAAUUACUUUAUAUUUCAUUAUUUUUAAAUUAGAAUGGUUCUCUUUUAAAAAAAAUUACGAGAAACAAAAUAAAAGAAUGAAGACAGAAAUUUGAAAGAAAGUUAGAUGGAGAAAAUGGGCCCAGGCCCAUGGACUCUCGCAUUUAUAUCCAAAAAUUAAACUAAUAAAGAUUAAAAUAUAUUUCUUUUACAGUAAAAUAAAUUCAUAUUUUUAUUACUUUAAAUAUAUUAUUUUCGCAUUUAUUUUUCGUACUACUCAUCAAGUUUUCGAUAAGUGUAACCUAAUUUUGAUCAAUUUCAACAAUUUGCACUUUGGACCAUUUUCCGGUUUUUUAACAAGUUAAUGUAUUUUUUUAAAUUUAUUAAAAUAGAUAAUUUUUUUAAAUAUUAAGAAUUUGAGAAAAUAUUGUCACUUUAACAAGAUUUCAUCGUGAAAAAAAAAGACGUGUUAGGAUAAUAUAACUUUAAUAUAAAAUAUUUUAAAACUUUAAUUCAUAUUUAUAUAAGUUUAACUUUAAAUAUAUUAUAACAUCAAUAAAGAUGUAUUUAUUCAUAGUUUUUUUUUUUAAUUUUAAAAAUAAUUACGUUACUUUGAUUAAAAAGAAAAAAGUCUACAGUUUUCAUUUGUUUUUAUGUGAGAACACAAUGAGAAGUAUAAAGUAGUAAUAUCUAAAUUUAUGAUCACGAGUGUUAAAUCUGUUUUCUCCAUUUAACUUAUUAGUCUAAAAAACUUUAAAAAUUAUUAUCUAUGCUUCAAUAAUUUCAUCCCAACCAAUACUAAUUGAACCACACGCUCUACAAUAAUGGUACUCUGAUUAAAAACAAAUAAUCAAGGUUUGUCUAAUUAAUUAACAAGGAUUAGAUUGGUGUUCUAGAAAGACAAAAGUUUCAAUUUUGUUAGUGAUGUAACUCGUGAAAAUCUUGUUAAGUAUCUGUGCCAGCGUUCAUUAACACGUGCGAGGCAUUGCUUAACAUAAUUUAUUUAUGGGAAUAAAAAUAUUUAAAAAAUAAAAAAGGUGGAAAGAUUUUGACCUGAAAAAGUAGUUAAGGAGGUGAGAUAGGCGGUUUGUGGGCCCUGGUUGGCUGUAAUAGUCCGGAAAGAGUUCUAUACAAAGGGAACUCCUUUCUAUUUGGGCUUUUCAAUAUUUGACAGACACAACUACUCAAUCCUAGUGCGGUGGGCCCUAUUGUCUGGCCCACUUUGUCUUCUUUCCUAUACACAUAAAGCAAAAAGCCAAAAAUUAAACCUCUUUUUUCCCUCUCCUUUUUUUUUAAAGAAUAAAUCUCCCUAUUCCAAAAUCAACAUCGGGUCCAUCCUCUAAUUAUUUCUCUCGCUUUUUCCUUUUUUACUCGUAAAUUCACACAGCCACAUAUUUUCAUAUUUUAAUUAAUUACUACGUCAUGCUUACGUCAUCUGUGACAUUGACAAUCUCUCACCAACCUACCCUUAAAACUCUAUAUAAACAAAGUUUUUGUUAACCCUCGUCAAUAAAGAGGUAUACUAUACAUGUACGUACGUGUUUGCAUACACUUUAUACGUACGUACGGGUUUGACCUUUAUACGGUCGUUUUCUCUGGUUGCGACUUAGAUGAGCUUGGGAAAUAUACGUAUAAGAACCUUUUAAUUAAUUAACAUUGCUAAAGGCAAUAUAUACUGUCGUUAAACCGUGCACUGGCUUUUCGGAUUUAAUCAUCUUUUCUUGAAUGGAUCCACUUUUCUUUCAUUAUGGAAAAGCUAAAAAACGACAACAAAAGUAGACAUUGCAAAGCAGACAUUUUAUUGAAGGUAGAUUUCAAUGACAAAGGUUAAAACUGUUGAAAUAGUUUCUAACUUGACGAAGUGGUGGGUUAAUAAAAACAUGUGCUUUUUCAAAAGGAAAAAAGAAACAUGAAAUCAUUUUUAUGUACUUGUGAACUUAGCGAAAAGCAUUCAACUCAGAAAUUUCACGCUUGAAUUUACUAUUAUUGGCAUAUAUGGAUUAGGAAAGGAAGAAAAAUAAAAGGUAAAAUAAAAGAGUACAAAGUGUGAUGAUUAAAUGCACUUUUAUAUAGAAUAGAAAAAUAUUAAAAUAUUCUUAUUUACUUGUACCUCAUUAUCGCUGUUAUAUUGCAAAUAGGUAAAAGAAGAAGAGAAGAGAAAGAGUUGCUGACAAAGCUUGUUCUGGAAAGCUUUUUUUUAGAACAUAUUUUAUGUGUAUUAAAAAAAUUGUUUUGGAAAACUCAUUCUUAAAAAAUGGUUUCAGAAAGUAUUAUAUACAUUUCAGAAAACUUAUUUAAGAGAUCCAAUUUUUUAGAAAAACUUGUUCUAGAAAACAUUUUAUAAGUUCUAAAUCCUAUUCCAUUAAUCUUGUACCAAAAAUUCAGAAAUGUUGUUUCAGAAAUUAUAUUCCGAAAAUUUUAAGAAACUUGUUCUAGAAAAUUUCCAAAAUAAAUAAUCUUGAAGUCUUUUUUUUGGUCACGUUGAAAAUUCGGGGUGCAGAAAGAAAUUGUAGGGCAAGAACAAAAGGCCCUAAAAAAGCCGCCAAUCUUAUAAUUAGGCCCAGUUCAAUUGGAUUUGUCAGGCCUAGAUUUGAGCCGAUAAUAUUUUUCCACCAAACUGAUCCAGACCCGAAACAUUUCAAGUCGGAUCGCCUCCGAUGAUGUUCUGUUUGUGAGAGACACGGCACAGGUGAUUCUGAUUUCCGUCCCAAGAAGAAAACAAACACCGUUUUGUGUAUUUACCAUAUUUUUCUUUUUUCUCUCUCUCCCACAGAUAAUAAAAUGCAAAAAUUAGCAAUUUUCCGAGCUAGAAGGUGGCUAUGUAGGAGCUUCUCGGGCAUUUCUUCAAACCCAUUGCGGGUGUGUGUCGUUGGAAGUGGCCCUGCUGGUUUCUACACUGCUGAGAAGGUAAAACCCUAAUCUUUAGGCUUUCAGUGUGAAAAUGGAUGACUGUAACCGAAUGGGUUCUUGGUAGAUGUUGAAGGCGCAUCAACAAGCACAAGUUGAUAUCGUUGACAGGUUGCCCACACCUUUUGGGUUGGUUCGCUCUGGUGUUGCACCCGAUCACCCUGAAACAAAGGUCCACUCUUGUUUCUUGCACCGUUCCUUUGUUCAAAAUUCACUAUCACUGGAUUUUUUCAUAAUGUAUGUGAUGUUAGGGGGAUCUUUUUUGGCUACAAGGGAGUGGGGAGGAAAAAUAAGUUCUUAGUUAUGUUGUGUUACGGCUAUUUAGAUGUUUUGGUGUUGUAGUAGUGAAAAAAGAAAUGGAGUAAAAUCCUCAGGCCACGGUAGUUCCUAAAAUUAAAAAAAUUUCCGCUUAGUCCCUGUUCAAACCGAAUUUGUGCAAUCAUGUGUUCACACACAGUCAGUAGGUUGGAUCUUUUGGAUGAAGAAUGGACAACUCAAAUCUCGAAUAUGUGGUAGUCUUAUUUACUAAAUUAAUAUAAGCUGUUCAAUCUUUUUCCAAUGGUUCCAAUACGCCGAUUGCAUAAGUGUUUGAUUCUAAUCACUGCAGAAAUUUGGAUAUGUGAUGGCUAUAUAUUUGGUGUUGUGAUUGUGUGGGAUUAAUUUGUCUGGUGUAUGUGGACUUAUAUGGCUAUGAUUUGUGAUUCUUAGGGACUAGAGUGGUGCUUUUGCUAGGAACCACUGUUCCAGCUGCCAAAUUUUUCAAGGAUGAAUUUUGAUGUUUACUUGAAAAAUUAUUUCAAAACUUAUUAUUUUUAUUUUUAUGGUGUUGGGGACUUCACUAUUUUCUUUGGUGAGAGUAACAGCAUUGAGCUUAGUUUACCAGAAAACUUGCAACAGAUUGUCAUCAAUCAGUUUUCAAGGGUGGCACAACAAGAACGAUGCUCAUUUUUCGGUAAUGUGACCCUUGGAUCAAGCAUUUCUCUCUCUGAAUUACGCGAGCUGUAUCAUGUGGUGAGGCUCUGAUUCUUGAUUUUUUUGUCAUAAUGGUGACAUCAUAUUGGUCAGUUGUAUCAUCUUUUCAAUAAUCAGUUUAUGUACAUGGGCAGGUUGUCCUUGCAUAUGGUGCUGAAAGUGAUAGAAGUCUUGGUAUUCCUGGGGAGGUAACCUUGAUUUUUUACUUUUGUUCCUGAAUUUGCUAGAGUUGUGUGUUCCAACGGCAUAAGCAAUGUCUUAAUGUUCAUUUAUUAUGUGAUGGCUAUUCUUGAUGAUAGUUUGAGUUACCCCUAUUUCAAUGAUGUUUAAUAUUCUUCUCCCUUUCAGAAUUUGAAAGGGAUACAUUCUGCUAGGGAGUUUGUUUGGUGGUAUAAUGGGCACCCAGAUGGACAAAAUCUUGAGCCAGACCUAAAGAGCACUGAUACAGCUGUAAUUCUUGGUCAGGUAACUUUACCUAUCGUGUCAUACCAUGCCAAAACUUUAUUCAUUUCUUUCUAGAAAAAAGACAACGUAAUGAAUGUUUAGACUAAAGAACAUGUGAUGUGAAAAUGAUUUUUCCUGAAGAUAUAGAUAUAAUUUUAACUUUGAUUUAAGGUUUUAUUUAAUUUCAGGGAAAUGUUGCUUUAGAUGUUGCAAGGAUUCUUUUACGACCUACCACUGAGUUAGCAACAACUGAUAUUGCCAGUCAUGCUCUGGCUACCCUAGAGGAGAGCUGUAUCAGGUUUUUAGUUGCAUUAGUUGAAGUAAUCAGAUAGUCUUAUUGAUACCUCGUAUGUUGCCUGUCUGUAAUAUAAGCAAUAUUGCAGGGUGGUUUAUUUGGUUGGAAGACGUGGUCCAGCACAAGCAGCUUGUACUGCAAAAGAACUACGUGAAAUUCUUGGUAACUUCUGGAUCAACUCUUAUACAAAGUUAGUUUAGCGAUGUGGUUUUCUUGUACACAUUUGUUUGAUACUUUGAUUUGGUUUUGGCUUUUUUCAAUGGAACUGUUUGAAAAAGGGGUAUGCCUCCGCCAUACGAUGUACUACAUAACACUUUAGACUUCAAAGUUUCCUUUGUAAACUUAUACUUUCUUAAUUUUUAUCCCUAGUAAUUACUUUGCUUGUCCGCUUUGAACUUUUCAUUGAUUUCGACGAACUCAGUUUCUUACCGAUUUCUUCCAAAUAUUAACGAGUGAUUCUUACUUAAGUACGUGUUUCUAGUUACUCACAGGCCUUUGAUUACAAAUCAUUUACAACCCAAGGACUCAGUCUGAAAUGAAUAGGAGCCCUUAUCAUGACUUUUGUCUUACAAUUUGACAUGUUAUAAUUGGUUUCUUAUCUUAAUCUGUAUUUGUUCUGAUUACUUCCUACUUAUUUGUUAAUUGUCAUAUACUACGAGUAACAUGCUAUGUAUGUCUCACACAUGAUGCUAACUGAAGCUUUAAGGUCUAUUUUACAGGUAUUCAUAAUGUUGAUAUUUUCAUUCAGGAAUCUGAUCUACUUUUAACCCCAGUGGAUGAGGUAUAAGAUGAAUCUACUUUUAGUUCGUCAAUCACUGUUUUCAAUCAUCUUCACCCAAAAGCAUAUAAUACUAGGAUUCCCUAAGUAAACUAUGUAUUUCUAAAUUCUUGUUUUUCUUAUCUAAAUUAAGAAUAUUAAUAUUUGUAUUUGAUAAUAAAUAAAGGUUGAUUCCUUUUCACUGAUGCUAUCUUAUAUCUGUGUUGAUGCUGUCACUUGGCAAAGGAAGAACUUAAGAGUAACCGAAUACAGAGAAGAGUUCACGAGUUGCUAUCUAAGGCUGCUAGAUCAAAACCUAAACACAUAGGUUUGAACCAGCGUGAACUCCGUUUCGUCUUCUUCCGGAAACCAAAUGAUUUUCAGGAGUCGAAAGAGAGAGCUGGCCAUGUUUCUGGCAUGCACUUUGAGAAGACAGUUCUUCAGGGUAAUUUUCUUUUUGUCCAAAUAUUUAUUUUGAAGUUAGAGCUUUACAAUAUUGGUGACAAUGUAAUUUAUAAAGUUUUAAAUUGUCAUAAUUUCUUAUACAAGUGCAAAUAUGUACAGUACUGGGCUUUCCUAAAAUGCUUAAUACAAGCCAUUUUUGAAGCUUUGUUAUAUUCUAGUACAUUUAAGUCCAUAGUAGUCUAUUGUGCAAUGGAUUACUUAUGAUGGCUGAUUCAGCUGAUUAUUGCAGGUGUUAGCCAAGGAAAACAGAUUGCCAUUGGUACUGGAGAGUUUGAAGAUAUAAAAUGCGGGUAUCAUCUCAUUUACAAUUACUAAUUGUCAUUGCUUGACAUGAGAUCCUUUCUGCUGGUAGCAUUGUAAUAAAAAAUCCAUUUUUUUUUAAUAAUCUCUAUAUAUCAUAAAGAAAUUGUUAUUAUACUCUUCAAAUGACUGAUUGCAGCCUCUCAAGAAUUUUAUUCAUGUAUUGUUGUCACACAAUGUUGAGAGUAAUAGUAUGGUGCAACUGGUUGACUUUUUGUAGGAUGGUACUUAAGAGCAUUGGUUACAAAUCAGUACCAGUUGAUGGGUUACCUUUUGAUCAUAAAAAAGGUGAAUGAGUAGUCGAUGUUCUCAAUCAAUUCAAUUCUCAUUCAAAUUUUUGUUAAUCGAUGUUACAUAUUCUUUGGUGAAGUAGCCACCACGUUUAAGCAGUGUUUAUUUAAAAAUAUGACUAAUUCUAGAAGAAUUCAGCUUGCUUUUGAAGGUGAAAACAAAAAAUGUAAUAGAAACAUUUUAUCAUACCAAACUGCCCCAAAGGGAUGGAAACAAGUGAUGUAAUUUUGUCGAUCCUGUGGUUUCAAUUGGUAAAUGAAAUGAAAACAAAUAGCAUUUACAACAUUUUUUUAUUCCUAGCCUUAGAAGAAGUUUACACUCUCCUGCAAAUAGUCUUCAGUGUAUAUUUUCUUGGUUUUUCAUGGCAUGACUUUGUUGAGUAGUAUUGGUCACAGGAAAUGUGACUUUAAUUGAUAAUAGCAGGAUUUCUUUCAGUAGUUGUUUGAUUCCCCGUGGUCAUGUCAGGCUUAUCAGUAUCAGAGGAUUUUAAAUGACAAUAAAACGGUACUUUGCUUGGAUGGCUUAACUCAUGCUAAUUGCACUAUUGUGUUUCACAGGUGCAGUAAAUGGAUUGUUGCUCUUGUGUUGAUGUAUUUUUAUUUAUUUUGAUUUUUACAUUCUUCUCAUUGUAGCUAUAGGUUUAGGAUUUUGGCAGAUUGCCAACUUUCCUGCUUUGUGUCUCCUCUCUCCUUCUGUUUUAUAAAAACAUUUAGAUGGAACUCUUUUCUGGCAUGCCAAGAAACAUGAUGUGUGGAUAUAUGUAAACGUG